rnacentral:lncRNA from 1 species
AAAAUUUUUAAAUGCCCCCCCCCCCCCCACCUCCCGAAGUAGAGGUAGGCUGGAUUGUAGCCAAAGAGGGAGGACAAGAUACAAUUGAUUGGAAUUACAAGAGACGGGCUAACAAUUCCAGUCUGUUAUAUAUUUUGAGUAUUGUUAUCACUAGCGAUAUCAAGCUAUAACUUUGUAUUUUGUAUUUUAUGUGUAGAUGUAUAUAUAUAGAUGUACAUGUGAUAUGUACACAUAUAUCCACAUAUAUACAUGCACUAGCACUAUGACCCGGCAACGACUGGUCUAUAAUGCUAGUAUAUAUAUAUAUAUAUAUAUAUAUAUAUAUAUAUAUGUGUGUGUGUGGAGGCGCAAUGGCCCAGUGGUUAGGGCAGCGGACUUGCGGUCAUAGGAUCACGGUUUCGAUUCCUAGACUAGGCAUUGUGAGUGUUUAUUGAGCGAAAACACCUAAAACUUUACGAGGCUCCAGCAGGGGUGGUGGCAAUCCCUGCUGUACUCUUUCGCCGCAAUUUUCUCUCACUCUUUCUUCUGUUGGCCUGCUCGCUUAGCCACCGGGGUGGCGUCAUUUAAAGGCUAAAGCAAUGCGAAACGCAUUGUGACCAGCGAUGUGUAGCAACAUCUGAUAGCCUGGUCGGUCACGGUGAUAUAUAUAUAUAUAUAUAUAUAUAUAUAUAUAUAUAUAUGCCUGUAGUUAGAUAUACAGGCUAUAAAUGUAUCUGUCUUACAUGUGCCAUUAUAAAGUAAAUAUGGCUAAAUAUUCUUAAUAGCAAUUCUUACAUCUUUUCAAUUGAUCUCUAUUUAUUACUGAUAUUUAUUGUGAAUGUUCAGAAACCAUAGUUCAAAUGGUAACCAACAUUUUAGGAAGGUUUCAUUGCUCUAAAAAAGUAGCUAUCAUCUGCAAAUAUAAAAUGGGCCAUUAGGUCAUCUGUCUGGAACUAAUAAAAGCAGAUGUUAAAAAUUCUUGAAUUGGAAAACUGAUAACAUGUCUGCUUCGUUCCAUAAUUGAAUGAAAUAUAAUUUUAGAAAGUAACAUUCCUUGUUAAAGUUCUAAUGUAGUCUUGUUAGUUUUCUGUUUGGUGGCCUACCCUCUUGAAAUUGAAAAUCUUUUCUAUAACUUGAAGAUUUAGAAUUCUUGUUGUCGUUACUAUUAUUGUUAUUAGGGUGGUGGAAUGAUCACAGUAUAUCUCCAGAGGUCUUUGUCUCUUGUCAUUGCUUCUAUGCAGCCCAUCGUUUGAAGGUUGUGCUUCACCACCUCAUCCCAUGUCUUCCUGGGUCUCCCUCUUCCACAGGUUCCUUCCAGUCUUAGUGAGUGACACUUCUUCACACAGCUCGCUUCAUCCAUACACAGUACGUGACCAUAACAGCGCAGUCGUCUCUCUUGCACACCACAUCUGAUGCUUCUUAUAUCCAACAUUUCCCUCAGGGUGCUUACACUGUUGUGUGUGCACACUGAUAUUACACAUCCAGCAGAUCAUACUAGCUUCAUUUCUUUCAAGUCUACAUAUAUCCCCAACACUCAUGGCCCAUGUUUCACUGCCAUGUAGCAUAACAAUAUGAACACACCUAUCAUACAGUCUAGCUUUCACUCUGAGUGAAAGACCCUUUGUCACCAGUAGAGGUAGGAGCUUUCUGAACUUUGCCCAUGCUAUUCUUAUGCUAAUUAAUUACUCCAGUGAUCUUUCUUGUCAGUAUACUUUUUCAGGAUGAUAUUUUUCUACAAAUUCAGAAAAAUACUGCCACUUUGCCAACACUGCCAUUAUGUCACUCAUAGAGAUACCCUUCUCCACUACCCUGUCCUCCUUCAGAAACCAGUCUCUUCAACUGAAUCUAAAUGUUGCUCCUGAAGUUGCAGGAGUUCAUCUGUUGUCACCUCCUCUGAGUAUUCCUUCAUGAGAUCAUUAGUGACCCCAUCAUCAGCCUCAAGGCCCAUGGACUUGCUAUGGACAGGUGUCUCAGAAUCAAACCCCUUCAAGUAUCUUUUGGAUAUGCAGCCAGGCCACAAUUUCCUCAAUGCAGAAUUCAGCAUUCUCCUUCUUAUACCCUGCCAGGCCAUAUCAAUGAUUUUCAGGCAGUUAACAAUGUUGUAGUGCUCCUUCCAAAACUCACAAAUGGUUAGAUUUGUAUUUUUGGUAACUUCAAAGCACCAACAAAACAGGUGUUUGGUGCACAAUUUCUUAAAAUUUGAAAUCACCUGUUGGUCCAUGGGCUGCAUGAUAGGGGUGGCAUUGCAUGAAAGAUAUAGGAACUUUUAUGAAUUUAAAUUCAUCCAGGAUAUCAUCUUUGAAGUUAGGAGGGUGAGCAGGAGCAUUAUCGAGGAUGAGGAUGGCCUUGAGAGGAAGAUCGUUCUCCAGAAAGUACUUUUUCACUGCUACAAUGAGGUAGUGAAAGUGCUACAUGAGAUUGACCCGCUCGGUGAAGAAUUGCCUGGUGACCCAGGCUUUAAUGUUUGCCCUCAACAUGACCUGCAGCUUCUCCAUUAGGAUUUUGUGCAACUUGAAUGCUUGUGGGUUUUGGGAAUGGUAAACAAAGAAUGGCUUAAUUUUCAAGUGUGAAGUUGUUUUAUUUAAUUUUCCAAAAUGAGGUUUAACUUUGGUUGAGCCAUAUUCUCUUGGAAUUGGUCAUUCUGCCAGACUUACUGUCUGUAACUGUUAGAUAAUGUUCUAUUAGUAUGUGAUGGAACAUUAUUAUGUUGGAUCUGUUACAUCAUCACAUUCUAAACUAUUCCAAUUGUAAUUUUGUUCUCCAGAAUGUCUUCAAUAUUUUCACUGACCAUUAAGAUUUGUUUUCUUUAAUUAUAAAUGUCAACUUUGGUUCUGAUGACCUCAAAACAAAUCGACUCAUUAUGUUCUUUGUAAACCAUUUCCUUUCCUGCCAAUGAUUCUAAAUAUCAUCAUCAUCAUCAUCAUUUAAUGUCUGCCUUCCGUGCUGGGAUGGGUGGGACUGCUGGCAAUCAAUGUUAGAUUACAAGCAAAGUACUAUAAAUAAAAAUAACAAUUUGAAAAUAUGCAGCAUAAAUGUCAUUUUCAAGUUCUAAAGUGAAUUUUCUCAAAGACAAUGACCAGUUCUUUGGUCUUGGAUUCCUCAACUCCGGUUUGCAGAAUCAAAGUCCAACAUUUAUUUUCAAGUAUAAUGAUUUCAAUAAUUUUUUUUAAGAGUUUACUUAAAAAGUGGAUAUGUAUAAUAAGUAUUUGGUUUGGUCCCCACUUUCUUUUGUAUAACAAGUAUUUGAUUUGUACCACCUUCACUUUGCAUUGUCCUCCCUCCUUCAUUCUUCAUUCUGUAGUCAUGGUGUUGGACAAGUUUAAAAAGUUAGAAACAUCUGAAUGCUAUUAACACUUAAGCAUUCAGGUUAGUCUGUCAAAUGUAAUGCAUAUCUAUUCACAUUGUUUUGAAUUAAUCCUGCGUUAUUUUGUAACUUUGAGAUUUCAAUGAUGAGACUGCUUAUUCUAGAAUGAUAUUGUAGAGCAGGUAUGAGAGGUCAGAGCUGACUGGUUUGAACAUAAAACAGGUAGAAUAUUUGGGCCUGAUAUUGCCAGUUUAAAUGCUAGUGGGUUAAACUUUUAUCAAAUACUCUAAAGAUUUAUGAUUUUCAUCAGUAUUAAAGCAGAUUAGUUUUGCUGAUCAUGUAAUUGGUGAAUGCCUAUAAUGAAUCAAAUCAAUAAUAAGGUUUUAAUUAUUAUUUAAACCUGGACAUAGCGUAGUGUAGUUAGAAUUUUCUUUUUUAUGUUUUUAAAAAAAAAACGAAAUGAAUUUGUUUCCUUUGUACUUGUAUUCAUUUGAAAAAGCACAUUAAUUUCAGUCCUAAUCUAAUAAUCUAUAUUCUGGCUUUAACAUAACUUCUACCUGUAUUUUGCAGGUUCACAUUAGGUUUUCUGUUUUCAAAUCUUCCUUACCUACCAUGCUGUUUUCUCUCAUAAAUUAUGUCUUGUCUGUGAUUAUUGAUAAUGGGACUUAAAAACUGAGCUAAUAGCAUUGACUUGAGAAUCAACUAGGAAUAUUUAUUCAAUUUUAUCAAAUUUAUUUUAAUUUUUACCCCCCUCUCACUCCUUCCUAUUAAAAUAGGAGAAUAAUUUUGAAUUUAUUUAAAUCUAUUAUAAAUAUUUAUCAGUUGGCAUAAUGGUUCAAAGGUAGCUUUCAGUUUAUUCUAAUAAACUGCAUUCUACUUCAGUUUUUCAUUAAAGCUGUGACUAAUGUCUGUUUUUGAAAUCACCAGUGUCUUUUAAGAAUGAGAGAGAGAAAUAUGGUUGAUAAAUUUCAAUUUACAUUUUAAUGGUUGACUUUAUUGACCUGAUUUGAUUUGAUUUGAGUUUAGAAAUGACAUGCACCACACCAGAACUCUCUCUCUCUCUCCUCUCCUCUCUCUCUCUUUCCCUCUCUCUCAGCAGAUUUAAGACAAAGAACUGGAUAGAUCUGACAUAGGGUAUAAAACAGAGUUAAAGAUGCAUGCAUUAGGAACAUGUUCUACUAGUGUUAGGAUGUAAAACUCUCCCAGCAUAGUGAUGAUUGAUUACUGAAAAUUAAUUUUAUAACAUUGAUGUGAUAGGAUUCCAUGAAGACAUGGAAUGAAGUAGUGAGGACCAGUCUCAAGACAUUGGGCCACACAGAGGAGAUGAUAAUAAACUGAGAUGUCUGGUGAUAUGUGGUUCUUGACAAGACCUGCCCACCUCAGCAAAACUGAGUCCCUGGCGUACUGUGUGUCCCACCCACAUGCAGCAUUAAGUUUUCAACACCCUGCCCCAAUGAAUCAAACUACAUCUCCUCUUCCUCACAUUUCCUCUUUUUUAUGCAGUGUGCUUAUCUCUCCUUCCCCACUCUUGCAGCUCAAUCCAGUCCUCCCUACCUUGCUCAUUGUAUCAUUGCUAUUCUGUUGUCCUCCCUCCCCCCAUAUACUUUAUAUAACCUCUCAUCACCUGGCACAAAGCCACUUCCUCUGAUAUUCCUUCCUCCAAGGAUCUUCAUCUUGCAAGUUACUUGGUGACCACACCUGUGUGGUUGGCAUUAGGAAGAGCAUCCAGCUGUAAAAACCAUGCCAAACAGGCAGUGGAACUUGGUGCAAUCCUCUGUCUUGCCAGCUUCUAUCAAACUGUUCAACCCAAGCCAGCUUGGAAGAUGAACAUUAAAUGAUGAUGAUGAUAAAUAUACUGUUGUCAUCUUGGUUCUGCCUUAUGUCAGAGGUGAAAUCUUUAAAAGAUUUAUCAAAACAGUUUCAAGUGCUGCUUACAUGAAUCUCUGAGACUUGACUUUCUAUUUAAAACCAUUUUGAUGUGAAGGGGUCAGGGUGGGGAACCCUCAGAAACAACUUCAAUUACUGAUAAUUUUCUCUAAUUAAAAUGAUAUUUCAGAAAGUGAUUUUGUAUUUGUUUUAAAUGUAGUUGUUGAUAGGCAAUGAAUCUAAUCUAUCAAUAUAUCUAAUUAAUAGACUAUACAGUUUUAUUGAUCUCUUUACAUUGGAAAUGACUAUCAUCAAUGAAUGAUCAAUAUUUAAAAAAAAAAAUGUUAUUUUGAAAAUGUUUUGUGUUUGUAUUUUGUUUUAGAUUUUGUUAGGAAAUGUCUUCCAAAUCCUUAAUAUUUAUAACAGAAUGGUAAGUAAUAUCAUAGAAGUAUAGGAGUGGGGAGGAUUGUAAAACUGAUGGCAAUUUAAAAUUUUAUUGCAAAUACAUGGACACAGUUAUUUUAUUACAUACAUAAACAUGUAGUCAUUUAGUUUAUUAGAGAUAUACACACAUUUUCAUUUAUGCUUUUACACCCAUACAUGCAUGAAUGUGCACGCACACACAAAUAAUCAUUUUCUUACCCAAACACAUACAGUCAUUUGAAGCUGCUUGUUCACUUUACUGUUACUCUGAGUUUCUUGUAAACAUUUAUAUUGAAGUAAUGCUACUUCUUGAAUGAGUGCCAAGUGAAAAAUGCGUGAUCAACCUCCUCUCUCUCACUCUCACUCUCACACACACACACACACACACAUACACACACACACACACGUUUAAUAUCUGAUAGUAUUUUCACAAUGCUAUAUUAUACUGAGAUGCACAUACUUCAGAGUUUGAAAAUACAUUUAUCAAAUUCACAGAAUAAGUUUGUGUGCCACUGUAAACUUUAUUGAAAUUUACUUAAACCUUGUUGCCAACACUAACCCCCAUCUCAGACUUUAGUUGUUUCCUCUAUGAAAAUUCUCUGCAAAAUGUUCUACACACCUUUGGGGUGUUUUUAUUUUUUAGUUACAUCCAUGGACCCAUAUUUUGAUCAAAUUCAGUUUUAAAUCAUUUGUUUAUUUAAAACUCAAUAUUGUUUUGCAAACAAAAAUUUAUGAAGUACUGAAAUUACUAAUGAAGAAUUUAUUUAAAAAUGUUGUUGAUACCCUUACUUUUAGUUUAACCCUUUAGCAUUUAAACAGAUCAUACUCAGUUAAAAUAUUAUACCAGUUUUAAGGUAAAACUGACCAGAUCAAGUCUCUCACACCUACACUGCAAUGUCAUUCUAAAAACAGGUAGUCGCACCACUGAAAUCUCAAGGAAACACAAUAAUACAUGAUUAAUUCAACACUACGAAUUUUUGAAAAUAUUUAAAUCUAACUUCUACUGUACUUUUUCUUGGAGAGCUUUAAAAAAAAAUUAUAUCUCAUUAGUGAAAUUUGGAUGAAUAUUUUAGGAAAUAUAACAAUUUGAAUGGUUAGUGAAAUGGUUGAAAUUUUGGCCUAAUUUAUGUAAAUCUGAAUAUAAAGGGGUUAAGACCAUGAUGGUGGCUUGUUUAUGACAGGGAAAACUUCCUCACAACUUUAGUAAAGUAGAAUACAUUUUGAGUGCAAAACAUUCCAUUUGUUUGCCAAAAGAAUUUGACCAAUGUAGGAAAUUGUUACUUCAAAAAAAAUUAGAUGAAUUUUUAAACAGCCAUAAAAUUGGGAUAAAAUUAUUAUUUGUGUGUGUGUGUGUGUGUGUGUGUGUGUUGUGUUGUGUUGCGUUGUUGCAGUAUUUUGUGUUAGUCUAAAGAAAUAAACACAAACACUUUAUGGUGAUAUGUAAUUGUCAGGUGAGAAUGCAUCUAUUAAUCUAUAGCAGAAAUUGUUUCGGUUCACAUCACUAAGCAUGAACAUUUUUGAAAGUAGAUAAUUAUCAGAAAGUCUAUUGGGUGAUAAGAGAAGGGCAGAAUUAUCCAUUUGGGUGGUAUCAUAUUUCCUCAAUGUACUCAAAUUAUAUAAGUUGAUGAUACCUUAGUGUGUUUAUUUCCUUGAAUUAUAUUUGAGAUAAUACCAUAAAAUACAGAAAUUAGUUUUUAGGUUGGAGAGAGAAAAGAAGGUCAUUUGUUCCUUAUUUGAAUCAUAUUAAUAUCAUGUUUUUGGAUGUUUCCGUAUUAUCAUUACUCAAUUGGUGAAUUUAGUAAAUAGCUAAUUAGAACCAAUUUAAAAUUAAUUCUCAGCAAGAAUGAGGUUCUUCUGUGAUAAAAUCUUGGUAAACAUUUCUUUACUAUGGUUAUGAACUCUAGCAAUAUUAGUCAAUGAUUUUUAGGGCUUCUUUCCUGUGAGUCAGCUAUACUUAAUAAUCAGCAAUUAUUUGAUCAGAACUGUUGGCUAAUUUUAAGACAUACAGAGAUGCCUUAAAAAUCUUAUCAUAAAGAUGUUUGCAGUUGUAGGUUCAAAUGACAAUUAGAUGAUCUCUUAAUGGACUUGGAUUGGAAUUGAAUGAGAGAGAGAAAGCCUUUACCUAGAGUUAUGACUUGAUGAAGUGAAAAACAUUUAAUUUGUUAGAAAAUGUAUAUGGUGAUCACAAUGAUGUGUUUGUAUGUAUUUAACAUACAUUACCUUUGUAUAUAUUUAACAUAUAUUACUUUUGUGGUGACUGCUGUGGAGUUCAAUGAAAAGUUCUUGAUCCAGUUUUAACAUGACUGAGACAAGGUAUCACUAUGAAUUUUGGAAAAUAUUUAAAUCUAACUUCUACUGUACUUUUUCUUGGAGAGCAUAAAAAAAAAAACUUUGAUACCUGAUUUGUGAAUUUUGAAUGAAUAUUUUAGGAAAUAUGACAAUUUGAAUGGUUAGUGAAAUGGUUGAAAUUUUGCCUAAUUUAUGUAAGCUAUAUUUGUGAUGUCAUAUCUUUGAAACUGAGGGGUAUAAUCAACUUCAAAUUAUACAAAUUAUUGGUGACCAUAGUAUAGUAGUCGUUUAAUUUUUUUCAGGUUCUUGGAAAGAAAACAUUUUUUCUGGCAACAUUUUAAAUAUUUAUGUAAAGCCUUUUUUGUUACAUAUAACAAAUGGUUGAUUUUUGCAGUGUUUUCAGACAAGCUAAAUUCAAAAUUACAAACCACAGGAACUUGAGUUUUGGCACAUUUGUAGCAGGUAUAGAGAUAAAUAAAUCAGGAGAUAUUGGGAUUUGACAGCAUUUACAUAAAGUAAAAAAAUGUGUUUUUUCAUGUUCAAACUGUGCUUGUCUCUAUUGUACAGAACUCUAUAGUGAUACCUACUGAGGCAAUCAGAGUUGUUAACCUCAUUGGGCUUACAACUAAUGAGUGUCUUGUUACAAGGAAAUAUACUUUCAAUAUAUCUAAUAUCAACAAACAUUGUAAUGCAUUUAAAAUAUUUCUAAUAUGAAAUCACAUCCUCAGCUGGAGUGAUAGGGAAUCAGAAUGAUGAAGUGGCCACUUUAUUCUUAGGUAGUCACUGACAUUAGAGGUGUCUCUCUAUGGAUCUGGCCUUCAUCUGCAGUUUAGAGUUUAGCUUAUUUUUUGGACAUGAAGUUCAGAUGUGAACUAAUAUUUGAUAUUAGAUCUAUAUUUCAUUUAAUUAGAAGACUUCAUACACAUUGGCAAGGUACUUUGAUGUUGUAGAUCCCCAGAUAGUGAAAGCACAUUUCAUGAGAAAUGAAGGCUCUAAACUGCAGAAGAGACCUGGACUCUCUAAGGUACAUAUUCAAACUCAGUGGAUCAGGAUUGACAUUCAGUCAUUUAGACACAUAUUAUCUGAUACCAACAAGGGCAUUUCUUACUCCUCCAGCUUUCUCUUCACACAUUCUAAACAUGUUUAGUCAUUUCUGAUUAUGUAAAUGUUAAAUUCUUUUCAAAGACAUCCACCUUCUGUUAGUAAUAUUGUUUACAUUAUUGGUAUAAAUUAAAACCUCUACUUGAAUGCUGCUGCUGAUGAUGUGUGUUAUCUGUUAAUAUAUAGACCAUAUUAAAUACAUGUUGAUAUAACAGAAACUAAAUAAGAAAUUUUUUAUUAUGUGUUGAUCAAUGAGAUAACAUUAUUGAGGCUGACAUCAAAUGCAGUGUAAUGAAAACCAUCAAUACUAAAAUGGGUUCUAUAGUUGUAUCUAAUUUCCCCCCUUCUUUUCUUGUGUUUAUUUGCUGAGAGAACUUUUCAUGAACUUUUCAGUGCAGAGUUUACUUUUUCAAUUUAUUUUAUUGUGUGUGUGUGUGUGUGUGCGUGCGUGUGCGUGUGUGUGCGCGUGCGUGCAUGUUUUAGAUUACAUUUAAAAAUAAGCAAACCUGAAAUUCUUUUUAUUUGGCUUGAUAUAGUUGUAGUAUCACACUACUCUUUCUACAUCUGGGUGGGUGUUGGAUGUUUAUUUGAUAUUAUAGACGUCAUCCAUGGCCUUUCACACAGGUGAUGAAAGUAGUAUGUGCACUCUGUUCUGGUGAGUUUAGGGUGGCUCGCCUGUAGAUGUGUAGAUGCAGAAAUGUUAGGGCCUUCUGAAGGUUGUUAGGAGGGUUCUGUACUGCAAUCUUCUUACCUUUGAUACCUGAGUUUUUUUUACUGCUGACCAUCUCUUGUAACCAGUCCUGAAAUUAAUACAGACUUCCAGUUGAUGUAGGGCUACACCAGUGAAGUCUUUAAACCACUUCUGAUAUAAUCCUAGGUACAUGUGUCCCUGUGAGAGAGCUCCAGAGACAGGCUGGUAUGUGGGACUACACUAUCCAGAUCAUGUGUUCAGUGCAAUGGAGUGGACUUUUUAAAGUCCUUACUUUAAUUAGGUAUCAUUAUGAAUUUUUGAAAAUAUUUAAAUCUAAUUUCUACUGUACUUUUUCUUGGAGAGCAUUCAAAAUGAAACAUUUUGAUACCUCAUUUGUGAAUUUUGGAUGAAUAUUUUAGGAAAUAUGACAAUUUGAAUAGUCAGUGAAUUGGUCAAAAUCUUGCCUAAUUGGCCUAAAAUUAGCCAUAUUUGUGAUGUCAUAUCUUUGAAACUGAGGUGAUGAUCAUCUUCAAAUUACACAAGUUAAUAGUAUCCAUGGGAUAGCAGUUGCCUUCUUUUUUCAGGUUCUUGAAAAUGAAACAUUUUUUUUUUUGGUAAUUUUUAAAUAUUUAUGUAAAACCUAUUUUGUUGCAUGUAGCAGUCAAUUCUGCAGUGUUUUCAGAGCUAGCGAAAUCCAAAAGCUCAAGCCAAAGGGACUUCAGUUUUGAUACAAUUGUAGUAGGUAUAGAAUGAAAUAAAUCCUGAGAUUUUGGGGCAUGAUACCAUUUCAAUAAAAUUUUAACAGACUGUUACAAAAUGGCUAUAAAUGGCAGAUUUUUGGAUCAGGACGUCAAUAUAAGUUGGAUUUUCUCUGUCUUGGUGAGGAUUUUUCUCUUCCUUGUUUUUUUUCCUCAUGGCCUUGGAAAUGAUGGAGGAAAGCUUUUUAUGAAACUUGUUGAGAAAUAAAAGUUGAAAAUUGUACUUUGUUACAUCAAUUUCCAAACUUUUAAAGUUCUAUUCAUGUUCUGACAUCUUUCCCCCUCUGCUGAUAUUCCCUACCUGUUCUAUUUGAUACCUCUGUCCCUAUACUCAAAGUGAUUUGAGUUUACCUCUAAAGCCUGUUAUGUUUAGCUUUGUACUAAGGGUAGUAAAGUUAAAGUUUUAUCAAAGUCGAUGAAAGUCCUCUGGAUAUAACCCCUCCCCCACUACUUCAGUUACCCUAGGUCAGCAAGGUUUACAUAAUUGUUUUCUUUCAUUUUUAAACCUGUUUGGAACUUUUUGAAAUUAGAAGAAAAUUAAUAGAAAUUGUUACAGCUCUAAACUGGUUCCACCACUUCUUGAAUGAGGGUGGGGGAGGAUAGAAGACAACUUGUGACUGGUUGGUGAAUGGAAAAGAUUUGUUGGGUAAUGGCAUAAGAUUAAUUGAUUAAAUAUUGAGACAUACCUCCCCCCCCACACACAGUGUUAAAAAAUAAUUUGAUUUUACUCUUUUCAAAUAAAAGACAAAUUAUUUGGACAACUGAAAAUGAAUUGUGUUUCCAUCACUGGAUUUUAUGUUGUAAUAUAGCAAUAAAUUUACUUUCACCAUUUUCCAAUAGAUUAACAUCAUCAAUCCUUUUGUUACCAUAUUUCUGUUGAAAUACACUGCCUUUGUUUCAAUUAAUUUUGGAAAUAAUGAACUUAGGAAAAUUACUCUCAUUAUUAAGUUGGUGUUUAGAAACAAAUUAACAUAAAAUCUUGAGAAAUUUGAAUUAAGAUCACUUUAAAAGCAGGCAGUUUGUAUUGUAGCAACUAGGGUGUUCUCGGGUAGGUUGGUAUCAGAAGGGGUUAAUGUUAAAGACAAGAGGCUGGACACACAGGCACACAUUUAAUGAAUAAUGAUUCAUUUAGAGCUUUGUUUGAAUUAUAUUUAUUCACUGAAAGUAUUCUCUUCUCUCAUUGCUUCAAGUUAAGUGUGAAUGUAUGUGAUCACUUUAACCUCUUUAUUAUGACGUUUCUGUUGAAAUGCAAUGCUUUUGUUUCAAUUAAUUUGGAAAAUAAUGAAGGAUUUAUCAAAAUAACUGUCACGGCUAAGCUUUUCGAUUGGAAGAUAAAUUAACAUGUAAUUUUGAUAGGUUUUAACUUAGGUCACUAUUUGGGAAUGGCAUGAAUAUAACUUUAUAAUGAAUUGUCUACCUCUCCUGUAUUAUAAACUGUGGUAGUCAUUGAGUGCAGUCAGUGUGUCUUUUCACCAAAGAGUGCUUUACAACCACCUCCUUUACAUUCUUGGUAUGUUUUGAAGGAGAGAGAGAACAACUAAUUAAACACAAACUACUUUUGUGCAGUGCUCUAUUAACAAUGUUUUCUCAUCCUGUCCCACCUAGUAUGUGUCCUCAUUUUACAUAUUUGCAUGGAUUGCUGCUUCCUAUGUUAAAAAACAGUCAAAAAUACAGAAUGGAAUUAUAUUGAACCUUUGUGUAUCAUCAUCAUUAUUUAGCAUCCACUUUCCAUGCUGGCAUGAGUUGGACUUUUUUUUUUCACUGGUAAUAUGACGGUUAACUUGUAUUUUAAUUCCAUCAAAGACUUUUUGGGAAAAUGUCUAAAAUAUGGUACUGUUGUUCAGGUUUUAAAUGUUACAUUUCUCAGAAAGAUCACAGCUCCUCUGAACUCCCAAUACCUCCAUAGCAUCUCAUUGACAUUUGCUAUCCCCCUUGUAAAUUCCCUAUGUCCUGAGGGGGUAGGGGUGCUACUGUCCAGUUUCCCACACAUCAUCUUUUGUGUAUAAAAAAACAAACAAAAAACCCCUUGUUUAACAAAUAUCAUUUGAACAUUUUUUUUUUUCAUUUGAUAUGUUGUUUGCUUUUAGGCCUUAAAUGUUGGUAGUGUAAUAUUAGAUGGCUCAAGUUUUUCUAUGAUAUUUCAUUGUUAACUCCACUACUACUGCCACUAUCUCAGUAACAUUAUUCUUGGUGCAAUUAACUGACCUCAGUAUUUGUAUCCCACUCUCACUGUGCAAUGUUAUGUUAUCUUUCUUUGUCACUUUUUCUCAAUUCAUCACAUUCUACCCUUCUCUAUCUUUUCACCCGUCACAAUCUUUUACUCUCUCUACUAAUCUUAAUGAUAUAAUUCUACAUUCAUUCACGAUUUUGUUGUCAUGUGAUCACUGUCUCCUCAUCUUUGACUAUAAUCAUUAAAAAUAUAUAUAUAUUUUAAUUCUCCGCCCUUACAGUGUUAUUGAUAAAACAGACUGUGCUGUUAAACAUUACUUCAACAUUUGGUGAUGUUUGGAUCCGAUGUCUUUGUUUUUGUUACUUAACAUUUUAUUUGCAUAAACUCAGUCAUAACUUGCACUUUGACUUUAGCUUACCUAAUUUCUCUGAUCAUGUCAUCAUAUUUACUCUUUGUCUCUCUCUAACUACAAUAGCAACAAUCUUGGUGCAAUUAAUUGCUUUUGAAGUUGUUAGUGGAGAGGAUUCUACAUGAUGCAGUAUUGAUAAAGUCUAUAUGUUUUAUUUAAUUUCACUAAAUCAACCAAUCUUACUUUAGAGAGACUUAUAGCUAAAUUACAGCUAAAUUGUUUCCUCCUUCCCUCUCUACCUCCAUAACUAAUUUAUUGGGAAACUACUUGUUUACUCAGACUGUGGCAGAAUUGGUUGAACCUACAGUUUCUGAGUUCAAACUGCAUUAGAGAUGACUUUAGGUUUUACCCUCUUGAAAUUAAUAAAAUAAAUGCAAAUAAGAUACGGGGGGGGGGGGGGAUUCAAAACCAAGCUAAAUAUAUGUCUCUGAUUUGUUUUAUUUGUUUUUUAGAUUCAUUUUCUUUUUCUCUAGAUACUUUGCUUAGUAUCUUACUAUAACGGGUGUUAUAUCCAUCUGUCCACUCUUCACGGUAAAACGGUUGGACCAGUGGUCAUGAUGCAUUUGGGAUUAUGAUGGAGGUAAUCAGGAAGGUUUUUAGUGAAAAAAAAAAAAGAAUGAAAAAGUAUGAUUAUUUAGUGUAUAUUGAGUUUUGUAUUAAUUAAUCACUUUUGAUUUUUUUUGUUAAAAUUCCGGUGUUGAGGAUUAACUCUGGAUCCCACCCCCACUCAUGUAUAGUUUGUGAAUUUAAAGGGUUUAGAUUUGCAACACUAUCCCCUUAUUUCCCAUCGUAGAUGGGCAGAUUUGCUAUCUUACUAUACUGGGCAUUAUGUCUGUCUGUCUUCCCUCUUCACGGCCAGACAGCUGGACCAUUGGUUACAAUAUUUUUCGGAAUUACAAAGACAGUCGCCAGGAAGGUUUUUAGCUUUAAAAAAAUCAGGAAGUAUGAUUGUUUUGUGGAUAUCAAUUGAUAAGUCACCUUCACAUUUUUAUUAAAAAUUCACCAACCACAAGUAACUCUGGAUUUUCAUUGUAUAGUUCAUGGCACCAUCGUAGAUACAAAGGAAGUAGCAAGGACGGUUAAUAGUGAAAAUAAAAUGGAAAAAGUGUGUGUCAGUAUAUAGUGUGUGUGAUUAUUUAGUGGUUUUUGAAGUGUGUCAGUCUCGAGCAGGAUUCAAAACGGCUAAUUGAAGUGGCUGUUGUUUACAUCUCAGUUUUGUCAAUCAAAAUAACCCAUGGUGCCAGAACAUCCAGACAUUAUUCGUAUAGAACAAUGAGAAGUAAGUCUUAGUUUGAUUUUUUGCAACCCUAAAGAUUCCAUUCGUGUAUUCACAGCAAACAAGGCACAGGGCCAGACUUUAGAUCAUGUAGGUAUAUUUUUAUCCACUCCAAUAUUUACACACAAUCAGUUGCACAUCACUAUGAGUAGAGCAACAGACUCCAGUAAUUUAAAAAUUAAGUGUCGACCAAACAGAAAAUAUCAUCCACAAAGAAGUUUUGUAAUCAUUUUGAUAUUAUUGAAAGGAAUGUGUUUCAUAAUUUAAAUAAGGAAAUUUGUAUAAGAGUGUAAAAUAGUGUAAACAACUAUCUAAAUAACAUUUUUUUCUUAAUACUUUUAUGUAGUGGUCAAAAGAAGCUCUGGCUUUCAUUAGGAGUGAUUCACGUAACCAUUCAUGAUACAGAGGCUGGGAGCCUAUUUCAGUUCAGGAGUGAAUUGUCAUCACAUAUCACUUAGUCACAAACACAUGUCAUAUAGCUGCAAUAGAAUGCUGUAUCACCAACAACAAUGUGAUUUCUCUAAGACAUCACCCAGUAAUCUAUCAAGUUUAUUGACACAUUUCUCAAUACAUACUGCCUUUAUGACUUCCCUCCCUCAUUUUAUGCCUCCAUCGUAGAUGGGUAAACUUGCUAGAUACUAGGGGUGGAGCUUCAAAACCAAGAAAAUAAAGGUUUCAGAUUUGUUUUGUUUGUUUUUGGUGAUUUAAAAUCAUUUUCUUUUUCUUUAGAUAUUUUGUUUAGUAUACUGGUAGCUUCUAAUGCCAGUUUCCAGCACCAACUGUUGUAAUAUUCUAUAUCUGGCCAUAUCUCUGUAAACAUUAUCAUCAUCAUCAUUAUUAUUUAAUGUUCAUGCUCCAUACUGGCUGUGCCCAGAUGCUUUAACAUUCUCCAUGAACACACCUCUACAAACCAUUUUUCUCAUCAGUCAGAACAUCUGACCUAUGCAAUUAAUGUGUCUUAUAGAAGAGACUCACCUCACAACAUUAUUAUCAUCAGUGAAAACAGUUUCAUCUUAGACCAGAAAUGGUGUUGUGAUCUCUGUAAUCCCCACAAUGUUAUCAGUGUCAUUAAAGAAUGCUAAAGACCGAUUUUCUAAUGAUUCUGACUAUUUCUGUAGUAACAACACUAGAUCAUCAUCAUCAUCACUCACUAUCAUCAUUGUUUAACAUCUGUAUUCCAUGCUGGCAUGGGUUGGACAGAUUGACUGGGGACUGGCAAGCCACGAGGCUGUACCAGGCUCCAAUCUGAUCUGGCAAUGCUUCUACAGCUGGAUGCCCUUCCUAAUGCCAGCCACUCCGAGAGUGUAGUGGAUGCUUUUUAUGUGCCACCGGCACGGAAGCCAGUCAGGCAGCACUGGCAUCAGCCACAUUCGGCUGGUGCCUUUUAGUGCUACUGGCACAGGUUGCCAGUCAGGUGGCACUGGCAACGACCCAUACGUAAAUGGUGCUUAUUGCGUGCCACCAGCACAGCGACCAGUCAGGUGGUACUUUUAUAAGUGAUUAAUGCAAUACAAAAAAGAAAAAAACUUACUGUGUUAAUGGACAGUUUACCUGAGAAGCAUCUCAGCAGACAAAUCAUUCAUCAUCAUCAUCAUCAUUUAAUGUCUGUUGUCCAUGUUGGCAUGGGUUGGGCAGUUUGACCAAGGUUGGAAGGCUGCACCAAACUCCAGUCUGAUUUGGCAUGGUUUCCUAAUGCCAACCACUCCAAGAGUGCAAUGGGUGCUUUUACAUGCCACUGGCAUGGGUGUCAUUUGUGUGACAUCGAUAUCUGUCACGGCUGCGAUUUUUCUUGGCUUGAUGGGUCUUCUUCUUAAGCACAACAUAAUGCCAAAGGUCUCAGUCCAUUGCCUCUGUGAGGCCCAACACUUGAAAAGAGCUCAGCCACUUUGCCUCCGUGAGGCCCCCAGAGCCCUUUUCAGCCAAAGCCAAUAGCAGUCAUUUAUUCCCUCUUACCUUCCUUUGUCUCUCUUACUCUGUGUGUGUGCAUAUGAGGGAGAGAAGAUUGCAUGUAUGUGGGUGUGCAAAUGUUUGUGUGUGUGUGUCAUGUAUUUGGUGUACCUUUUAUCUUUACCACUCACCUACCACUGCUUGUCAAUUUCUAUGUUCCUCUUCUUAUGUUAACUUGCAUUUACUGUCUCCCCAUCUCUUUAUAUGAUGCAAAGUGUGGCAGGAGAAACCAGCCAAAAGGUUAUUAUGAAAUAGAGAUCAAAUUUUUUUGCUAAAACUGCUUCAGUUUAAAUUGUGGAGAAAGUAAUAUUGGUUUCAAAUUUUGGCACAAGGCUAGCAUUUUGUCCUGUAUUUUGCCCAACAUACCAACAAUUCUGCCAGCUUGCUACCUUUGUAGAGAAAGUAAUAUUGAAUAAAGAAAAAGACACAUAUAUAUAGUAGUAAUGAUGAUCAUAACAAUAGCAAUAAUAGUAUUAUAGUCAUGAAUGAUGUGAAGAAUAUUCCAUUUUUCAGGCUAUUAUUAGAAGUAAGAAGUAAUUCUAGUCUGGGAUCAGGAUUGCAAUUAGCCAGAAGUUUACUGUUAUAUCAAAACAGACUUUGGAAUAUUAUAUUUUUAAUGCUGCUGACAAUGCCAGAUUGAACGGUACUGCCCAGGUGUCAAAACCACAGUGGGCAGUGAUGAUGGGGAUGCACAUAUAUUAUGCUCAAUUGGGAAUUUCUUAUAUCUUAGACUUAUAAAUUCUGGGUUGUCCUUCAUUCUUGUGAAAUGCAAAGUUUGUAGAUUCAUUGUUUGUGGAGAUUGCUUACUUUGGUAUUGUUUAGUUUUCUUAAUAGGUAACCUAAUUAGGCUUAGACAAUGCUUAGUUUAGGAAGAUUCUGUGGCACACACAUUCAUAUAUAUGUUGUUAUAUUUGGGGAGUGUCACUUUUAGCCAACAAACCAGAUGCACUCCACAUGCCUGUUCCUAACUUCAUCCUCAUAAUAAUAAUAAUAAUAAUAAUAAUAAUAAUAAUCUUAAUCAUAAUCAUAAUAAUCUUAAUCAUAAUCAUAAUAAUCAUAAAGAUGAAAUGAAGAACAAGCACAUAGAGUGCAUGUGGUUGAUUGACCAAAAUAUGACCAUCCCCAAAUAUAACGAGAUUGGAUUCAACACAAUUUCACAUCAGGAAUUUUGCAAAGCAAAUGCAUAAAUAUUCAUCCAUCUAUCCAUCCGUAUGUAUGUAUGUAUCUCUUUAUUAGUGAACUUCUAAGGAUUUGAAAUGUCAGAAAGACAUAGGCUAACAGACAAAGAGAAAACAAAAAAGAAGAUUCAGUUGGAAUUUUCCAAAGUUCAAAGAAUAGACUAAGUCUUACUUAUGAUGCUCCAGAUUAACAUCCCCAAACAGUAAAGGAUCUGGGGACUCUGUCAAAGGCUUUCUCCAUGUUGAUGAAAGCCAAGUACAGAGGUUUAUCUUUGGCUAGGUAUUUCUCCUGCAGCUGUCUUACCAGGAAUAUACCAUCAGUAGUACUUUUCCCUGGCACGAACCCAAACUGCAUCUCCUCUAAGCUAACUCUCUCUCUAAUUAGUUGGGCUAUAACCCUCUCCGUAACCUUCAUUACCUGAUCCAGCAGCUUAUAUAUAUAUAUAUAUAUAUAUAUAUAUAUAUAUAUAUAUACUGGGGUGUGUGCAAAAGCAGGCAUACAGCCAAAGUAAAAGAAAAUACACACAAAACUCAUUUAUUUUUAUCAAAAAAUUAAUAGUUUAUGAUAAAAGUAUUAUUAUAGUUAUGAUAAAUGUAUUAUUAUGAUUAAUGACACUGGAAAUAUCAAACAUGAGGUUAACUUUUAAUUUUUUUUGAUAAAAACAAAUGAGCAUUGUAUAUGCAUUUCCCUUUUCACAACUGUAUACCCACCUUUGCAUCCACCCACCUGUAUAUAAAUCUAUAUAUAAAUACACACAUUUAUAUGUUUGUCUACAGACAUAUGAAUAUGUUCGAUGGGAAGAUAUAUUUGCAAAUGUGGCCCUUGCUGGAGCUAAUAUUUCAGUGAGUUGAUGUGUUCAUACUAUUAUCCGUUCAAAUAUCUGAAGUAAAAUCAUUAAUUUCUAAUUACCAGGCACAAGAAAUUAGGGUAAUAUUUAGUUCUAUAAAUGAAUAUCUUUCAUUCUAAAAUAACAUAAUGGUGGUUACUGGGAAAAUAGGUGUGUUUAGCCACAGUAGGCUCAUAAUUCUGAUUGUGUUGGGUCUCAGCUUUGGUAAAGUGAAAAAACUCACAUGCCCUGUCACUUAAAUUGUGUGUGUGUGUGUGUGUGUGUGUGUGUGUUGUGAUAAUUUAGUUUUGAAACUAUGAAAAAGAAAUUUGAACUUAGGGAAAAAUAUUGCAAAAUUUUUUGUUAAUUUUUUUUUACAGUUAACCCCUUAAUGGAUUAUCCUGAGUUUACUUGUGCAUCGCAAAUGUAUCUUUUUAGAACCAGACAAGUAUACUCGGCCAAAAUUAAUUUUUAAUUUUAACACUCAAAUGAGUUUGUUCUGUGUUGUUUCAUUUUUGAGCAAUCACAAAUUUACUCACAUUGUUUAAAAAAAAAAAGUAUUUUUUCAUUUGAUGGAUUUGGCUAUCUGGAAUGCUUAUGUUUUGUAUAAAGUAUCUCUGAAAACUUCAGCUUCUGCUAUGAAACCACUGAAAUCUAGAAUGCAAAUAAUCACCAAGAUUAUUGAAAAAUAUAGGCCCUUAUUGCCUUCCACGAAACCAGGAAGACCAUCAUCGAUCCCACAUCCAACAAGAUUUGCCCCAGCUGGUCAAUUUCCUAUGGAAAUACCACCAAGUGAUAGGAAAAAGAACCAUACCAGACAGUGUGCAAAAUGUGCAGAGAAGAGAGACACCAAAGGAAAGAAGAUUCAAAGAGAAAGCAGAUACAUGUGUGAUGUCUGCAAGAUAAAUUUGUGUGUAACUCCUUGUUUUAAAAAUUAUCAUUCUAAAUAAACUAUCUCAUUUUCAAAAAAAUUUCCUUUGAUUUAAAAACAAUGCAUCUUAUAAAAAAAUCCAAGAUAGUUAAGUUAUAUGUAUUUUUUCAAUGUCUGAGUUAAUUCGUUUAAAUCAAAAUGAGUAAAAGUACAUUUUAAUUUCUAUAAUAAAAAAUAAAGGAAACAAGAUAAAAAACUUUUUUUGUAAUUAACACAGUAUAUAUAAUUAAAAAAAAAUAUUCUCUCAAAUGAAAUGCCAUGUCAAAAUAAUCCAUUAAGGGGUUAAGGAAAACUGAGGCAGCUUAAAUAUUUCAUCGCUUAAAACUAAUUCACUUUUACUAAAUAAAUAAAUAAAACUAAAUAAAUGCUAAUUCUGUUUCACUUGAAAUGGUUUCUAAUUUCUAAUUUUUCUGAAGUUUGCAUUUCUAGGUCGCUUAUGAAUCUACCUUAGCUGAGACAUAUUUUCUUAAUAUGAGUUUAGUUCUGCUAUAUAACUAAUAAUUGAACCAAAUGAAACUUAGUUUACUAAGUGUUUAAUGUUACACAAAUUGGUUAUACUUUGCUCUAAGGUGGAAUAACCCCUCCUUCCCUGAUUAUACAUAUAUAAUGUAUGUGUGUGUGUAAAUAUAAUAAACUGUGGCAAAAUUCCAGCUAAUUAAAAAUGAUCUGUAUUAUAUUUCAUUGAUGAAUUCCACUGAGUUAUUAAAGACUUGAAACAUAUUUGUGAUAAGAUAGAAAUUCUUUUUGAAAACUAUUUUCUCUUAAGUAAUAAAUUAAAAUUGAUCACAAUACACCAUGUAACAAUCUCUCUCGCUCUCCACACAUCCACAUCUAUACCACACUAGUGUUCUUUCAUUGCGUUCACUUUUUCACCUCAGUUCUCUUUUGCCACUCUCUCUUCCAAUGGCCUCUUGGUCAUAUUGUUUGUAUCCAAUCUCAUUAUCUAUAACCAUCAUUUAGCUGUUCCUCCCUCCUCUCCUUCUAUUUUUCUUUUCUAGUGUCUUGUCAUCACUCUGGUUCUUCUUUUCCAUUACCAUCCUCUCUGCUCUGGCUCUUUUCUCACCCUGAUGUGUAGGAAAGAAGGGAAUGAAUGCAUAGAGACAACAUUAGAGAGAGGGACUGUUCUAGUUUAGCCAGAGAAGGAACUCUGGUACAGGUGAAAGAACACAUGGUGACAAUGUAGGGUAGAGAGGACUCCUUAGUCCUGUUGAAGACAACCUUUGAAGUGCUGGUGCUACAAUAAAAGAAACUGAUUACACUUUGUAAAGUGAUUGAAAUUAGGAAUGGUAUCCUGAUGUAGAAAAGGAACAUAAGAGCAAGUUGUGAACCCCUACCCGACUACAAUAGUGUUAUAAUUAUUACAAUGUUGGAUUAUUAAUAACGCCCACUUCGGUAUACAGUAUACUUAGUAAAACCAGUAAAGACAUGACUAUCUCUUACUACGUACUUCGUACUCUGGUACUUCACGUAUUUUUCUUUAUCCAUAGUGACUAGGUUAUUCCAUUCGUCAUGUAGGAGGGGUGUACCAUUAUUACUAAUUCCCUACAUCAUCUCUCCUUUUAAGUUUUUCAUAGGAAGUGUCAUUUUAUUUAGCAAAAACUUUUUUCCACCCCACCUCCCUCUUUUGAAUUUUUUUUCUUUCUUUUCAUGCAGUUUAAUAUUUUCUGCCAUUGGCAUCAAUUUUCAGUAACUCUGUAUGUUUUCUUUUCUUCUCACUUGUUUCUUCUCACUGCAGGUUCAAUCACCUGCAGUGGUAUUGGUACUUGGAACAUAUCAUACAAUCAUUCCAUCAGUUCCACCAACUUCUUUGGUUUGCUUUCUAUGAAUUUCUUUUUCAGUUGGUUCCUAUAUCUCUUUUGUAUGCCUUUUCUAGUUCUUUAUUGAUCUGGUUUACUGCUGCAAAUGGCACAUUCCAUUUGGGUCUGAAAAUAGGUGUUGAAUUUUCUGUGAUAGCUAUCUCUUCUUUUGUUUUUGUGAAACAGCCUAAACCUUCCAAACUUACACUUUUUGUUUCAGUUCAUUGACCUCAUUCGAUGAUUUGACUGCUCCAUUUAUGUUAUUGUACAAAACGCUUAUGGAUGUAUCCCAUAACUCAAAUUUCUCCAUACAUUUGGUGCCAAAUAAAUUCAUGGAUUUUUCUGACACAUAAACACUCACUUUUUUGGUUCAACCUUUGAACAUUAUAUUACAAACGUAUUCACCUGUGAAAUAUAAUUUUCUUCCUGUAACACCAUACGCUAUUUUGUUUGAACUACAUAAUUUUGGUUUACCCAUUUGUUUCCAUGUUUUCUCAUUUAUGAUUGUGAUGUCACUUCCCGUGUCUAAUUGCAUUCUGAUGCUAGUGGUUUCAAUUCUCACAUUCAUGAAUUUUCUGUUUGUUGUAAUCACAACUUUUCCUGCUGACAGACUAUUUAAUUUUUCUUGUUCGUUCCAUUUUCCUAUCUGUAAACCUGCAGCAAUAACACUUUUCUUAUUUAUACAGACAAUCUUUUUUCAGGUGCAUACCAGCACAUGUCAUACAUGGAUCUAUAUCCCAGUAUUUUUUCUGUUUUUCCUGCAACACUUUAUUUGCCUUGCAACUUUCUUGUGCUAGUCUCAUGUGAAGACACUCUUUUCAUUAAAUUUCUUCCAUUUCAUGCCAUAAUUUUAAUAUCAUGUCACACUCUUCCGAUAGUUACUGCAAUGUCAAAUACGGGUUCAUUUCCAGUUUUGCUAGAAUCUUCAUUCAGAUUUCUGCAUCUCUUUUAUCUGUCAACACUUGUGCAAAAAUCAAACACUUGUAAGAAUCUGGAGUAAGCAUAUCCAGCCUAAAUCUCUCACAUUCUUUGUUGACUCUGCCUGUGUAAGUAGUGAAGUCUUCAUCUUCGUUCUUUUCUAUGUUUAAACAUUUCCAUCUAGUAUUAAACAGUGAACUCUUUUCACUAAACAUUUUGCACAAAAUGUCAACUGUGUCGGUGAAAUUUAUGUUGAAUGCUUUUUUUGGUAAUAUGAAGUUGCUAUAUUUCUCAUGCUCUGCUGUCACUAAUUUUCUUAAAACUAGAUGUGUUUUCAUUUCAUCUGUUCAAUCCUGACAUUCUUUUUCACAAAUUUGUUGAAAUCUUUGAAAGUAAGCCUCAAAGGUUACUCCUUCUUUGAGGUCAUAUUUGAAUUCGCUUAUGGAAUUUGCGACAUGGUUAGGUGAAAAUGUAUUCUCUAGUUUGAUUAUCAACUUCAUUAGUUGUAAUGUUUGUUGCUGCAAUCCUUGUUGUUUCUUGAGUUGUUGCUGCUUUUGCAACUCAGCUACCCCAGCUAACAAGUCUUCCAUAUUUUACAAUUUUCGUAAGUUUGCACAAAAUUUUUGUUUCUCUUUUGUCAAGUUAUUUAAUUUUUCACGUGAAUUAGUUUAAACUCUCUGUGUGGAUGUUUUUUUUUCCACUCUGUAAAUUUGUUUUUUCUUGUUGGCACUGUUGUAGAGUGGGUUCCUCCUGCUGGUGUGAUGUAUGACUGCCAUUGUACUGUAGCUACUGUUUUAUGUUAGUAGCCACAAUAGUUACUAGUCAUCAAAUACAGUUGUAUCUCUUUGUACCGGAAUAGUAAUACACUAACUUCUGUCUUACUAUUGCUGAUAGCUCUGCAAGACACUAACUAGAACUGUUGACUCACAACUCUUUCUCAAUGACUGGCUACUGAUCUAUUUAUAAUGGCUGCUUCCUACCACUUUUUACUGGGAGGGGUAUACAGUUUCACUAUACCACACACAUAUAUCUUAGCCUUUUUCAUUUGACCUCAACAUGUUACAUUACAUAUGAAUUCAUCGAAAAAAUAUCUUUUUCCUGUAACACCAUGUGCUACCUUCUUUUGAUUUAAUUAAUUUUGGCAUACCAAUAUAUUUCCACGUUUUUUCAUUUAUAAUGGUAAUAUCACUACCAGUGUCCAAUUGCAUUUUAACAAAUAUAUUUCUGAUUUUCACCUUCAUGAAUUUCUUCAUCAUUAUAUUAUCAGUUUCUUCUGAUGAAAUACUAUUUAUUCUUUUUACUUUGUUCUGAUGUUUUGUCAUCUUUGUUCUACUAUGCAUCUUUAUAUGUCCUAUAUUACCACAAUGAAAGCACUCUGCUUUUUUAAAUGGACAGUUUUUCCUCAGGUGUAUACCUCCACAUGCAAAACGUGUUUAUUUCCUGAUUUUGGUUUCGUUUUUUUAGAAAACACUUUAUCUCAAUUCUGACUAUUUCACACUUGCUUUACCUGGAAAUAUCAUUACGUUCAAUUUCCUCUGUGUCAUGUCUAAAUUUGACUAUCCUUUCACGUUCUUCUGACACUUGCUGCAGGGUUACAUCCUGGUUUUGUUUAAGCUUUGUGAAAAUUCUAGAUCUAACUUCUGCGUCCCUUUCAGCAGUAAGUCCCUGUAUAAAAAUCAGGCAUUUUAACCUAUCUGGCGUUAAUUUGUCCAGCUUAAACUUCUCACACUUCCUAUUUACUCUAUCAGCAUAUGUGAUGUAGUCCUUGUCUUUGUUUUUCUCUUUGUUCAGACUCUUCCAACAUGUGUUGAACAACAAACUUUUUUCACAAUAUAUCUAUUGUGUCAUUAAAGUUUAUGUCUGAAGGUUUUCUUAGGAGUACAUAAUUACUGCAUCAUUCAUGUUCUGUUGUUGCUAGUUUUCUGAAGAUUAAAUGCGUUUUCAUCUUGUCCCACUCUUUACAUACUUUCUUGAAGAUUUCUUCAUAUCUUCUGUAGUAUGCUUUGAAAGCAACUCUUCAUCAGGUUAGUGUUUGAACUCUGUUAUGGAGUUCACGACAUAGUCUGUUGAGAACACUUUUUCUGAUUUUCCUGAUGACUUCAGUAAUUGCAACAUUUGUUGCUGUAAUAUUAUUUGUUAUUGUUGUUGCUUCUGUUGUUGCACUUGCAGUUGUAUCUGCAUAAUGUUUAUGAUUUUUUUUGGUAAAAUUUGCAUGACAAAACUUUGUGAGUUUAUUAACUCCUCUUUGAGUUUCUAUUAACUCCACAUGAAUUGGUUUAUCCUCGUUGCCACUGUUAUAAUCCCUUUAAUGUUGGAUUAUUAAUAAUGCACACUUCGGUAUACAGUAUACUUAGUAAAACCAAUAAAGACACAACUAUGUCUUACCGCCUACUAUGUACCAUGGUACUUCAUGUACUUCUCUUUACUUAUAGUGACUAAAUUAUUCCAUUCAUCACUUAGGAGGGGUGUACCAUUAUUACUAAUUCCCUACAACAGAUAGCUCAUCCAACUAAUGGGAAAAGUGAAUAUAAAAUGUUAAUGGUGGCACUGCCUUCUCCUCCUCUAACAUCCCUGUUCUUUGCUAUUAACUAACAAUAUCAACACCAGUAAAUUCACCUAUUUCCCAUGGUUUUCUUAUAUAAAUAAAUUAAUUGAUGUUUCUGAUUGGAAAACCAUUUCCUAGCUUGCCACAAUUCCCUUGGCUCACCUCUGUUGGACAUUCUAGGAACUAAUAUUCUAUAUUUUUAGCUCUCCUUGUCAUUUGAUACAUGUACAGUCAAAACAUUUAUAUAGAUUUAAAAUAUUCAAUAAAAAACAUUGCCCUCAGUGUUUCAGACAAAAACAAAGGAAAAAACUAAUAUCCUACCUGCUCAGUCUGCAUCCUUCUUCAUAAGCAAAACUGUUAUUGUAAGCUAAAAGAGAAGGUCCAAGCCAUUAUAUUGGUCAUGCUUUAUAUGCUGCUGGAUUGCCAUUCUUCAGUAUUCAUGACAGUGAUAUCUCCCUGCUUGAGCCUUACUCUGUUUUCAUUUAUCAUUUACCCUAGGUAUUUCUGUUUGCAUAAACUCUGCUCAAAUUUCUCUCUCUUAACACUCUCACCUGUACACUGCCUGCCCCUUUCACUAUCAACUCCCUUUACAUGCAAAAAAACUUCUUGCUGACACAUUUUGCCUGAGAAAGAAAGGAAGGAAAAUGCUAACAGAGUUAAAACACCUCUGUGAUGCUCUGCAAAUAUCUUUGUUUUUUUUUUUUGACUAAAUGAAACAAAAAAAAAAAAAAAAAAGAUAUUUUCCCCUUUCAUCUUCUGAAAUUUGACAUAUUGGACUGUUUCAUUAGCAAAAAUUUGAUUCAUUUCUGUGUUUCUAUUUCAAGGAUAUUUUAAACAUUCUAUGAUGGAAUGUACUUUCGACAUUUAUUCAAUUGUUUAUCUUGUUGAUUAUCCAACACAUGGACGGAUUUUUUCGUCCUAUUUAUGAGAGUCAGGAGUUGAGAAGUGGAACAGCUCUUAUUGCUUGUUGCACAUACUAUUCACUCACUUGCAUGCACACAUAUGCUCACAUGCAAACCAUUCACUGACAGGAAUAUAACCUGUCUGUCUGCCUGUCUGUCUGUCUCUGUCUGUAUAUCUCUAUCUUCUGUCUGUCUGUCUGUCUCUCUUUCUCACACAUGCAAACAUGCACACAUAAACACACAUGUGCAUGCAUAGAAAGAGGCAUACACAAACACUCUCUUGCUGUCUUUUUUCUUCUCUUUCUUCUUCUUUGUGUUCUUGUAUAUCUACAGGGAUUGGACAAGGGUGUUGGACAGAGGCGUUUCCAUUAUUUUGUCCAACCCCUGUAUUUUUUCUUUUCCUUUCUCUUUAUAAAAAUUUGUUUAUCCCUUCAGAUCCAAUUUUCCUAUGCGGUAUCACUAUCACCACAUCCCUGCCUCAUUCUGCCUAUCACAACCAACAUUUUCAGCUUUCAGCUCUGAGCUCUCUACUUGUUUCCAGAUUUCCCACAGAAACCUUCCACUCUCAACUCACAAAUUUCACCUCUAGCAAGUCAUAUUUCUACACCGUUCAUGCUUGGCUCGCUUGCAUUUAGCCGUUCAUUGCACACCUAAAAGACCAUGUUUAACCUAUUCUUCUAGCUUCUCUGCAUUCAGCAUCUGCAUCUCAUUACUCUGCAUUUCCAUCUUUCUUGCACCUGCUGCACACAGUGUUCAUAAGAGAGCAAUAGAAUAAGUACUAGGCUAACAAGCAAUAAGUCCUGAGGUUGAUUUGUUCGACUAAAGGUGGUGCUCCAGCAUGGCCGCAGUCAAAUGACUGAAACAAGUAAAAGAAUAAAAAAGAAUAAAAGAAUGAUCUACAUACUUUUGUUUAUGAAGCAAAAGAGAUGCAAGGUCACUAAAGAAAUUACAGUAAAGGUCUAUAAAACUAUAUCUCCCUGAUCAAAAUGUGUGUUGUAUGCAAUACACAUAAAUUUACUAUAAAUCAUAUCUGCAUGAGGGACCAGCAGAAGAUCAUGACUCUAGACUUGCUUGCAGUGACCUUAUCUCUUAUGCCAUGAAUAUCUGUUAUGAAGAUGGUGACUACUGCUGCUGCUGUCACCACAGCAGCAGCAACAGCAUGAGGCUUGCAAUUCUGAGGUGCAAUUGAUUAUAUCUUGCCCCUCAGAUGUAAUCGACUGGCUGGUACUUUAUCAACCCCAAAAGGAUGAAAGAUAAAGUUGGCCUUGGUGAGAUUUGAAGUCAGAAUGUAAAGAGCCAGGAGAAACGCCAGAAGCAUUUUGCCCAAUGCACAAAAUACAUUACUUGGAACAGCAAGGAUCAUAAAAAGAAUUGUUGUGACCUGAGACUUGUUGGGUGUAGCUUGUUCCAAAGAAAAAAUUUUCUGGUUCAACCAUCUCACAUCAAGAUAAUUCAAAAAUAAUAAUAAUUUCAAAUUUUGGCACAAGGCCAGCUAUUUCGGGGAAGUGGUAAGUCGAUUCCAUUGACUUCAGUACUCAACUGAAAGUAUGAAAGGCAAAGUCGACUCUGGCAGAAUUUGAACUCAGAACAUGAAAACGACAAAAUACUGCUAAGCAUUUUACUCAACAUACUAACAAUUCGGCCUGCUCAUUGCCUUAAUAAUAAUAAUAAUAAUAAUAAUAAUAAUGACAAUAAUAAUGACGACGACGACGGCGACAGCUUUAGUUUUUGACACAAGGCCAGCAACUUUAUAAGUUCUCAAGUUGAAACUCUUUUUAUUAGUAUUGUUAAGAACACCAAGCACCUCAACUAUAUUAUAUCUAGCUUCGUAAUUGUUUACAAUAAAAUGUCUUUUCUUGUAUGUGGAAGUAUAUAUAAUUACAUACACAUGUAUGCACAUACAUUGUGCAUAAUGAAGAUAAUUUUUAUGCAAAGUUAGAAAGCAUCCAACCUAAUAAUCCAUUAACUGACUUAUAUUUGUUAUUUCUUGUAAAAACCAUCUCUGUUUAUUUUUACAAAAUUUUUGGUGUCUUUUAGAAAAAAAUCUGACACUUUCUUUGUAUUUUUUUUUUAGAUAUUUCUUUGUUCUUUCAUUAUUUGAACCUAAAAUUGAUUCUGUCUACUCUCUGCUGCAAUUGCUAUCUUGCCACUUUCCAUACAAGUACUGCAACACCACUAACACCAUCACUGCCACCCCCACUGCCAUUGCCACUUCUAUCAACUGUAACUUUCACUCUGUUUCCAACUCCAAAUAGCUUGUAAAAUUGUUUUGCUGUUGUGUUUUUUAAGAAAGUUUUUGUAAUGUAUCCUUUCACAGUCUAUCUUUUCACUGGACUUGAGAAUUUCAUUUCCCAUCAGAAGCAUCAUUUACCAAGGCUAAAAUGUAGAACAUGAAUUCAAUUGUUGAUCUUAUCUGUAUGGGUUUUAAUACAGUUUUAAAACUGUUUUAAUAAAUUAAUUAUAACUAAAUACUACUUCUGCUUCUUUCUCCACAUUUACUACAUAUUCCUGCUGAACUUUCUCUUUUCAUUCUUUAUGUCUCUAGAAUUGCUAAGUCUGAUGAUAACCUUAGUCUAUGAAACCCAACAGAGUUGGAUGGAUUGACAAUACCUCAAUAUUAUCAUGAAGCAGUGUACUCUGAGUUGACUCCUGUCCUUGCCAAAUGUCUGAACCUUCACUAAGAAUAGAAAUGCACAACAGUUUUGUCUUUUCCCAUGAACUGCAAACUUUGUAUUUGGUUUAGUAAUCAUAUUCCAACAUUUCUUGUUAGUUCAGUUUUCUUUUUGUGUAGCACAUUACAAUAACAGCAACACCCUACAUCACACAUGAUAGGUAUAUUUUGGAGAAAAGGAAGUUGUCAUACUUGACAUUCACAAAACCAUCAUCUCCUUCUGGCAAAGCUGCCUGUCUACAUAUUCUAUUUAUCAUUGGCCCUUACAUUGAGAUCUUCUUGUGAAAUUCUCCAACAUGUUGAUACCAUUCUCUCCUCCUCCUCCUCCUCCAUUAAUGACCAACAUACUGACCAUGUCUACCCUUCUGCUGAUCACAUGACUCACUACUCCUCCAUCCUUCCCCCUUCACCACAGCAAUGUUACUGGUUCCAGACACAUGUGGCACAACCACAUCACACCAGACACAUACAUCAUUUAUGAAGAGAAACUAUAAAACAUGCUACAAAAAUGAUUUAACAAAAGAAAUUAAAACAUAAAAUAAAUAGUUCAAGAAAACAAAGCUACAAGCCUAGCAGCUAUAGUGUUGAUGGUGAUGGUCAUGCCUGUUCUGAAAUAUAUCUUUUAUUUGUGGAACAUGUCUUCUUUUACACAGUCCAGUGUUGGAAGUCCACAAAACUGUAUCUUGUUAUUCACCUCUACCUAGGUUUCAAAUACUUCUUAGAUAUAUCCAACUUUGAGGGUCUAUAUAUUCUUGUUCUUCAACACUAAUGUAUAUAACUUAAGAAGUUGAAUAUGAAAACACUUGUAUUUAGCCAUAUUUUAUUAUUUAAAUAACUUAUAUAUAAAUAUUGGUUGGUUACUGACUUCUAGAAUGAAAUAACAUAUUCUCUUGUCAUGUUUGACUCGUGUAAAAACUUAGCUCAGCAUUGUUCAGUUUUGUUAGUCUGUGACUGACUGAUACCAACAGAAAUUAACUAUAAACUAUAGCAAAUUCUAAGAGAUAAAAGGUUUCUGAAGUAGUCUUAAUUAUUAUAAUAAAGAAAGAUUGCACCUCUUAGAAUAUGUGUGUGUGUUGCUUACAUUGUUUUAAUUGUCUAAAGUGCUAAUUGUAUGCUAGUUAAGAGAAAUAGCAUUUUAAAGUAAUAACCAUUAAUUAAGUUCUUUUUAUUCACCAGUUAUUAUUGUUGUUGUUGUUAUUCACUCUUGACUGUUAGUGAAUAAUACUCUUAAUGUCAACAUUUAUUUUUUUUUCUCAAUCACUUCAUAACUAUCUAGCUAAUUUAAUUCUCGACCAAAUCAAAUGUGAUUAAGUUCAUUGAAAGGACCAGUGCUAUAUUUUGAGAAUUGCAAGAGUGGAAGCAAAACUUGGAAUCAAAGGAUCUUAAGUUAGUGAGGAUGAAGCUUCUAGUACACAAGAAAUCAGUCAGGACCCUAUCCCCAUCUUAGGUAAUUGGCCCUGCUCAGUAUGUAGGAAAGGUGUUGGCAGGUAUUCCAUAUGGUGUAUUCAGAGCAAGCUAUGGACACUCAAGAGGUGUGGUGGAAUUGCAGGAAGGUUAAUGGAGAAAGUAGUUUUUGUAUGUGAAGAUGAUCAAGGGUCAUAAAAUCCAAGGUUACUGCAAAUAAGGUAACUACGCCUUAACGUGGGCAUAGCUUUCAGCAAUCAUUCACUGAUUUGGCUAUGAACAUGAUGAGGUGAUGAAGAGGGAGUGGCAGUCACACUUUAAAGUCUGUUAACCUGUUAUGUCUAUUAAUAAUUAGAGGAAUAUUAGAUUCAAUGCUGUAAAUUUAUUAUUUAAUCAAACAAAAAAAAAAUAUAAAGAAAAAUAUCACAGCUAGGCUUACUCUAAAUUCCCACAUUCAUUCAGAGCAUUCACAACAAUUUCAUUGUAUUUAUUCUUUGAAUGCAAAAUGCUCUAUUAAAAAUACCUGUACAUCAACACAACACUUAUUAGUUUAAACUUUUGUGUUUAGCCCAAGGUAGACCACUUGAAUUUUAAUAUGUUCUAUUCUGUUAAUGAGGUGAUAAAUCAUAGAGACAUUUCAUGUAUCUACUAACUGUGUAUAUGAUCAUGCACUUACUGAUGUUUUAAAUACUUUGUUUGGAAAAACAGAUGGCGAGGGGUGAUCUGUCAAUGGUCCAUCAGAAUUGACAAAAUGCUGGGAGCAAAUAUGGCUAUUUGCAGUGUAAACAAAUUCUUUCCUCACAAGUCUCAAUCUCUGAAGCCAAAUACAACAAAUAGUGACGUUUUCAGGGUAUCUAUGAAGUGAAAUAACUUUGCCGUCUACAUUCUUCCCUCUAAUAAUUGCUGCAUAUACAACAGUAUUUGUGUGAUUUCUUCGGAGACAUAUUAACCGGUCAUACAGCCUGUGAGUUGUUAGUCUGCUGAAGUAAAUGCAAGUCACUGAGCAUGCGUACAUGUCAUAUGGGAGAGUUCCAAUCGGAACCACCUAUAGCAAGAUGCCUGUGCUUGUCCUAUCAUACUUCAGCCUUUCAACACUGGCAUAAAGCUACCCACAUCCACAUGUCCCUCCCAAAUACUUCUUAGUAGUGGGAGCUUUUUCUUUUUCCUUUUUCAUGCUCUUUUCUGUUUUGUAAGUCACAUGGCAACUUCACUAGUGCCAAAGACAUGAAAAAGUACCCUGUACAUUCUGUAAUUUGAGUGGUGUAAGGAAGGACUUCCAGUUGUAGAAACCAUGCCAAAGAUGACAUUGGAGCCUGACAUAGCCCUGCAUCUUGUCAGUUCCCUGUCAAACCAUCUAGUCUAUGCUAGCAUGGAAAGCAGAUAUUAAAUGAUGAUGAUGAUUGUUUCUUUACUGCUGUUUCAUUAGUCUUUCUCUUGUUUUUUUGUGAAGUCACACUUUUCAGACCAAAAAAAAAUAUUUAAACACUAUUUUUAUCUUUUUAUUUUCAGAAGUUGUAUCCCCCAAGAAAAGUUUUGGUAUGUAUUCCAUUUGUUUCUUGUCUGUUUCUUACAGAAGUUGUGGCAUUAUUGCAUCAAUGCUACAAGGGUUCUCAUACAAAUUUAAGUGUAAGCUACUUAGUGGUGAAGUGGUUUCAAUGAUGAAUUACUUGAUAGAUAUGGGUUUAUCAAUUCUCUUUUGUGCAUUGCUCUAGUGUAAUGUUUUCCAAAGGUGUUGGGAAGCGGCAUUAUUUUGAUGUGAAGUAUGAAUUACUUCAGGAUAGGAUGUAAGCCAGUAACAAGUGAAUAAAACUUGUGAUGAAGUCUUAGUUAAAACUCCUUUUGAAUGUGUUUAUGUAUAUUGUAUGGUAUAUAUUUAAGACAUAUACUUCAUGCGAGAUGUAUAGUUUUUUGGAAGUCAUAGAGAUGUGGGACAAAAAACUAGUGUUCUAGCACAUUCUUCACUUAAACAUUUCAGGUGAAAAUAAUCUGCUUGACAUCCUUCCUUCCUUUCUUCCCAAAUUAUUAAGUGACGAAUUUAGGGACCAUAGUAAUGUGUAGGACUAUAAUUUCCUCUUGUGUGUGCGCACUUACAAUGAGCAUUCUAUAAAAAAAUAUAUAUAUAUAUAUAGAUUCUUUCCCUCUCCUCAUCAUAUAUAUAUAUAUAUAGAUUAUUUCCCUCUUCUCAUCAUAUAUAUAUAUAUAUAUAUAUAUAUAUAUAUAUAUAUAUAUAUAUAUAUAUAUUGGGUGUGAUGAAUAUACUGUCAUCUAAAUUAUGCAAAAAUGAAAAUAACACUGGCAUCUCAUUUUAACAGAUAUAUUUACCAAAAUUGCAUAAAAAUAUCUUGAAAUACUAAUGAGUAAAUUUAUUCUAUAAAAUCAUCAUUGGCUUCAACCAUGGCCUCCAGAUGACUUCGGAAUCUCCUGCAACUCUUCUGGAUGGUCUCCUUGUUUAAGUUGGUGAAUGCUUCUAUAAUCUUUGCCUUCAGUUCAUCUUUGGUGUUACAAGGAGUUUUGUUGGUCUCUUGCGCAGUUGCAUUCCACACAUAAUAAUCAAGGGGUUGCAGUGUGGCCAGGUGUUAGAAAUGAUGUGGUUGCAGAAAUUGUCUGACAACUGUGACUAGGUUCUCCUGUUUGUGUGACAUGGUGCAGAGUCCUGUUGCCAGACAUAGGAUCUUCCAGCAGCCACCCUUUUGACCUAGGGCAGCACUUCCUCCUCCAGGCACUUGAUGUAGGCCUCCAUGUUGAGUCUGAGGCUGUGUGGGAAGAUGAAUGGAGACAUAAUGUCGCCAUCACUAGUGAUCACUCCAAACAUCAUGAUGUUGACUGGAUGUUUGAUUUUUGUCACUCUCGGUACAUGUCCUUAGAUUGCACUGUCCUCAGAUUGACACCCAAACAUUCUGAAAUGUUUGUAUUGGAGCUUCCAGCAUGAAUGCCAAGCAGUACAGCAUAUCAUUUUCAAAUUUCUGGCAGAGUGAAUUGUAUCAUGGUGCUGUUUUUCUCACAGACAGUACCCAACUAACCCUACUAUACUGCAUUGUCGACAAAACCAAAAACAAACAAUGCCCAUGCCUGAAAUUAAAGAUAUAAAAUGGCAACAAUUUUCCCCUCGCACCCUGUAUAUAUAGCAAGCAAAAUGUGUCUAUGCAAGUAUCUUUAACCCUUUAGCAUUUAGACUGACCAUAUCAGGCCCAAAUAGUCUACUUGUUUUAUGUUCAAACUGGUCAGAUCCAGGCUCUCACAUAGCCUAUAAUGUCAUUCUAAAAAUGGACAACCACAUUAUUGAAAUUUUGAAGCUAUGAGAUAAUGCAUGAUUAAUUCAAAACAAUGUGAAUAAAAUAAGUGUUAUAUUUGACAAAGUAAUCAGAAUGCUAAAGGGUUAAUGAGUUUAUCUGAAAACAGAAUCUGAAUCAAUAAGAAAAUAUGUAUUCUUUUUAUCUCUCAAUUAUUUUGAGCACAGAUGUCUCUCUCCCUGCAAUACAUUUAUUUUUUCAAUAGAAAUUAUUGACAUCUAAGAAUUAGAAUUUUUUUUUUUAUGUCUUAUUUUAAAAAAAAAAAUGAGUGCAAAGAAUUCAGUAACACCUGCAUAGUUAUUUAGAAAUAAGAAUUGAAGAUAGAAGCAGGUUUUAAAUCAAUUGGAAUUACUUAACAUGCAUUGGCCUUUAUCAGCUUCUAGACAAAUACAUAAAACAUUGGCUUGCUGGCUGCUGUUGGUAGUGUGCCAGAAUCAGUAUCAGCCAGAUUUCUAUUUCAAAUCUUAAGUGAUCCUGUCCUGUAGAUUUGCCAAAAGAAUAAAAGAAAUGAUUUGUUCUGUGCAAAGUCUGCCCAUGUGGUUGGCAAGCAUUUGAAUUGAACUCUUAUUUGUGUAUAUUAUUACAUGCAUUAAUAACCUCAGGAGGUGUGUUCAUCGUUCAUCACCUAUAUAAUUUCAUAGCAAAUGAAUCAUUACACACAUAGACAUGUUUGGGAAUUUCCAAGUGUAAACAUAUAAUCGUAUACAUCAUUGUCAUUUUAAUGUUCACUUUUCCAUGGGUCAGGUAAAUUUGUUGAAGCAGAUUUUAAGUGGUUGGAUUCCCUUUUCACAAACCUUCAUCAGUUUUCAAGCAAGUUAUUCCCCACUAGUCCUUUAAAUAUGAACAGCACACAUAAUUACAAAAGAAGCCUGUAUAACUGAAGUUUCUGGACAAAUGUAUGUUGUCAAGAUUACGACAGACUUGCACACAUACAUGACAAGCUUCUUUCAGUUUCCUUCUUCCAAAUCCACUUGUCCAAAGUGCUGCACAGUAAGACUGAACCUAAAAUCACAUGACCAUACCUGCACCUAUAUUUAAACAUAUUUAAAGUUAUUCUGCUUUGUGCUAGUGGCCCUUUUAAAACAUCCUUUUUCAAGCAUCUAAUUGGAAGAUUUGAUAUUGUUGUUUAGCAAUUAUUAUACAUAUUUAACAAGUUUAAGGGAUAAUAAUAAUAAUAAUAAUAAUAAUAAUUUUUCUAAUUUGAGGGGAGUCGAUUAUAUUGAAACCCCUCUUCCCCAGUGCUUGACUAGUGCUUUAUUUUACUGAACCUGGAAGAACAAAGUUGACCAUUUAGGAAUUUAAACUUGGACCAUAAACUACUGGAACAAAUAUUACUAGGCACUCUAAUGUCUCCUGUUCUUACCAAUUUGUCACCCAAUUUUGUUUUCUUUUAUCUUACUUCUGUAUUUAGUUUAUAUUUAAUUAUUGUAAAAAAAAACAUUAGAGUUAAUUGAUUAUUGUAAAGAGUUGAUUAUCUAAUGUCACAGAUUUUUUUGUACUUGAGAUUUAUUUUAUUUCCUUGAAAAGAGAAAUAGCAAGAUUGAUCCAGUAUUGUUUGAACUUAGACCAUGGAGAUCACAUCUGCUACCAAAUAAAGUGUUUUAUUUGAUGCUCUGAUUCUCUUACCUGUUUCCCUUUUAUUGACCUGCUUUCAUUUACAAUCAAGAAUGAGUGUUUCUGCCAUCAUCACUCCCUCUUCUUGAGUCCCCACCAUCAUUCACAGUUGAGUACCUUUUCUCCUCUUAUCUAUGGUCACCACCACCACUAUUUCUGUCCAUCAUUCAUCUUACCUACUUUUGUAACCUUUGCCUACCCUUCCUGAUCUUUCAUUCUCUCUCUCUCUCUCUCUCUCUCUCUCUCCUACUCAUAGGUAACUUUAAUGAUAUACCUUGGCUCCUCACCACCAUUACCUCCCUCUUUCUCUCUGAUACCAUUCCACUCGCUCUCACCUAUAUACAACACAAAAUAGUCCUAAAUCUUCUCUUACUCCACCCUUUCCACUGUCCUCUUCUUCACUCUCACCAGCCUGGAAACAUUACUCCUUUUUCUCCCCACCACUCUUUAUCUUAUUCCGACUUCUCUGACGUGGGAAUUCUUCUCUUUAGUCUUGCAAGUUACAAAGGGACAUCGCUAGUGUUGGUACUAUAAAAAAGGCACUCACAACACUGUAACGUGGUUGAUGCUAGUGGCCAGCUUUUAAAACAUCCUUUUUCAAGCAUCUAAUUGAGAAGAUGUAGAAUGAUGAUUGUGAUAAAGAAAAUAAAUGAGCUACAAAUAUAUAUCCAGAAUUCUAAUCCACCAAAAUUUUUUUACUACUUAACCCUUUCGUUACCAAACCGCCCAAAGCCGCCCGAAAAAAAUUUUGGUUUAUGAGACCAAACCGCCCAAAGCCGCCUGAAUUUACCUAUUCAUAUUUAAAUGAGAAUAUCAGAGCAAAUCUCUUCAGUACAUUCGUGAAAACACGUAUUAUACUUCGUAAACAGUUCAACUACAGUUUUGUACAAUAAUCGAAGUGUAAUUUUAAUUCCGUGAAUUUUGGGAGAUUUUUUUCCGAAAUUUGUUCCUAUUGUGUUUUCAAAAUUUGUAAUUCUGACAAAAAAUGGAUACGAAUUUCAUUAUAUCAAGCAGCGAGUCAGAAUUCGAAGGAUUUUCUACUGAAGACCUUCAUAAAUCUAACUCUAUGACUGAAAAAAAAAAAAGCAUGUGGUAUUUGAUAAUGAAUCUGAUAUUUCAUCUUCCGAAAGUGAAAACAGUGAAUCUGAGAUCUCCGAUAGCGAUAAAGAAAACGAAUUGGCACCUGAAUGGAGUGAAAAUUUAAAAACUGUUUCUUUCGGUGAUUUUUCUGAAGAAACUGGACCAAGCCACAGACUUUCCCAGAAGGGUAAAGCCUUAGACUAUUUCUAUUUACUUUUUCGAAUGAGCCUAUUUGAAAUCAUUACGGCAGAAACGAACCGUUACGCUAAAAUGUAAACAAAACGAAAGAAAGUUUAGUUUGUGGUUUCCCACAACCUUAAAUGAAAUUAAGACUAUUUUGCCAUAAAUAUUGUUAUGGGUAUCAGAAAGUUAUCCAGAAUAACAAAUUCUAUCGUAAAAUUUUGUUGUAUACCCAAUUGAAUAUUAGCUAAUAACCCAUUUUCUAUAGCGAUGUUUGAACAAAAUUUUAAUAAUUUUAUAUUUUGUUGAAUUUACCUGUAUCUACCUGCAAUUAGAGUCACUUUGUGACAAAAAUUAUAGUAUAGAAUUGGUUGAGAAUAUUUCAUUAAAUUAUCUUCCAAAAAUCAGAUUAAUAUAUCGAUAAAUAAAAAAGUUAUAGUUGUUUAAUGAAACCAGACUAAAUUUAUGAUUACGUUAGAAAUUAAUUGAAACACAUAAGGGGUGUAAUUUGGUCAGAAAUAUAGUAACGAAAGGGUUAAAGUUUAUGAUAAUGCAGCACAUUAGUGAAGACAAGAAAAAUUAUUGAUGAAUCAGUUAUUUCAGGUGACCCAAAUGAUUGAUGUGAUUUAAUUUUCCCUUAACCUUUAGUAAUAAUAAUCCACAUCUAUCUUAGUUACCACCUCAGUUUCUGCAUGACUAACAAACUUGACUCUGCUUAUUCCCUUCAAAAGACCUGGAUGAAACAAAACUAGUAAAAAGAAGGACAAUAGAAGGAUUUUGCAGUUGUCAGAUUCAUUAAAAGUGAACUUACUUUUAUUUCUGAUUCUCAGUGACUCCUAUUUAUUAUGUACAAGAUACAAUUUCAGAAGAUUUCUACAGUUUGCAACAUCCAUUAAUAAGUCUCAAAGACUUGUCAUAAAUAAUGUGUUUGUGCAUUAAUCAACAUUAAUAGAUCUAAUAGCUUCAACUGUCAGAACUUUGGUGGGUUUGUGCCAUUGUUGGCCCAGACCAUAUCUAAUUUAAUAGCACCACCUGUGGUAAGUAAUACAAAAUGAGAAAAUGCAAGGUGAAUCUGAUGGCUUCAUCUUCAAAUAAAGUUUAAUAGUCUUCUAUGGAUGAUAGUUAUUUCAUGGUUAUUCUAUCCUUUUUCUUUCAAUAUAUCAAGGACUAUGUUAACUAAUGUCUUCCCUGUUUUGUUUUUUAAUCAUGGUAAGAUGUGGUUUGGUGAUAAUUUGGCUGCUAUUAUUAGCAAGUUUUGUAACCACAUAGUGGUUUACUAUUUUGCUCCCUCUUUCUAAGCUUCUGCUGGUUUUUGCAGAUUUAAACAAAAGUUCUUUCUCAGAACUUUCUUUAUCAAAAUUUACUAUUCUACAGAAUAAAUUAAACCGUGAAGAACAUCAAAAUAUAUUUUUUUGCAGGUUUAAUGUUCAAAUGUCAACCCCUAUAUUUACUGUGGUAAAUACAUUAACUGUAAUUUGAUUGCAAAGUAAUGUAUCAUCUGUCAAUUUGUCAUUGUGCCAAAUUCAUCACCAAAAGAUCUGUCAUGCUUUAUAUACAUUACAGUUUUUAUUUGCUGUGUGAAAAUGCUGCAUUUUAUUAAUAACUAGCUUAAUGACCUGGUGUCACCUGGGUUACAGCUGUUAUUAUUCAGAUUAAUAAGCAAUAAAUAUAAAGAUAUAUUCUCAUAAUUAUUUCAAAACAUCUAUAUUUUAUUAACAAAUAUCCAAAUUGUAAUGAUAAUAGAAUUUUGAACUGAAAAUCUGUCACUGUUGAAGUACCUCAGGAUAAGCAAUAUUCAUUGUGUAAAUUUUUGUUGGUGUCCAAAUGAAUAAUUUGUUGUUGCUUCCAACAAGCAACAUAGAGUUGGCUGUGGGAGAAGCAUGUAGUAGAGAGAUCAAGUGCAACUAUCUUGAAGGAUUGACCCUGAGAUUUCAUCAUGAUCAUCAUUGUUUAACAUCCAUUUUCCAUGCUAGCAUGUGUUGGAUGGUUCGACCGGGGUCUGGGAAGCCAGGAGGCUGCAUCAGGCUCCAGUCUGAUCUGGCAGUGUUUCUAGAGCUGGAUGCUCUUCCUUAUGCCAACCACUCCGUGAGUGUAGUGGGUACUUUCUACAUGCCACCGGCACGGAAGCCAGUCAAGGCGGUGCUGGCAUUGGCCACGUUCGGACGGUGCUUUUUAUGUGCCACCAGUACGGGUAUCACAACUACAAUUUCCAUUUGAUUUUUAUUUUGAUGUUGAUGUACUUGAUUCAUUAGGUCUCCUCAAGCACAGCAGGUCACCCUAUGAUCCAAGGUAAGGACAUCAGGCCAUCCUGCGAUCCAAGGUACUUUGGAUGGGCUGGGGUUGCUAUGUGAAGUUGGUGCAGGAAACUGCCAUGAACUCACGUUAUUUGCUGGUGCAGGAAACAGCCCUGAACUCAUGUUAUUUGUCUGGUCUUCGCAGUCACAGCAUAUCUCCAGAGAUCCCGGUCUUUCGUCAAUGCCUCUGUGAGGCCCAACAUUCGAUGGUCAUGCUUGACCACCUCAUCCCAUGUCUUCCUGGGUCUACCCCUACCCUAAAUUCCUUAAAAAUUGGUAACUCGGUUUUCAAAUCCAUGAGGAACACAAACAAUCUCUCUCUCUCUCAUAUAUUAAGAUGAAAAAAACUUCAAAGACAAAAAAAUUCCAUCUUGCAAUCUAGAAAUGUGUUAGAAGUUUUGAAAAAAGAACAAUGUACUUAGUAGAUUAAAAAGUUAAGUAAAAUGAAACCCAUCCAAAUGGUUUUCCAAUAUGCUGUACAGGAAUGAGUUAGAAUGUUUUUAUUGUUAAAAAAAGAUGAUGACGUUUCCUCUAUUUACAAAAAUGUUAAAUUACAUUUUGAGUUGUAUUUACUCUGUUGAUGUAAAGCAUGAUUACAAAAUUAUAGAUAAUGUAGUUAGCAAGUUCAUGAAUUCACCAAUGAUGUAUUGGCUUGUUAUGUAAUUACCUUGCAAUGAACUUGUCAGGUGAUGUAUUUAUUGUGAAGCCAUUGUUCAUAAUGAAUUUAUUGGACAAAGAUUCUGAUAUUCAAUAUUAAUGGGGCUUCUUUAUAUUCCUUGUCAACUUUUUAAUGAACUUGAUUUUUGUGAAAAUCUGUUGAAGCUACCUUCUGGAUGUAUAUUAAAUAGAUCAUUCUGUACUGUUUAAGAUACCUUCUAGAUAGUGUAUAUUAAGUAGAUCAAUUUCACUUCAUAAAUAUUUAGCAAACAAAUUGGCAAAAAGUUUAUAACGCCCGCCUAAUAUUCUUUAAAUAUUGAAGUUCAUUGUGGUUGUUUGUUUAUGGUUGUCAAUCAACUCCAGUAAUUCUUAUCUUGGAAGAGUUUAGUGAGCAUAUGUUUGGUGUGUAUGCAUGUGUGUUGACCUGAGUUAACUGAGUCUGUAAAUUUUAAUAUUCUGCAAAUUCAAAUGGUUUAUGUAAAAUGUACUAAUCCUUCAAGAGUGAAAUUAUGUUUACAUUUAGUUUUCAGUGUAUUUAAGAUGACUCAAGUAUGGUACAUUACUCUACAUAAGUCGUAUAUCUCAGCUUGUUACUCCUACAAUUUGAAAUCAUAACCUUUUAGUAUGUAGCUUUAAACUUUUGAAAAACAAGUCGGUUUGGUUUUAUGCCAUUUUAGAAAUUCCAAAGAAAUGUUAUAUCAGGUUUUCUCAAAAAUCUUGAAAACUAGGUUCAUUUGGUUCACCUUUAUGGUCUUUAACCUGUAAUCUGUUGCUAAGCAAUUUUAAUCAAGGGAAAUUUGUAAUGAGAAUCCAGUAAAUUAUCUAAUAGUAAUUCUAAACCAACAUAUGAAUCCAAAAUGACUUCAAAUUUUAUUUGGAAUUGUCUUGGGAUCAAUUAUGUUCCCAGUUUCCUUGGAUUCUACUCUUUUGUUUUACAUUAAUUAAUAUUACUCUGUGAAAAUUUUAUUUCAAAUGCUUUGUGAUUCAGUUUUGACAUUAGUGUCUGUUUAAUGAGAAUCUAUAUUCUUUAAUUAAAAAUACUCAAAGACUGAAUCAUUGAUUUCAAGCCAUUUCUGUAAAAUGUUGCAAUUCUUUUCAUUCUUUAGUUGCAUUUCAAAGUCUGUUGUUAAGUUGUUCCAAAACUAGAAACAUCUGAAUUGGUUUCAUGAACAAUAUUUUGAUAUGGAGAAAAAAAGUUUGAUUUUGGCAGCUCAGUAUUGGACCCCUCAAAAAUUUCAUAUGAAAAAUAUUUAAAGAUUUCUCUUCUCAUAUUUAUUCCAGAAUGAAACAUUUUAGAUUUUAAUUAUUCAUUGUAAAUAUUAGAACUUGAUAUUACAGAAAAGAAAUUAAAUAUCUUAAAAAUUCCAUGUUAAUUUGUAUUUUUAAAUCAAAAACUUCUGGCUACUGGUUGAGAGAGAGAGAGAGAGAGAGAGAGAGAGAAAGAAAGAGAGAGAGAAAGAAAGAGAGAGAGAGAGAGAAAGAGAGGGUGGGGAUGGGGGGAAUUUAUGCAUAUAUGUCCACAAAAACCAUGUUCUCUUUUUAGAUUUCAAGAACAUUACAAGAUGCUUCAUAACUAUGUACUUUACUUUAUACACGACAAAAAAAAAAAAACCCUGACAAUAUAGAUAUUCAAACUCAUUUCUAAAGAGUAAAUUCUUUGUUCCUAGUGGUAUAAACAUUCAGUUUGUCAAAUGGAAUAAUUAUUAGUUGUAAUAGUUUAUGGUUUCUUCAUAAAUAUUCUAUAGACAAUACCAUAGACACUGUUGCUAUAACCCCUCUAUCCCCCCUCUCUAGCCAUGUAACCACACAUGUGCUUCUCUUGGACUAUUCUUUUCCUUCUCUCUGGACCUUACCUCUCUCCUCUUUCUGAUGAAAGGCCAUGCUUGAAACAUCACCCCCACCUCAUUUUUCCAUCUUAGACUGAGCAUCAACCUUAUAGAUUCACUGUGUAUGUCCUUUUGACUUUUGUUGUUUUUGUUUUUAUUUUCGAUUUGCCUAUACAUAUACCACUGACAACCAGAAAUUUAAGUACUUGGUCUUGGUGUUUGUUCAUUACCCUAAAUACAUAAGAGAUGUGUUUGUGUGGUGGGGGAACAGGCAAUGAGGUGUUUUGUUGUUGUUAUGCUUAUUCUGUAAUCUUAUUUGAAGACCCAAGCUGUUAUGAAGAUGACCAAAUCUGAAAUUGUUUUAUGUAGUUGUACUUACAACAUUGGAUAUGGUUUAUUGAAAUGUUGAAGAUUCUUGGUGUAUAAUUUAAGGUCUGGAUUGCACUAUUGUAAAGUACAGUGUGGUUGUAGGCAAUGAAGGUAAUUUAUCACAUGCAACUGUAAAGUUUUACAAAAUAUCAAAAGUUAGUCUUGGACUGUUUUGGAUUAAUACCAAGUAAAAGAUGUUGCCCUUCUGAAAAUGAAUAAGUUCCAGUAUUGACAUCCCUAGUUUUGAAAAUCUUGCUAUAAGGGUUGCUCUUAUACUAGUUUUAGCUCAGUAGCUGUGUCCACACUGAGGGUUGUUAAUGUUUAAGUUGCAACAUUCUUGAAGCUAUAGAUAAGAAAGUCAGACAUUAUCAAUGAUUUAUCUUCUUAAUGAACAUAUGUUCUGAGUAAUCUUUGUAGAAAUGUGAUUUUAAUUCUGACUGGACCAUUUGUUUCUGUAUCCAGAUAAUUCCUAGCCCUUUGUUUCCAUAUUACUGUUUGAUAUUAAACAGAAAAUGUAGGAAGGAAAACUAAGAGCAUAAUUUAUGAUGACAGUCUUAUCUUCCAUCAGCUUAGCUUCUUGAACUGUUGUAGACAGUGAAAGUAAUUGUGUAAUACUCUUAUUGAGAAAUGUGUAUUAUUUGCUCAAAAUAACUGAACAGUGAUCGUUGAACUUAUGGAGCUAUAUGUUUCACUAUAUUACAGUGGGUCUGAAGAGAAGAAAGUUUAGCUUUUAUUGGGGUCACUAGACUGGUAUAAAGAAACUGAAAAGUUUUAGUGUCAAUGAAAUAUUGCUAUGUUAUUAAUCUUAUAGAUAGAUGUUUGCUUGUCAGGUGUUAUUUUUAGCUAAACUUCUCUCUUCAAUGUUAAAACGAAAUAUAUAAUUGAUUUCUGACAAAUGUUAAAUAUUUACCAUAAUAGCAUAGAAGGUUUUAAGCAUCAAAGCUGUAUUAAGAUAGGAUAUUAAUUAAAUCAUUGAAAGUGUAGUUUGAUGGGCAAUAGUCUUAAUAUAGAUAACAGUUUAGUUUGAAUAGUUUCAGGGCUGCACCAUUCCAACUAAAGAUGGUCUAGCUGACCAGCAGCUAUGACAAAGUCCUGUCAUCAAGUGAACUGAAUUUUUUUCAGAGUUUAUUUCUAAUUUUUCUCUAAUGAUAUUGAUUUUAAAUCUUAGCACAAGGUCAGCAGUUUUGCAGGGUGGGUAUAAGUUAAUUACAUCUACCCCAGUUCUCAGUUGGUACAUAUUUCAUUUAUUCCAAAAGGAUGAAAGGCAAAGUUGAACUUGGCGGAACUCAGGACAUAAAGACAGAUGAAAUGUUGCUAAGCAUUUUGCCUGGUACCUUUUUUUCUCUAAUGAUAUUAAGAGACAGACAAAGAUGUCUCGUUGGUGUUGCUGGUAUAAAUUACAAUAUUAUUAAUUUUCAGCAUAACCAGAUGAUCAUCCUUUAGACUACAUAGCCUACAUCCUAAAUGGGUAAUGUUAACUGUCUGCUUCAUAAAUAUUGUCAUUAAUAUUUAUGUAUUAAUUCAAUGUGUAGAUGGAACAUUAGGCUUCUAAUGACUCGCCUGGUUUUUUGAGUUUCACUUUAAUUUAUAAAUUUAUAGUGUUGGGAUUUUUUAAAUUUUUUAUUAAAACUUUCUGAAAGAUGAAAAGAUUAGGAUUAUUCUUAGUUUGUUAAUAGCCUUUUUAUUUUUUAUUUGCUGGGUUUGGAGGAAGGGCAAUACAUUCACCAGUGUGGUUGAUGACAUUAAUGUUUCUCUUAAACCUUUAUUAUUAUUAUUAUUCUAUGUUUGACUUUUGCUUUAUUAUUAUUAUUAUUAUUAUUAUUAUUUAAGAUGUCACACAGUAUCCAAUAUCAUAAUGUUGUUGAUUGAAGAUAUUGUGUCUUUGGGGUGGGGUGGGGGUACUGUCUGCCAAGUCACAACAAGGACCUCAGACAGACAGUACUUUAUGCAAUACACCUAAAUUGUAGAGUAUUUCUAAAGUUUCCAGAUGUUUUUUCAGAUUGGGUGGUAUUGAAUGAACCCAAUCGUCUGAUGACAAUAAGGACAACCUUUAUGUUUGACUCUCUUGUAACUGCCAAAUCUUAGCGAUCUCAAUUCUCUGGUAUCCAUAUUUAUCAGUCUUUUCUCUUUCUUUCAUGAUAGAUAAUAUGUUGAUCUCCUGGCACUGCCACAUAGAUUAUUAGGCACUCUUGUUUGUCCCUCCUAAAGGUGACUAUAUCCAACCUUGUCUGUCUGGAAGUCAAAGUCUCAGAGGAUUUUUGCCUUCCCUUCAGCUUUAUUUAGCUGGGUAUGAUGGAAAGUGUCAACUGUCCACAACCAGCAGACUAAAAGGACGUUUGUUUACUAAUCAUGCUUCAAGGACUCUGCAGAAUACUCUUGCAGUUCUAAACAAUGAUGAUUUUUGUGGGUGUUUUAUCUUCACAUUCAUUCCAAUUUUUUGAGCCAUGUUGGUAGUUGGGUACUGAUGCUUCCAAGUGCAAUUAUCAUCAUCAUCAUCAUCAAGUCAGGUUUUGUUGGAACUCCUGGAGUCUUGUAUGUGUAGUGGGCUUGCUACAUGCAGCCUAUGGUUCCUUGCUAUCAGUUCUUUUCAACUAUCUAAUACUUCCCUUUUUAUUAUAAUUAUAAUAAUAAUAAUAAUAAUAAUAAUAAUAAUCAUAAUCAAGGCAGCAAAUUGGCAGAAUUGUUAGCAUGUCAGACAAAAUGUUUAGUGGCAUUUCUCCUGACCAUUUACAUUCUGAGUUCAGAUUCCUCUGAGGGCAAAUUUGCUUUUCAUUCUUUCAGGGUUGAUAAAAUAAAGUGCCAUUCAAGUACUGAGGUUGUGCUGGCCUUGUGCCAAACUCUGAAAUGAUUCUUUCCUUCUUCCUCUUAUUAUUAUUAAUGCAGUAUAACUACCACCUCCACCAAUGAUGAUGAUGAUAAUAAUAAUGCAGUAUAACUUAUCUAGUCUCGCAGAAGCUACCCCCUAUCCACCAAUCCAUAAAGAAAAAACAACAAAAAAGCAAAACAUGGAAUUUGAAACAUUUGUUUUAUCAAGCUGAAAUGGAAAGAAAGAACUUGGUUUCCAGCUGACUGCAGUCAUUUGCUGAAAUAACUGAUACCCUUUUUGAAGUCAAUGUUUGGUAUUAGUGAAGGCUUCCUGUUGCAUUAGCAGAGUUUGUAGUACCCCCGCCCUACUCUGAAGAAAGAAUAAUUGCUAAGAACUAUAUACAAUUCAGAUAACUGUAUACAGGCAUUCAUAUAUUGCUAAUGUUACCUAGAUUUUAAACAAAUCACCUUAGUUUAUGAUAGCUGUCAUCAAUGCUUUUAUUCUUAGCGAGUUGUUUUGAUGAAGAACAAAGAGACAUCUCUCUCUCUCUCUCUCUCUCUCCUUAUGCCAGUGUCCUUCACAUGAUUAAUCUUCAUAAAUUGCUAUUUUUUUGUAUUUGUGCUUCAUUCUUGCUUCAAGUUGUUCACUGAGAAAUAUAAAUAUUCUUUUUAUUUACAUUUUAGUCUUCCAAAAUAAUUAAAUGCACCCAAAAAUACCUGAGUGAAUAAGUUAUUAAGAUAGUGAACAGCUGACCAGUUAAGGUCAUUAGAUGAUUUAAUUUCAAAUAUCUAUAAAGCCAACUGCCAGCCAGUUUGAUAACAUUCUUGUCAUUUGUAGAGUUUCUGGAGGGCAUUGAGUUACAAUAGUGGGAGGUUCAAUCUUCUUAGUUGUUUCUUGAAAUUGAAGAGGCCUCAAUCCAAAUAAACCAACUGAAUGGUGUAGGCCCAGGUUUCCAAUGAUGGAAGUCUGGAAAGAAAAAGACAGUUUGGUUAUGGGUUGAACAUGUUUGAGCACAGGUCUCUUUAAUCAGGACUAACCUGGGGGUCAUACUACUACUAAAUGGCUGAUGACUUUGUUGGUUAUGAUGAGUGUUCCAGUUGAUACAAUCAACAGAACAGCCUCUUUGUGAAAUUAAUGUGAGAGUGGCUGAGAACUCCACAGAUAUGUGUACCCUUAAUGUAGUUCUGAGAGAGAUUCAGUGUGACACAGACUGUGACAAGGUUGGUCCUUUGAAUUUUAGAUACAACUCAUUUUUGCCAGCUGAAUGAACUGGAGCAACAUGAAAUAAAGUGACUUGCUCAAGGACUUAAAUACACUAUUAGGCAUCAAACCCAUAAUCUUACGAUCCUGAGUCAAACAUUCUAAUCACUAAGCCUUUUGUCUUCAUAUAUUUCUACAUGAUUCAAAGAGUAUUAACUGUAGACAGUAUAUGUCAAGUUAAAAUGCAUGUUCCAAAAAUUCAUAUACAACUACUGAAAUUUUCUGAUUCUGCAAUAAAGCGGUAAAAAUAUUUACACAUGGUUCAAGAAUGGUUUUGCUCUCUGAAAGAAAAAAUUGUCAUCUGCCUUGGCUUCAUCUUAUCUCCAAACUUAAAUCAAAUUAUGUGAGGGCGUGGAGGAGGAGGAAUUGGAGGAAUUUUGAAAUGGUGGCUGUUCGGCAGUGAAGGUGUGAAUGAGUGUGUCCCAGGUGAAAGUUUGGAGCAGUAAAUGAAAUAUGAAUCAGUGGCAGAAGAGGAUGGUUAUGAUGAGUUUGGCCAUGAAUGAGACUGACAAAAUAUUUAAAAGGCAUGCAUGUGAACACGCGUGUGCGCGCACACACACACUAGGUUUUUUUAAAAAUAAUUUUGUUAAAAAUUGGAAAUAUUUUUUAACAUACUGGAGUUGAAUUAAAGAUUGAGUUGAACAGCUGCAAAUGUCACAAACUCUGGAAUUUAUCUAACUUCUUAGGUUUGUCAUAACUCUGUUAUAUCUUUUACAUCUUUAUAGGUGUUAUCUUAUAAUUAUUAUUGUUAUUUACUAUUUUACUGUCUGACACUAUACAAUUGUCUGUGUUAUUGGUGUUUUAUGUAGUUAUAUUACUUGUUCAUUGUUUUUUAUGUAUGACGUUGUUUUCAUGUUUUAUGGUAAUUCAGUUUUGAAUUGAUAAUCUAGAAGUUAAGAUUUUAAAACGUUUAUUUACUCAAACAGUUUUUUAUGUUUCUUUUAUGAGUUUUAAUUUCAUUUCUAAAUAUUGACUUUCUCCCAACAUACAACACACAACAGAAAAUCUGCCACAAAUUUCAUAUCUUCUCAGUUUCCAAAGAGUUGUUUUUGUUACAACAAAGUCAUGCCUUGUUUAGUGUUAUCAUUCUGUGCUGUUAUUGAGUCUACCAAGUUUAGACUAAAAUCAAAUACAAAGCAACCUCAGUUCUUGAAUGUCUCACAUAUCAAACAAAUCCAUUUUCAAACAGAAAAUUCGAGAUGAGAAUGCCUUGGUUAUUGAACAAAAUUUCAGUUCUCAAACAACAUUGCUGAACUCAGCUGAACUGAAUUAACCCAAACGGAAUCAUUUCUGUGUCAACCACUGUGUUGUAUACAUUUCUGCGUUGUGCUGUGUUUUACUUUUCCAAUUUUAUUGUACUGUGCCUUUUUUCUCUUCAUUAGCCCUUAGUCAUGGCUCCAAAGAAAGCUAGCAGUGAUACUGAUAAAGGAAAAAGAAAAGAUGAGAGAAAAACAAUUGAAGUGAAGAAAGAAAUCAUUGCAAGACACGGAAAUGGUGUUUGAGUGUCAAAUCUCACUGAGCAGUAUGGUAUGCCUAAACCGACAAUAUCUGCUAUUCUAAAAAAUAAGGAAGUGAUAAAAGCAGCUGUUGUUGCAAAAGGAGUGACUUAUUAAUUAACAAAGACCAAAGAUGCUGCUUAUUUUUAUAAAUGAGAAACAGUUAACAGGUGACAAUGUCAGUGAAGCAUUUAUUUAUGAGACAGCAUUAGAAAUUUAUAAUGAUCUGGUAAAGACAACCCCUGGUACAAGUGCUGAAAGUGAUACUUUUGAAUUCAAAGCUAGUAGAGGCUGGUUAUAGAAAUUUAAGAACAGAAGUGACACAGUGUAAUUAGGCAUGAAGAGGUGGCAAGUUCAAACAAGAAAGCGACUGAGAAAGUUUUGAUUGAGUUUAGUGACUUGAUAAAGAAAGGAGGUUAUCUUCCCCUACAGAUGUUUAUGGGGGAUGAAACAGGAUUAUUUUGGAAAUAAAUGCCAAAUAGGACCUAUAUUACUAAGGAGGGAAAAGCAUUGCCAGGGCAGAAGCCAAUAAAAGAUAGACUCACUCUUUUGCUAUGCGGCAACACAAGUGGUACUUUCAAGGUCAAGCUAUUGCUUGUUUACCAUUCCAAUAAUCCAAGGGUUUUCAAAAGAAAAAAAAUGUUAUGAAGAGUAAAUUGCCUGUUAUGUGGCAGGCUAAUAUGAAGGCUUGGAUAACCAAAAAAUUUUUUUAAUUGAGUGGAUUCAUGAAGUUUUUGCCCCGAGUAUUAAAAAAAAUAUCUGCAAGAAAAAAACUUGCCAUAAAAUGCCUUCUCAUGUUAGACAAUGCUCCCACUCACCUUCCAGGUUUGGAGGAUGACUUAGUUGAAAAGUUUGAUUUUAUUCAGGUCAAAUACCUUCCACCUAACACAACUCCUCUAAUACAACCAAUGGACCAACAGGUUGUUGCAAACUAAGAAACUUUACAUAAAAGCCCUGUUUUGUAAGUGUUUUCAAGUCACUAAUGACACUCAGUUAAUUCUCAGAGAAUUUUGAAAAAAUCAUUUCCGUAUCCUGAAUUGUGUUUAUCUUAUUGAUAAUGCAUAGAACCAAGUGAGUUAUAGAACCAUGAAUUCAGUUUGGAGGAAACUUUGGCCAGACUGUGUACUAUAAUGAGACUUUGAGGGGUUUGAGACAGCUACAAGUACUGCUGCUGUCAAAGAAAUUGCUAUUGUUGAAGAUAUUGUCUCUAUGGGAACAACAAUGUACUUGGAUGUCAACAGUGAAGAUAUUGAAGAGCUGGUGGAAGACCACGGUUCCGAGCUUACCACCAAAGAACUUGCACACCUUCAAAAUGAACAGCAAAAGACUUUGGCUCAGGAAAUGUCUUCUGGGGAGGAGGAAGGAAAGGAGGAUGUUGCAACUUCUUUAAUCAAAGAAAUUUGUGCUAAAUGGGUUGAUGUGCAAAGUUUUGUGGGAAAAUAUCGCCCUGAUACAGUGAUAGCAAAUAGAGCAGUAAACCUUUUCAAUGACAAUGUCUUGUCUCAUUUUAGAAAAAUUUUACAAUGCAGGCAAAACAACUAACAUUGGACAGGUUUUUACUGAAAGAAAAAAGAAAAGAAACCCCAGAGAAAGAUUUACCUGAACCAAAUAGACAGAGAAGGGAAUCCCCUUCCCUGAAAACAGUUACCAGACGUUUUUAUGGAAGGGGAUACCCCUUCUAAGAAAUAACACACUUUUGUGUGUUAUUUACAGUUUGAAUAAACGUUUUUCUACUAAAAUAUUUAGUGUAAGCAUGUGAAUAAGCAUUCAUCUGGUGCUUGGAAAUGAGUUAAUCUCUUUUACAUAAAUUUUAAUGGGAAAAAAUGAUUUGGUUCUUGAACAAUUCAGUUUUAGAACAGACUUUCAGAACAAAUUAUGGUUGAGGACCUAGGUUCUUCUGUAUUUUAGGUUUUAUUCAAACUCUUCUCUCCACCACUUCUUUAGACAGUGGUCAAAUCAGUCUGUGAUGUGUGGUGGUGACCACAUAUGUCAAAUUUUGGUCAAAUGGUCUGUGAAGGUUAUAAAUGUAACCCCAUCCUUUCUUCUGACUAAACUAACCAGUUAACAAAGCUGGCCUUCUUCAGUGUACGGUGGACAUUCUUCAGUAUGAAGUUGAAACCUGGUCUCUGAAAAGGAGCUUCAAGAUUACCUUCAAGAUUUUUAAGAAGGGCACCAAACAUCUCAUUGCACUGACACAAGACUGAAAAGGAGAUUUAUAGACAUAUUCCACCCACCACUACUAUUGUUGCUCACUGUAGAGUAGGCAUUACUGGUUACUCCUAAUUAUGCUGCACAUUAAGCCAUAUCAGGUGUUGUAUUUUGGACAUUUCCAAAUGCAGGAUGAAGGCUACUCAAGUACAUUGCUAUUGGCAGAGGGAGACAUACAACAUGAAAUUGAAGAUAUACAAAAUCAGUAGUGGUCAGAGAUUCCUGUGAGGUGAGGACUACAUUGCAAUUGUUGCUAAUUGAUGGAAAAUAGUAGAUACUUUACUGUUGUCUUCUUGAUUGUAGUUUUCUUUUCAUUCAUUCAUCUCUUUCGUUUUAUUUUUUCUGGCUAAAUUACUUCAUAGCCUUUUGUUUUGUUCUUCACAAUUGUGAUGUUUAAAAUUUGUUCCUACUUUGUUAAAGUUUUAGUUUCUUAGCAGCUACUCUAGUGGAUUAUUUAACUCUAUUUAUAUAACUCUAUUUUGGAUAUUUUAUUAAUUGCUACAAGUUUUUUAUACUUUUUUUAGUUUUAUGACUUUUCUAGCUGUAAAUUUAAGUUAAUAAAACUAGUUUAGGAGCAAGACUAGAUUAAAACCCAUAGAGGCCCUAAGCACUUAAAAGAUUUCGAUGCUUCAUAUAUAUGUGGUUCAAAAUAUAAACAAUAAUAAACCAUAAAAUAUAUUUUUACUUUUCAAAAGCAAUAGUAAGACAGAAAAUAAUGUUUAUUUUUGUAUAUUUUAACUAUAUUUAUAUUUGAAAAGUUUCCUCCAACUUUUUUUAAUUGCAAAGUCUUUGAUCAGAUCCUCAAAAUUAAUCUUAUGUACCACACCUGCUUCUAUACUUAGAGAUAGGGCAUCCUGAAUAUUAUUGUAGCAAGUUUAAAGUGAUUCCUUUUGUACUGGUGACCCCUCCCUCCCAUCCUCCCUGGUUUAGGAGUGAUGACAGCUGUAGUGUUUCUGUACAAAAUAUUCUUUGAUGAAUUCCACGAUUUCCAUCAGCUCAUUCUCAAACUAGCAGCCAUUCUCAUUAUAGAAUUAAAUCUUGGAUAUUCUGAUAUCGGUAUAUACUCUUAGGCAAGGUAGAGGGCUCUCCUUCCCUUAGUGAAAAUACUACCAGAGGUUAGUCAUUAAGUUAGAAAUGAAGAUGGGAACUGAUUCAGGCUAAUUAACUGAGUAUAGCAAUUCCAUUUGACUAUCAUUAAUGCCCUUGAGAAGGACAUGAAUAUCACUCAAUCUCACUACACCUAUCACUGACGCUUAAUCAGGUCAUCUCUCUCUCUUCCCUCUGCAAAUUCAGUCUAUUUCGGCACUUCUCAAUGUGGAAAAUUUUAUAUGGGCACCAGGAAAAAAGGGGAUGCCAGGGAGUCUUAGAUGAUUCUUUACAGUUUUUUAGUCUUUGGCCUUGAUUGAAAUAUUAAUUUUCAUUGCUUGUUAGUCAUCAUCACCAGCAACAAUUACAAUAUUAGUAAUAAUGAUGGACUUUGAAAUAUAAAAUAAAUAAAUUAACAUAAUCUGUGUUUGUAAAUAAUAAACAAUAUGCGUAAGUAUAAUUGUAAAAAUUAGUUGGUAUUUCCACACAUACAAUAAAGGUAGCCACUGCACUUCUAGUGUUAGGUCAUGUCUCAACUUGAAAUAUGCAAAUAUAUUGAUAUGUAAAUGUUUGUUGUUGAUUCUAGCUAUGAGUAUAAACAGAAUUUUAAACUUUCAUAUGGGCAGAGAAAUUAAUGUUUGUGGAUAAUAUAGAAAAUGGAAUAUAAGAAUGUUUCAACUGGUUUCCACACAGGGUAUAAUAUGAAGCACAAAGAAUAUAUACCUGAGUUUGUUUGAAGUCACAAGCUAAAAUUUGGGGCUGGUAGUCACCUGUAUCAAACUAGUACCAGAAUCAAAUUACCCUGGCCUAAUAAUAUGUGUAUAUGUAAUGACUAAAAAGAGUUUGAGAAGCAUUAACCUAUCUGAAAAAUAGUAGGUGUACAAUAUCUGUUAUGACAUUUUCUGUUAAUAUUUGUAGAAUUAAUUAUAUUAAAGCAGAGCAAGAAAUAAUAAGGCCAAAAAAGUGCAGAAGAACAAAAAAAAAAAAAAUGAUAUUACUCAUUUGAAAUUUUGGAUAAAACUAAAAAUAUUAGUACCAUUAAUUCAGAAAACAUCAUAGCUCUCAAAUCCAACAAGCUUAUUAUAUUUCUUUUUAUAUUAACUCUUUUCUGCCAUGAAGAGUCCUUAAUUAUUUUCAUGAAUUCUCUAUUUGCUACAUAAAAUCAGUUUUAUUGGAAAGGUUGUUUCUUUGUUGUCGUAUCUCUGGUGAAUUUUAAUCGAAUGUUUCUAAACUUAGUUUAUAAAGCACUAUUCUAAAUUUCAUUUUAUGUUCAUCUGUCAGAAUUUGUCUCUGGGAAUUACUAAAAUUUCUUCUUAAAAAAAUCUUGUAGCAUGUAUCUUCAUGUAAACAUCAUGUCAAAAAUAUUGCUAAGCUAUAUUUAUUUAAAAUUUAGCUGUUUGAUGGCAUUAUCUAUUGAAGCAAAUCUUUAAGUUUGAUAUCUUUUGGCUUAUACUUAAGAAUAUAUUCUGGGAUUCUUGCACAGGUUCCUGCUUCCUGUGUUUUUCUUCUGUAUUAAUCACAAUUUAAAUGUAUGUUCCUUGUAUAAUUUUCUAGAUGAAUUCUGAAGUUAGAUGCAUAUAUUUAUUUAUAGAGUGUGUGUAUGUGUGUGUUUGUGCAUGCAUACACAUACAUCUCUAUCUCUCUCUUCCUCCAACCUGCUCUUGAUGUUCACUUUUGGUUAUGUAGGUGUUGAUUAAAAACUGUUUUACUACAAAGAUAAAGUCCUCCCCAAGAGAUACUUAAGCAACUUCUGUAUGCUUUAUUAAAAGAAAACUAUCAUAAAAGAUAUAAACAUGCACAAACAAGUAUACAUGUAUGAAGGUGUGUAUAAAGGGAGGUGUAUGUGAUACCUAUUUCCCUUUUUUUUUGUCUAUAUUUUGGGAUUUUAUGUUUUUAAAGAAUUAUAUUUUGUGUUUACUUGAUAAAAUUUAUUAUGAAUUAAUAUUUUUAUUUUCUCAUUUUCUUUCAUAAAUCCUGUUCUUGGUUAAAUUUCUUUUUAACUGUUCUUUAUUCUCCUUUUUGUUGGCUGUAAAUUAAAGAAUAUUUUGUCUAUUGUAGCGAUUGUACAUGGCAUUUUUAAAACUAUUUCUCUGUUGCUACAUUUUAAUUGAGUAAAAACCUCUCUCUCUCUCUCUCUCACACACACACGCACACACGUAGUGUUUUAUUGAACUGAAGAUGUUCUCACAUUGGAAACAAGGAGUACAGAAUAAUAUUUACAGAUUAUUUACCCGCAGUUGUUAGUAAGGCAGAAAGCAGUAAUUGUACAUAGUUGACAAUGACAUUGUGUUGGUAUGUUUGUCACUUGUUGCUUGUUGUGUUCUACUGGUAGAGAGAGAAAGAGUAAGGAUUGCACUCUGCUGACAGAGAGGAAGAAAGGAUAGAUGGCAUUGUUUUUUUUUUAUUCUACAAACACAAAAGAUUCCACCUUUGUUUGACAAGCAACAAGCAAGUGGAUUCAAUUUCAAAUCUCAGGCAGGGCCAAGCAAGGUCCCUACAUAUUUACUGAAAGUAAGUUAUGAAAAUAUAUAAAACAAUCAUGAAGUUUUGUGACACUUAUUGUAUUGUUGUUGAUGGUGAUAGUUUGUGUAGAAUUAAUCCAUUUCUUUAUCUAUUCAAUGCAUGACCCAUAGGUAUAAUGGAUUAUAUGGGUUUGUUGUAGAGGAAUUAGGAUUAACAUAAACUAAUCUGAUAUUAACUUCAUAUCACUGAGCUUGUCAGAAACCCCUGUUAUCAGAGAGUUCACAUUUAGAGUGAAGCCUCAAUCACAAACUUGGCAUUAUGUAAAUGAUAAUGAUUAAUUUCUGCUGGUAAAUAUUUUUUUAAGGUUUUAUUCCAAACAAAGAAAUUAAAAAAAGAAAAAAAAUAGUUGAGUGAACCCUUCCAAAUUCUUGGAAAAUUAAUUGGAGCAUGUAAAAAUAUGAUCAUGAAAGAGUUGAAUUAGGAAACCAAAGUGUGGAAUUGACAAGUAUGUGAAACAAAAAUCUUGAGAUUUACCAACUGAGAAUGAACCUGUAAAACUGCUUCUCAUGUUCUGAAACGCAAUGCUUUAAGCAGAAAACCCUAGUGACAUGCCCAGUACGUGAUUAUAAUGGCGUUUACUUAUUGCGGAAUCUGAGAUGGUUAAAAGUAAGCUAUACCAGCAGGAAAGGGAGAAACAUAUGUGAAAGAUAGUUUAUCAAAAGUAAAAGCAUCAUCUAGAAAUAGAAUUAUAUUUUUAUCAUCUGCAAAUAUAUAGUUCAGGAGUAGCUGCCUAUUGAAGGUUUGGUGACAGUUAACUAGAAGUGUUAGGAGGUUGAUGACAGCUGGCUUGAAGUGAGGUAGGAGUGUCUACUUCUGGGUGAUGACAGAUGCUAGGUUAUAGUGACAUUUGGCUGGAAGUCUAAUGGUGUGAGGGUGUAAUCAGGCCUAAAGUUUUAAGAUGGGAUAAUAGAGGUCAGCUUGUUACUUUGGCAGUUGAAAAAGUCUUUCAGGAUAUUAUGACAGUAUAGUUAUGAUUGCUCAAUAAGGUCAAGGAAGUUGUACCAUCUAAGUUUGGAGAAUAUCAUCAAUAAAGAGUCAAUACUUAUAUUUAUAUUGUUCAAUGUUGUGAUCAACACUAUUUAAAAUCUCAAUCAGUUAAGAUCCAUAGUUUCCACAUUAUACUUCAAACUGAACAUCAGGUAUUUGAAAUAACCAGGAGAGUGGAUUUGCUGUAAAGAUUUUACAUUGGUAUGAUUAAUGACAUGCACUAUAUACUUGUUCUUUAUUUCAGCUUUAUUAUUAUUCUUAUUUUAGUGUCCUUUGUCUGAAAUCUUUCAUCACACAUCCUGUGACUGCCUGCAGGAUGGAGAGUUGCUGAAGAGGUCACAAGAUGUGUGAUGAAUGAUUUUAGACAAGGACACUAAAGUAAGAAUAAUAAUAAAGCUGGAGUGAAGACGAAGUAUAUAGUGCAUGUACUUAAUUGGCAAAAAUAUUGCAGUAUUUGUUUCAACACACAAUUUCACAUCAGGAAUGUUGCGAAACAAAUACAUAAACAUAAAAUGAUUUUAUGAUAUCAACUAAGAACUGUAAUCAGAUGUUAUAUUAUACAUUUUUAUUACAUUUAUGAAGGACUAUUUUCUAUCUGUUCUGGAAAUAUUAUACACUUUUAGCAUUAUAUUUCCAGAAGGGUUAAAAGAUAGUCCUUCAAGAAAUGUAAUAAAAGUGUAUAUUAUUUCUGUCAAAGUAAAAACCAAAUUAUCUAUAUACUACUAAAACUCCCUGAUUGCUUGCUUGCUUGCUUGCUCUUUUGCUUGUCUGUCAUUUAAUACAGCCAAACUGACACAUAAUGGGAAAAUACUGUGAAUUAAGGUACUCCUGAAAUGUGAAUGCAAAUAUAAUAAAACAAGUCUCCUGAGAUAUGGAGUGGUUUUGGAGUAUUCAUAAAUAUCCAAAACAGUGCAUAAUAACAUAACCCUGAAAGGGAAGAAACUGUAACCUUUCGAUUAGAGACAUGAUCAAUGUCUUGUGUAUUUUGAAGUGAAACUUCAUAUCCUGGGCAAAAGUCUUAGUGACUUUAACUUGCCAAUGAAAAAAUAUGAGUUGUUUUUACAGAAAAUGUUUCUGUUUUCACUUUUGUUAAACACAAUAUUUUAAUCAUGUAGAAAUAUUUUUAAGUGAAUGUGAUUUCAAAAAUACAAGUUGUUUGUACAGUAAACAUUUAUAUUUUAGUUUUCUUUAAAUAGACAAUAUUUUAAUUUUAAAAAAAAUUCUUUUCAAGGGUAAAUAUUUUGUAAAGGAUCUGUUUGUAAUUUGGUGUGAAUUUUCUUCCACAGGUUUUCUUGAGUGCAUUCAGUGUACCUGACCUCCAAACCUGCCACAAGCCACUUUUUUUUCCAGAAAAGAAAAGGGUGGAGGGAUGGGGACCUCGGAGUUUUCCAGGAAACUUUGAGUUUCUCAUCAACAGUUUUGUUUCACAAGUUUUUUUUUCUUUUCCAGGUUAUUUCAUAUGCUUUCAAUGAAUGUAACAUCGAAAUCAGACAUAAACUUCUUUCCCCAGAAAAGGAAAGAUUUGGCUGCUAUUUCUAGCAUGCUCUGAUACCAUGUAACUGUUAUUUGCAUUAAAGGACCCGGUAUAGCUGUUAUGUGCUAGCAAGGCAUACUAGAAAUAGCAGCCGAAUCGUUCCUUUUCUGGGGAAAGGAGCAGUUUAUACAUGAUUUUGAUGCUACAUUCGUUGAAAGCAUGUGAAAUAACCUGGAAAAGAAAAAAAACCCCACAAAACAAAACUCUGUUGGUAGGAAACUCCGAGAUCCCCACCAUACUUCUACCUCUUUCUCUUUUGGAAAAAGUGUGGCUUGUGGCAGGUUUGGAGGUCAGAUACAUUGAAUGCACUCAAAAAAACCUAUGGAAAAAAAUUAUUUCACACUGAGGUACGAACAGGUCCUUUAUGAAAUAUUUACCCAAGAUGGGGACAGGCAUGUGAAUAGAAGGAGCAAUGAAACUGAUAAAGCAAGGGCUGAGCAUCUGGUGGAACAGAGGGAGACAGAAGCAGGAGAGAUCAGAAAUCAGACACUCGGAGAGCUGAGCAUUGAGCAAAACAGAGGCGAAGAGACAAAAGCAGGAGACAUCAUGAAUCGGAUGCUCAUGUGAAUACAAAUGGAAUAAAACAAGUUUCAUGUAAAUUAGAUCACAGGUUACCGAGAUACAUAGUUUUUUCAGGUACCUUUAUAAAUAGCCAAACCAGUGUUUGGCUUUUUAUAAUGGGGAAAAUGUUUUGAAAAUAAGGUACCAUUGAAAUGUGAAUACAAACAAAAUAAUACAAGUUUUACGUAAAUCAAACCACAGCAUCCUGAAACACGCAGUUUUUUUUUUGGAUACCUUGAACUAUUGGUGACCCAGUGGGUCAUGGGUAAUCUAGUAGUUUACUAAAACUGUUGGAAAACUGAGAUAAAAAUAAGCAAUAUCAUCAGUUUUGAAGCAGCAGAUAUCAGUUCCAAUUAAAAAGUUAUCAUCUCAUCAGCAUUUAAUUUUUCUUUCUAGUUUCUAAUUACUUUUUUUUAAAAUUUGUUUUGAAUCUAUUUAACUUGUUGGUAGAAAUUCAGAUUUCUCUCACUAUUUUGUGAUUAUUAAUUAACUACAGGCUAUCAAUUAUGAGACACUGCAACUAUUUUAACAUGUGCAGUCAACCAUGCUGUAGAUUUUCAUUACUGAAAGAAUUUCACCAUCUUCUGACAAACCUCUUUGUUUUUCCUUAAUUUUUUUUAGUAAUUUUCUUUUUUAUUUUCUUGAAAAGGAUAAGCUUGAAAGGUAUUGUGAAAAUUGUAGCUAAACACACAUGCGUGCGCGCGCACACACACACACACACACACACAUCCAUUAUACUAAUCCCUUCCUUUUCCUCAGUCCCUUCCAUAUUCUUGCUCCCUCAACACUGUUACUUUCCCUACCACCUUUCUCUUUCACAACUAUAAAUCUCUUUCUGUUAUACUCCACACUCUCUAAUCACCAUUAUUAUUAUUAUUAUUAUUAUUAUUAUUAUUAUUAUUAUUAUUGAGUGAGAGAGCAGUGCAUGCCAUCAAAGUGAUACUGGGGUAAAAUAUACUAUAACCUUGGGCUGACCAAAACCUUGUGAAUGGAUUUGGUAGAUGGGAACUGAAAGAAGCCUGUUGUGUGUGUGUAUGCUUGUGUGUCUAUGUCUGCAUAACUUAGCGUUUCGGCAAAAGAGACCAAUAGAAUAAGUACUAGGCUAAUAAAGAAUAGGUCCUGGGAUAAAUCUGUUGAACUAAAGGCAGUGCUCUAGCAUGGCUGCAGUCAAAUGACUGAAACACGUAUAAGAAUAAAAGAAAAGAAUUAUUAUUAUUAUUGUUGUUGUUGUUGCUAUUAUUAUUAUUAUCAUUAUUAUCAUUAUUCUGCACUAUCAGUGCAGUUCUGUGUACCUUGAGUAUGUGCAUUGGUUUGUUUUGGUGUUAUUUUUAGUGUAUCGAAGGUGCUCUAUGUAAGUGAUGUGUGGUGCCAAGCAGUGUUAUUUUCUAUUCAAUAUAUUCCUAUGUCCAGGUGCUUUCAUUGUAUAUUUGUCUGCAUGUGUUGUUGACCUAUUAUUACAGGAAUUGUUUGUUUUCAGGUUCCACGUUUAAGUUAUUUCUGUUUCCAGAUCUUAGUUUACUUAUAGUUUCAUAAUUUCUUUGAGAGGUACUUUGGAUUGUUAUGUUGAUUAGAAGGUCUUUUUUCUUGGUCAUUCCUCACAACAAUAUCUGACUUUGGUCCUUCUAUCUGUGUGUAUUGGCAUAUCCCAGAGUAUGAUUUGAUUUGUUAUUUUCUGAAAUCUUUUUCGUUAUAUCAUCACUUUUCAGUUGACAUUCCAUAGUGCUGACACAACUGCCAGUGUAUAUAAGUCCUAAUUCUGUCAUGUCUAUGGAUAUAUUCUUUCUUGGUUACGACUGGGCAGCCAGAGACAAUAUCAUUUAUUGUUUCCUCUCCAUUCCCACAUAUUCUGCAGUUACUUUUACAUUCUGCUUCAUUAUAUGUUUUUGGUGGGGAGGCUCUGAUCUUGUGCUUUCUUGACAAUUCUUCACAGUGAUAUCUGGUCAAUAACCCUCAAUUUUCCAGUCUGUAUGGAUUGGCAUAUCCCAGACUGUGGGUUACUUUGUUAUUCUCUGAUACCUUUUCUAUGUUUACAUGAACUUGUGUCUUGAUAUUCCAUAAUGAUGAUGUAACUGUCAGUGUAUGAAAGUUUCAACCUAGUCAUACAUGAAGAUCCGUUCUCUCUUGGUUAAGACUGGACACCCAGAGAGAGACAAAGUAGUACAUGGUUUCUUCCCAAUCUCCACAUAUUUUGUAAUGAAUAUAUUUUGCUUCAUGAAAUACUUUUUAUAGUUUCUGAUGUGAAGGCUUUCAUCUUUUGUUGCAGUAAAAAUCCUUUCUCUGAGUCCUGCCUUUGUUCAGCCAUUCCUACAAUUUUUCUUAAUUUAUUUCAAGUCUUUUGAUAUCAUUUGUUGUAAGCCUUGAAAGGAGGAAGUGAAUAACCAUUUCAAAAUGAUGGUCUUGCAGAUGAAAUCCUGCAGAUUGAGAUGCAUAGAAGUAAGCACUUCAUUGUGUAUAGACUCAUCCAAACAAUGGAUGUUGAGAAAAAGCAGAUGUUUAACUGAUUAUUAGAAUGAUUAUAAAAGUAUGUGUUAUUUUUAAAUCUAUGUAUAUUGUGUUAGCUAUUGCAACUGUAUUGUGUCUCGAGGCAAGAUGUGUCUGUUUUUUGCUUCAGCUUAGCUUGCUAAAAAUAGUUGCCACUCCCACUUUACGCUUGCAUGAUUAACAGCAAGAGCAUCAAGAGGUGGUGGUGGGGAAACACAUCAAAACAAACCUCUCAAUUCUCCUCAUGCAACAAAAUGUUUAAACCUCUCAGAUUUGGAGAGAGGAAAAUACAAAGUGUGGAGAAAAUGCUCAUCAUCAUUUUUAUCAUUGUCAUUGUCAUUUCAAUAGCUGCAUCUUUUGAAUUAUGGUACAGCUUCAUUGGGACUGCCAUUGAGCAUAUCAACAGUUUGCAUGCGCACAUACAUUCAAAUGCACCCAAUGUCUGUAAUUAUGAGUCUUUCUGUACAGGUUUUUUUGUGUACUGAAGUGGUGCUCCAUCAUGGCCUUAUUCAUGAUGAGUAAAACAAAGUAAAUAACAUUGUCUGUAAUUUGUCUUCUUUAUAGUUACUGACACUGCUGAUUCUUCUUUAAGAUGUCUUAACAACACCUUGCCAUCACUGAAGAAAUAUAAAAUGGACUCUUGGUGUAAAAUAUGGAGUCUUUGAGAUUCUGUAAAAGUUCCUUUGUUUCUAACUUAUCUUCAGAUCUCACUUCACACACACUAUGUAUUUGGCUUUGAUUCCAAGUGGGCUUCAGCUUAAUUCUUACUUCCUUUUUUGUAAUCAUAUUCUUCUUUGGGUGUAUAAUUAACAAGCUGUCAACUGCAAACCUGUUGUCCUGUCAGAUUCUAUCAAAAUCUUUCAUUUGAAAGAUUUUCAAGGAUUCUCCUGCUGCUGCAAUGAUGAUUUACAGGAAUUUAUGGCUGAAACUUAAACUACUUCUGAAGUCAUAAUACAGUAAAAUGAGAAGACUAUUGUGAUACAGUAAUGAUUUCUUUUGCUUGAUACACACCUGGUUUUGCCAGAUCAAGGACAAUUGCUGAUGAAACUGAUCCCUGUAGGAUUUAGACUAUCAUAAUACUGAAGCAUUGAAUUUUGCUCUCCAUAUCUCCUGAAACGUGAUAUAGUAACAUUCAAUACAGCAUUUUGAUUUAGCUAAAUGUUGUUCAUGCAUGCUGUCUACCUUUCAAUGUUAGUUGUAAGUUUGUUCCACAGGUGUACAAUUAUUCAGCUAAGGGAAUGGGCUCACAGUCUCAGUAACAUUCUGUCAAUGUUAAACAUUACCUAUAAGGGAAGCAUUCUGGCUCUUGGCUUGUGUUUUUAAUUCAUAACCCAGUUUAACACCACCACCUGGUCCUUGAAUACCUUUUAGCAGAGUCCACUCUUUUGUUACUCAGUUUAACACCACUAUCUGGUCCUUGGGUAACUUUAGCAAGCACAGACAUGUAAAGGCAUGUGGCCUAGUUGUUAAGGUGUUGGGCUGACAAUCAGGUAGUUAUGGAUUCUGCUCAUGACCCAGGCAGUGUGUCGUGUUCUUGAGUACGGCACUUCAUUUGCUGUUGCCUCAGUCUACUCGGCCUGGUUCUGGUGCUGCUUUGUUCAGCAACACCAGAACAAACUGUCACAUCAUGGAUAUUACACUUGGUCAAAGGUGAGACAGUGAAGAGAGUGCCCGUGUCUUACCACCAUCACCACCAUAUAGCCACCAAAAAACAAGCAAAACUGGGUUACAAGCUAUCAGUCUUACUUGUUGGCAAGUAAUGGCUACACUUGCUUAUAUAUUUGUGUGUGUGUGUGUACCUAACACAUUGAGUUGUAAUUAGUUAUCUGUAAUAAUGUCAAGUGUGUAACAAUUUAUAAGUUACAUAAGUGGAUGUGAUAACAGUUGUAAAUGUAUGGAAGCUGUGUAUUAAAUGUUUGUGUGCGCAUGUGUGCUAAAAGAAGCAUUCUGUGGCUAUAAAAUUAGGUAUAUAAUUUUAAAGACUCUCUCCUUUGUAAGUAUAUUUCAUAAUAUACAUACAGCUUGCUGACAAAUAAGCUUAAUUUCUUAAGAAUUAUCACAAGUUCUGCAAUUUCAUAUUGUCGAUUAGGUUUUUGUUUUGUUUUGUUUUUGAUGUUAUUAGGGCAGAACAACACGAUAGCAUAAAACCUGGCACCACAAGAGUUUGGCAAAGUUUCAAAUACCAUUUCACUUAUUCUUUUUUCCUUCUAGUUUUUAUCAGACUAGUAUUUUUUCUCCCUUGUUUCUAAAGAUAAAUAUCUUGUAGUAGCUUCUUGUCCAUUACACACACGCACACACACACACAGACACACACAUGCACGCACCCACUCCCUCUCUCUUUUCUACAGUUGCCCACUCUUACACUAUUCUCUUCUAUUGUAUACAUGUAACGUUGUUAUGAAAUCCUUUUUCUUCUUUAUCUGAUUUAUUAAAAACAUUUCUGGUUGUUUUGUUAUUUUUUUUUCUUCCUGUCUUAAGUAUUCACAAACUCCAUCUUGCAAACUUCACCAUUUUAGUUUCUUGCUUAUGAAGAUAUUUUCAUAACCAUUUACUGUUUAUUUUUGCUGUAAGAGCUUGGGCAAGAAUUGGUAAUGAUUUUUUAUCUCCCCCUACUCCUUUUCAUCCUUUUUACUCUGUUUUUAGACAAUUCAACAAUUAUAUAUUUUUUCUUUCGAUGGUAAUUUCUCCAAGAAUCCAUUCUCCCACUGAAGUAAAUUUAAAUUCUCACCAAAAUACAGAAUUAAGAACAAUCCAUCAUUAGUUAUCACCUAAUUAUUAAUUAUUAAUAAUAUUAAUACGUUAACUUUGUUUUUGUACAUACCUGUUGUGUAUGUCACACUUACUUCAAAGAAGUGGCAGAGGGAGAGAGAGGAAGAAGGAGUGAGAGAAAAAGAGAGUGUGAGAGAGAAAGUGAGAAAGAGAGAGUGAAAGAGACAGUGGUGAGUGGUAAUGGCGUUCAUUUUGUGUUUUUAAAUGUUUAUCACAUCGCAAGAGAAGUAGAUAGGAGAGAAGAGGGACACAAACGAAGUGAAAGAGAGAGAAAGUGAGAGAGACAGUGGAUGCAUAAAUCCAAAGAAAAGUUCAUAUAUAAAUACAUAGACACAGCAAAUAUUAGCUGUCAAUUUCACUUUUCAUUACCACACGAGGAUAAAAUAAAAUUAAAUCACAAAUGGCUGAAUACUCCACAAACAUGCAUAAUAUUGAUGUAGUUCUCAGGGAGAUUCAGCCUCACACAGAAUAUGACAAGGCUGGCGCCUUUGAGUUACAGCUACAACUUGAGACAUAUAUAUAUGAAUGUAUUUGUGUGUGUGUAUAGUUUAGGUUAGUUAAAGUAUGUUUGCAAUAAUAAGUGUUGCAUGGUGGAAAUAAACGCAAUUACCAAACUUUCAUUCAUAAAUCCAUUAUUUCGUUUUCUUGCAUUUCAAUUUGUACAUUUGUACCCAGAAAUUUUCAACAACUGCUUGCCAGAUGAAAUGGAGAAACGAGUAAUUUUAUCUCCUAAAAAUUCUGACUGUCUUGCAAUAAAUGAAAAAGUUCUUAAUAUUUUACCAGAGGCACUUAAAACAUACUUAAGCACAGAUUCAGUGUCCUCCAAUAAUGAAGAGGAGGUUCAGAACUAUCCAUUUGAAUUCAUAAACUCACUCACUCGAUCCAGUAUGCCUCCUCAUCGCCUAAACUUCAAAGUGGGGACUAUUGUAAUGCUGCUAAGAAAUUUUUCGAUCAGUCAAGGAUUAUGUAAUGGAACUCGCAUGAAAGUGCAAAGACUUCAUGAACAUUGUGUAGAGGCAUCAUUGGUAUCAGGCUCCAACAGAAGUCGUACAGUUCUAAUUCCUAGAAUUAAACUUAGCCCAAAUGAUGCAGAUAUACCAUUCACACUAAACAGGCUUCAGUUUCCACUUCGACUUGCAUAUUCAGUGACAAUUAAUAAGGCUCAAGGGCAAACAUUUGAAAAUAGUUGGAUUACAUUUUCCUCAACCGGUAUUUUCUCAUGGCCAAUUAUGUGUUGCAUUUUCAAGAGCACGAGCUAUGAACAAUAUCAAAGUAAGAGUUAUGACACUCAAUUGGGAUAACAGACAAAGCCAAAAAUGUGUUGUGACAUACACACAAAAUAUUGUCUACCAUGAAGUGCUGUGAAGAAGACCACCACACCAGCUAGCGUCACCACCACACUAGCCGCUCCAUCAUUACGCAUCCAAAUUACACCCUUAAGGUCGGGGAACCAGUUAGGGGCUCGCUGGAUCUCUCUUGGCAUACCAGCAAACCACAAAAUCACACUAGCCAGCAUCACCACUACCUCCAAGCCCGUCAUAUAUAUGUAUGUACAUAUGUAUGUAUGUGUGUGUUUGUGUCUGUGUUUGCUCCACUACCACCACCAUUGCUUAACAGCCGAUGUUGGUGCAUUUAGCUGUUCAGCAGAAAAGAAUGAUAGAAUAAGUACCAGGCUUACGGGGAAUAAGUCCAGGGCUCAAUUUCUUCUACUAAAGGGUGCUGUUCCAGCAUGGCCACUGUCAAAUAAUUGAAACAAGUAAAAGAAUACCAGAAAAGCAUUCCGUACCACUAAACCAAGAAGGUUCUUUGAAUAUGUAUGAUGUAUUUUAAGGUUAAAUAGUAAUUCUGUUUACGGUUGUGUAACUGAGAUAUUUUGGUUGGAUUAUAUAGUCAUUGGUAUUACAUUACUUUCUAUAUUCUGUAACUGUCACAAUAUAAUUUUUUAGGCCUGAAAUUUUUGUGGAUAGGGUGGCCAGUUGAUUAGAUCGACCCCAGUGCACGACUGGUACUUAAUUUACUGAUCCCAAAAGGACGAAUGGCAAAGUCGACCAUGGCAGAAUUUGAACUCAGAAUGUAAAGACAGACAGUCAUGAUAUACAAACAUUUCCCAUGGCACCAGUACGCUGUUUACAGAUGGUGAAGUCUUGGUCUUGAGUGCUGAAGUGAAAGUCAUACAAUUCGUGUGCAAUAUGAACCAAGAGGACAAUGUGUAUGAGUUGCUGCUUGACAUGAUAUAAAAUGGGGGAGAUGAUUGGAAAACUGGAUGGAAUUUAAAUUGUUAGUCAUGUUAUUUCUGAUGGGUUAAUCAAGUGAGUAGGAAAUUUGAGUUUUUGAUUACCCAGCAUUUGAAUUUAAACAUACACUGGUACUACACUUGAUAUGUUUAGUAAUAGUCAUUGUUGUAUUGACUAGCUGGCAGCCUGGGGGGUGGGGGAUCAUCUCAACCAAUAUGCCAUUAUGGGUGCUGCUGGAUGAUGGAUUCUGGUGAUGAUGUUAUUCUACACUUCCUUAUCCAUGAUGCUGGCCUUAGUAUGCUCAUGGUCUAAGUGGUGCAACUUCAGGUCUUCCUCAAUUUGUUUUGCCCAUGAGACAAUGUUGGAAUUAGAUUUGAGUUCUUAAUAACUUUCAGGAAGUAGUUUCAUCUUUUUUACUCAGAUGUUUAGCUUAUUGAUUCCAUAGUAGCCAGUAUUGGUGUAAGUAGGUGUAGAGCUAGUUUACAGUCUGAUGUAUCUAGGAAGAGUAAACAAGGCAAAGAUCAGCCACCGACAGCGAAGGGGUAUAGGUAUAAUAGAUAGUUCAACAACAUCUAGGCUACAGGUGUGUUUUUGACUCAAUUCUCUGACUGUUUCAUACACUGAAGAUCAACUACAAAAUUACUGGUACAUUCCACUGGGUGAGUUAAAAUCCCUCCACCUCCAGUAUUAUGUAGGAAACUAUUGAUUACUUUAAUAAAUCAUCAUAUGCAUGAAACAAAAUGAAAACAAAGACAUACAUAUUCAUUCUUCCAACAGAUUUGAUCAUGCAUACCCUAGUCACUGUUAUGUUUCACAGCUUCAGCAAUAUUAUUCUGCCUAUCAUAAACUAUUUUAAAUGACAUGUUACAACUGGAAGAUAUGGUCUGCAACUUAGGUGACAAAAUUUGUUUUGGCUUUUGAGCUAAUGACCAACAUAGUACUUGAGACUUGAAUAUGUUACAAGUUUGAAAUUACUAUUUGUAUAGUCUUUGAGGUGUGUAUGGUUGUAAAUCAUGAGAUUUACCAUGCCGGGGACGAAGACUAAGUUGAGCUUGAUUCACCGGAGAAGACUAAGUUGAGCUUGGUUCGCCUGAUAGUCAGUAUAGUGCUUUCUUUGUCAUUAUUGUCAUCACUCGCACCCUGGUAUGUUCUUAAUGUGGUUUGAUUAGUUAAUUUACUGUUGAAAUAACACAUCACUAGAAUCUCUGAGAUUUUUACAUGUUCAUUAUUAUUUUUACUUUUAUAAUUGCCUAAUUAUCAUAGUCAGAUGUUUUUGUUUUUUCCUAAUUUACAGGUAGAUAUUUUUUCUUAUGUUUAGUUCUUAUUUAUUACUUAUUGUUUCUGGUUUUAUUUUUAUUGUAAAGAAUACAAAGUCACAGGAGGUUUCUCUCCCUACCCUCUCUCUCAAAUGACAGAUGAGAUCCUUAGUGCCAAAUUGGAUUUUGUUUGAAAUAUGACUGUUUCUUUAUCAACUAAACAAAAUUGUUGGUGAUAUGUGUUUCAUGCCACAUAACUUUCUACUGUGCCUAAUGUGUAAGGUUGAAGGUUCUUUUUUAUGAAAGUUAUUUGACAUUUAUUAAAUGAAUUAUAUUAUGAGAAAUUAAAAUAUAGGCAAGUUAAAUAUUACUGACAGAUCAUUUAUUGUCCCUUUUAUUUUCCAAUUAGGACUGUUUACCUCUUUGUCUGGUUUAUAUCAGAAAUCCUGAGGCUUAACUUAAUAUUAAAAUCCUGAGUUGGUUUUUUUUUUGUUUUUUUAAACCUUUUAUUGCUAUAUUGCUAAUGGAAUAAUACACUAUCACUGUGUUUCAAAUAGUUUUGGAAAUAAUCAAAAGUUUGGAUGGCUUUUGUAAAGUAAAUAUUAAUAUUUUUCAAUAUUAAAGGCGGUGAGCUGACAGAAUUAUUAGCAUACUGGGCAAAAUGCUUAGCAGCAUUUUGUCUGUCUUUACAUUCUGAGUUCAAAUUCUGCUGUGGUCAACUUUGCCUUUCGUCCUUUUGGGGUUGAUAAAGUAAGUACCAUUUGGACACUGGGGUUGAUGUAAACCAGCUGAACCUCUCCCCUGAAAUUGCUGGUCUUGUGCCAAAGUUUGAAACCAGUAUAUAUAGUAUUAAGCUAACAUUUAGAAUGCAAGUCCUCACAUGAAAUUAUGGUGAAAGAUUCUAAGUUAGACAGAAUCCUUUUAAAACUUGAUGGUUUCUUUUUUUUUAAUUAUAGGUGCAGGAGUGGUUGUGUGAAUAGAAGCUUGCUUCUCAACCACAUGCUUCUGGGUUUAGUCCCACUGCGUAACACUUUAGGCAAGUGUCUUCUACUUUAGCCUCAGGCUGACCAAAGCCUCAUGAGUGGAUUUGGUAGAUAGAAACUGAAAGAAGCACGGCAUAUAUAUAUAUAUAUAUAUAUAUAUAUAUAUAUAAUAUAUGUGUGUGUGUGUGUGUGUGUUUGUCUCCCCCCCCACCUUCGCUUGACAACUGAUGUUGGUGUGUUUGCGUCCCUGUAACUUAGUGGCUCAGGAAAAGAGACCAAUAGAAUAAGUACUAGGUUUACAAAGAAUAAGUCCUGGGGUCUAUUUGUUUGACUAAAAGUGGUGCUCCAGCAUGGCUGCAGUCAAAUGAAUGAAACAAAUAAAAGAAAAAAAAGGGAAAAAGAAUAGAACAAGGACUGGUCUCUAGUGGGUUGAUAUUAGAAAGGUUAAAGGCUUCAUGUUGUUUAUUCUGAAUUCUGAAAAUGUAUGAGUAUCAGGUACAGUUCAAUUCUAUUUUGUAAGCAGUUUUCUUGAGUUUUAUGGUAGUCUCCUUUAGUGAAUGAGAAUUCAUCUUGUUGAACAACUUGCAUGAUGAUAUUAUUAUAGUGAGCGUGGUUUGUGCAGAGCUAUUCUUACUCCCUCAUCCUUCAAACUUGUAUUGGUCUGGUGCAACAAAUGUCAUGAGCCUAGUAGUUAUUGCAAUGCAAUACAAACUUCACUUCUCCCCUCUGUUCUUUCUUAUCCAUCUCCCAUUCUCCCAUUCUGGGCUAUGGGUAGUGACCUUCUUUGUAAACAAAUAUCUAAAGAGAAAAAUAAAUACCUUGUUAUAUCCCUGGUUACUGAUAAUUAAAACUUCCAGUCUCUUAAUAGUUCAAAUAUAUGUUGUUUAGAAUAUUGAAACUAAUUGCUCUCUGUGCGAUUUGGUUGUUUAACAAUCUGCUUGUAAACACCAGCCAGUGAAACAUGCCACAUGUGCGCACGUACAUGCACGCACGCACAAUCUCUCCCUCCCCUGCUCUCUCAAAGGGAGGCUCAACAAACAAAUGUCUGCAACAGUGAUUGUUAAAUCAUCCCAUGGGAAUUAAUGAAAACUUCUUGUUUAAUUCACCAGGGAAUUUUAGAUUCCAUUAUCCUUGUGCUUUUUGUCCUUUUCUUUGUUUCACCCCCCCUUCCUCUACAUUGAGUUUUCCUCUCAUUGGUUUCUAUUAAAAAUCUAUUCUGUUUUAAACAAAGUUUAAACCAUUCCCUGUGUAUUCUCAAGUUAGUGAGAGAGGAACUAUGGUAAUUCUUGCAGUACACCUGAAAAAUAAAUGGGUGAGUUAUGGUUGGAGUGACUUUCAUCAUAGGUUUGUUGUGCUGAGGCUGACCUAGGGCUAAAUAACAGCAACUGGUAUUUUAGGAUAGAAAUUAUUGGAAAGUGUUUGUGAUGUGGACUUGGUUUAGUAUAAAUGAAGAUGGUGGGGGUGUGAGAAACUCAGUUUCAGUAUUUUUAUAUGAUGUUUAGGUAUGUGUGUCAUGAUUAGGAGAUCAAAUCCUAUGAAGGUGAGGGCGAGAGAGGGGUGGUUGUUUGCUUUUCACAAAAUGACCUUUCUUCUAGUGGAACAUGUUCAGUUCUUGUAUUUUAAUCUAUGAUCUGAUAAUUAAUUAGCAGCAUUGCUGAUUUGAUUUCUCUGUCUCCCUCUAUUUACCACUCAGCUCCUGCUUUUCUGUAGUUGUGUGUCUGUUUCUCUCAUUCAUCAAAAGUCUCUUUGUAUCUACCUCUCUCCAAUUUCUCUCUCUCUCUCUCUUCUUUUACCUUAUCUUUUUUUAUUAUUUCUUACCCACUCCCUACUUUCUCUCUGCCCUAUAUCACUUUCUCUUCUACCAUUUUCUAUAAAACACAGCAGACAUCAUUCAAUGUUAGACCUGUUCACUUCACAUAAGUAAUGGUAAGGCAGAAGUGGUUGUGGCUAAAAAUGAUAAAAUAAUUUUCGGUAGAAAUGAUUUUUAUUUUAGUAUUUUCUACUUAAUAUCAUUGUUGUCUUUCUAGUUCUCUGUCUUCACUUUCUUCUCUCCUAUUGAUGUGUGUACAUGUGUGUAUGUAUGUAUAUGUAAGAGAGUGUGUGUGUGUGUGUGUCUCUCUCUCUCUCUCUAUAUAUAUAUAUAUAUGUAGAUAGAUAGAUACUAUGCUCAAAUAGCAAUCAAUCAAUUCUCAACUUUUCUAGUGUUUCUUGAUUCGUUAGCGUAACAUAAUCUAAAUUAUAUAUGUAAUUCACCAUACUUAAACUGGAUGAUAGCUGUUAUGUUGUUGUUUUCCGGAUCUGAUGAUGAUUAUUAUUAUUAUUAUUAUUAUUAUUAUUAUUAUGUUGUUGUUGUUGUAGUAUAUGAUUGCUAGCUAACUUUUGACAUUGAUUGGUUUGGAUUACUUUCCAUAGAAAUGAUGAACAUGUUUAUAAUUUUUUUUUUUCAUAAUUUUAAAUUCUGUUCUAUUUCAUUUUCAUAUUACAUUUUAACCUCUUCACUUAUAUGAAUCAACAAAUUUUUUUCCUGUGGUUCUUAGGAUUCUUACUGUAUUUUGUGUAUGUGUGUGUGAUAUGCUGUUAGAUAUAUUAUGCAGUAGCUGUACAUAAUAUGGAGCAGCCAAGAUGUAGAGAGCCAGUGCUUGUCUACAGUAGUUAUACCUCUAUAAAUAAAUGAUUAACAGUGUAUCUUGAGUACAACUUGAGAAAUGAAUGAUUUCAGUAGUGCAGUAUAUAAGGAAAAGCUCUUUUCAGGAAUACAAAACUUUAUUUGUUAAUCCUUGUUGAUAAAUAAUUAGUAAAGAGAAUUCUCUGUGAACCAAGUCACCACACUGUGUGCCAAGUCUUAGCUGGUGCUGUGUCUGGUUAUACAAAAUAUACACUACCAUCUUUAUCUCAGUUAUAGCUGAUAACAAACUAGUUCAGUUAUCAGCUAAAACUGAAACUGUUAAAUGAAAUGUAAUGUACCAUUUUCUUUUUAAACUGGUGUUUUUUAGAGAUUUUUUUCUUUCCUCUUUCUCUGAAGAAUGAUAUCUAUUUCACCAAUUAUCAUCAAACUGAUAUAUAUUUCUUUCUUAACAAAGGUACCCAUCCCACUACCAUUUUUCAUUUCUGGAGUCUUAGUCAUUCAUUUUUAGGACAUUAAGCCAAUGGGAAUUGUACCUAAACCCAUAUCGGAAACUUGUUCAUUGGAAAUAGUUGUAUAUUCAUGAACCACUGCAAUAUCAGUAACCUGUCAACAACAACAUAUUCUAGUUCACCCACCUGUUAGCUAAUUUCUUUGUUACCUUGAAAUAAAAGACCAUGUUGACUUAUAUAUGCAAUACAACAAGCCUCACUACCUUAAACUUGUUAUUGAAGAAACUCAGAUUUUCCUGCUCUACAAAUCCCAACUGAUAUCAAUUACCAUCAUGUACUUUCGACACUUUUGUAUUUUGCUUCCCUGUCACAGUUGGCAUCAUAAACUAAUGAACUAUUUGUUAGUUUCUAAUUAGAAUCUUCAGCACUUUGACCAAAGUAAAGUCUGGUGCUGGUUACAUGAUAUGAAUUUGUGAAACUUGAACAAAUUUCAUAUUCUGAGAAGUAACUGUUGACAUUUUGUACACUGGACUCUUGUUUUCUUUUUUCUCUUUUCCUUUUACAUUCUAUAGAUUUAAAAAACUUCAUAUGAUGGACUGAAAUCUUUUUUACCCACACGUUUUCAUUUUUAUCUGGUCAGAAAAUAGUGAUUACUAUAUUUAUACAACACAACAGCAAAAGCUGCAUCUAUUGUGCAUUUAUUGUAAUCUUAGUUUGAUAAACAUGAUGCACUCGUUAAAAAUACAUCACAUGGAUGAGGGAUGUCAUUUCUUGCUCAACUGUAUUUUUAUAUUUAAAAAAUUCUUUUCUUUUAAAGCUCCAUUUCAUUUGAAAGUUGAUUUUGCCAUUCAUCUGUUCACUGACAAUAAAAUAUCUCUGAUAUCAAUGAAUAUUUUCUAAUGGCUUUAUUUAGAAAUAAAGUUUUCAGUUUCAUUGUAAAAUUACAGAAAAAUAUGGGAGGUAAUAAAUUUUACGGUUUAAACAUUUAUUUUGUUAUCAUCAUAUAAAGGAAAAACUGUCAAAUAAAAAUGGGUAGUUAAAAGUGAGGAAGCAAAGUGAUUGAUAUAUUUAAUUUGAUUUAAAAAAAAUAGAGUUUGUUAUACAUAGAAAACAACGUAAUGUUAUGUAGUUUGUGUAACAUAAGUUUAAUGUUGAAAUAUUUGGGGGAGAAACACAAGAGAAAGUAGGUAAUAGUGUUAAUUGAUUGUGAAAAAUGCAGCUCUGUGCUAAUAAAAAAGUAUAUCACGGACAGAUUUGUGUUGAAAGUUCGGAGAACUUUAGGAUUGUUGGAACAGUUUAUGAUGGGGGAGCAGUGAUUGCUAAAGAAAAAAGAAUCCAUCUCCUUCCUUUUACAUAAUCUUCUAGAAUGGUCUGUCUAUGUGCCAGAAGUGGAAACUAAGAAAGAGUCUCUUUGUGACUGGAAAGAAACUGACGCUAUACCUGAGGCAAAUUUUUUCAAUUUUGAAAACUCAUCAGCAGGCAAGCAGCAAUUAAAUUCAAUGAGUUUUCCUUCUCUGUGCUCCUCAUUCAACAAGGUUUUAGCUUGCAAGUCAAUAAGCUCCAGUUGUAGUUCAGUUGGCAUGUUACCAAGAUUACUGCCAAAGGGAUUCUCAAACAAAAGAAUUUCAUUCUGUCAUGAUCUGAAAAUCUUUGAGAAAAAUGCUUAUUUAAGUCCCAAAUAAUUUUUUUCUGAAACUCGAGGUUAACAUGUUCCAUGUUUUCUGUGCAAAACUCUUGAAAACACUGAAAAUGAGAGAAGUUUCCUCCUUCAAGUUGUGCUUCAAACAAUGAUAGCUUUCUCUGAAAUGCUGUAAUAAUUCUGUAGAGAUCACAGACAAAGUUAUUCUUUCCUUGCAGUUUUAAAUUCAAUUCAUUCAUAUGAGAAGUGACAUCAACUAAAAAUGACAAUUUUGAUAAUCAUGAAGGAUCUAACAGCUGUGGAUCACCUCUAUUCUCUCUCUCUCUCUCUCUCUCUCUCUCUCUCUCUCUCUCUCUCUCUCUCUCUCUCUGAGCCAUCUCACUUCUGUGUAGUAAGAAGUGUGUUUGAGAGCAAACCUAAAACACUUUAAUACCUGUGUAGUAAUUAGAAUCCAUUUCUUCAAGGAAAGCCUGGAACUGUCGGUGAUUAAGCCCAUUAUUCCGAAUAAAGUUCACCACAGUUGUAAUCGGUUUUAGUAUGCAAGAAACAUCUGUUUUCUACAGAGUGUUUGCUGAUGUAUAAUGCAGUAUAUAAACAGAGCCUUCGGAAGCUGAAACUCCUCCAACCUGGUCUGGAUUCACCCUACCAAACCCUUCCUCACUCCUGCCAUGUUUUUUUGUUCCGUUGACUUUAACUCACCAAAGCCGAUUCCACUGAAGGUUAUAGUUUUGCAAAGUUUUCUGCACCUUUAUGAAAAUAACUUCUCUAGUUGUUGUUCCAUGUAUACUGCAAACGGAUGCCAUUUCUUCUAUAAUCUCAAAAGUUGCAAUUGACACCACGAAUGAACACAAGAAGCUGUGACAUACUAGAGAGAUGAGUGGACUCAUCCAUCGCAAGAGAAUACCACAAAAAUUUCUUAGCUUUCUCAUGUAUCUGUAACUGUAUAUUCUCUCCAAGUUCUUCUAUUCUCCGCACAACUCAACUUGCUGAAAGGAUGAUACAGUCAAACAUGUUAGCUUUUUCAGGACACAAGUCAUUUGCUGCUUCCAUCAUGCACUCUUUUAGAAAGUUUCCGUCAGUAAAUGGUUUUCCUCGCUCUGUCAACUUAUUCACUAUUUUGUAACUUACACGAGUGAUAGAUUCAUUUUCAACAAACUAUUUUGUAAAGAAAUUCCUUUGAAAUUCCAAACUACAUUUCAUAGAUUCAAAUUUCUCGGACUGCAACUUUCCAGAAUAUUUAGAAUGUGUUGAGAGAUGUUUUGCUUCGUAGUGAUGACGAAUAAUGUACUCUUUCAUAACAGCAACACUUUCGUUGCAUAUCAGGCAACUAGCCUUCUGGUCAUUUGUUUCCUCAAAGAAGUACUUUUCUCCCCAUUCUUUAUUGAAAAUGUGACAUUCAUCAUCAAUCUUUCUCUUCUUAGUAGCCAUAAUGAUGGGUGAAGAAAAAAACAAAAGCAGUCUUAGGCCUCAGCAUCAGAUAUUCUGGUUUUAAUAGUAAUCACUAAUGCCUAGCCUGAGGCACACGUGAUAUACUGUAGUAAUUAUUAUGGCACGGGAAAUAUGUAGCACGUGACGUGACUGACUCAGUAUACAUACGACAUGCAUAAGCUAAGAAGCAGUAUAAAAGCAUGUUUAUUUUUUUCAGCAUACGACAGCAGGCCCGACAAAUUGACGUUGCGGGUUGGAUCCGGCCUGCGGGCCAUAGUUUGGUGACCCAUGGUUUAGAACUGAAGGUAGAUAAAUAAAAGCUUUCUGGUUCAAUGUUGUCUACAGUAUAUCAAGUUGUACUUGGACAUAUGUCCCCCCCACAUACACACACACAUCUAUGGUAUAUAUAAGAGUGUAUCAAUAGCUUAAAGCUAGAAAUAAAUAUUACUACUGUUGUUGGUUUUUCAAGUGAAUAAAACCAUCAGACAGGUCAGUUUCAUACCAGAUCUGCUGCUUACAUUGAAGUCUUUUAUUUAGUUUUGUGUAAACAUUUUAGUUGUAUACUCAGAAGUUUUCAACUUGCUGUGCAUGGUGACUAUUUCCGAUCUAUUGAGCAAUAACUAUUUGCCUGUAGAUUUUAACUGCAUGUUCUGUAAAGGUAUUAAAGUGGUUUAGGUUUACUCUCAAACAUACUUCUUACUCUUUUUUCCAAAAUCUAUACUACUAUUACAAAACACUGAGAAAUGGUAAUUGGUGCACUUGGCACAAAACCUAAACUGUUACCUAAAAGACUGAAGGAUAUUAGAAUUGAGACUUGCAUUGUCACUCUGCAGCAAAGUGCAAUCCUGUAUUCAGCAAGAAAUCUAAGAAAGAUUCUUAAGAUUUGAGGAAACUUGUUACCAAACCUCAAAGCAAAAUCCUUGCUAACUAAUAUAGAAUGUAAUAGUUAUAAUAAUAUAAAUAAAAAGUUGCUACCAUUAUAAAUAAAACAAAAAGGAAAUCUUGUUAAGCUCAUGUUAUCCCUUCCCUAAUUUAUGUUUUGUUGGCAUAUUUAUUGGACACAAACUUAUUAUAGUUGUCUUCUACCUCCUAAAUUUCACAGUUAGUGAUGAUGGUUCCCAGACUCACCCAAAAAUAUUUCUGAUUGCAUAGUUUCCUUACACCACUUCUAGCUGUAGUGCCAUCUUGGUGUUUAAUAUCUCAAUCAUUCUGUGGCUAUUUCUAACCAGUUUAGCACUCUUUGUUUUUCUGGCUUCAAAGUUAAGUUUGUGUCUAAUGACAUGGAGUAUGGUUAUUAAUUUAUGGCAACAUAAUGUGUAGUCAUUAGUGUCAAAAGUGUUUUGGGGACUGUUCUAUAUUGACUGAAUUUGAUGAAGAUAUUGAAUUAAUACAUCCAAGAUAAAAAGCUUGAAUGAGAAAACUGAAAAUCAAAAUUGAAUGUAGUUACAAUUUCUCCUUUUUCCCAGUAUUGCUUGCCAUUUUUGUACAUUCUUACCGAUUCUAAAGAAUUUUGGCAUGUCUUUACUAGCAUGUAUUUUUUUCUUCACUGGUAACAGUUUAUCGAAUAUUGACUUCACCUUUCUGGCAAACAUUAAUUCCGCUGGUGAACUUCCUUAUGGCAUAUUUAGGUUUGGUGUUACCCUAUAUACCAUUAAGAAUUGUUGGAUUGUGACAUCAUCCGUUACUUCCUUAUUAGCGUUCUUUAAAGCUCUCUUAAAAGUUUCCACAAACCAUUCACCCUUCUACUUGAUCUAGGGUGAUACAGUGCCAUAGUUUUAUGUUCUAACAUGAACCUCUCGCAGCAUCUUUUAUACUCACAGGAUACAAACUGUUCCAUUAUCAGAGACAAUUAUAUCUGGUACACCAAAUCUUGCGAACAGCUCAUGUAAGAAGUUUAUUAUCGUAUAUGAGGUUGGUUGUUUACACCUUGCAAUCUCAGGCCAUUUUGUGUAGCUGUCACUACUAUUAAGUAAUAAUAUCCAUUUACUGGACCUGCAAAAUCGAUAUGCAAUUGGGACCUUGGCAUUUUCACUUCCAGUCAAGAUUCACAUUUUGUAGUAGGUAGUUUCGCUGCCAGCGCAUAUCCUCUGCAGCCUUUUACCAGGUUUUCAACUCUGUUGCCCAUGCUUAGCCUGUAUACAAAACUUCACAUCAGCUCUUACAUUCUAGAGAUACCUGGGUGUCCCACAUGGAGCUCUUUUAGCAUUCUCUUCUGUAAUGUCUGUGGUAUGACCACCCUUGGAGUGUACAUUAGUACACCAUCACACAUAGAGUACACACUCACAUCUUGGUGGUUCUUUGCAUCAGACCUUUAUUUUCUCUUGUCGACCACAGUUUUCUUUUGUUUCAUUAAUAAAGUUGUCAUUUUUCGCAUUUAUUUUUAUUUUUUCCCAAAGUUACUGGCAGUUCACAUAUGAUGUUCCACAUUACUUUUUUUUGUUUCUGCUUCUGCUCUUAGUGCUGCGGUUAUGGUGUCCUCCAGUGGUUCAUUAUUUCUCGGAAUUAACCUAGAGAGACUAUUGGAAUGCCCCAACUUUUUUGAAGGCAGAUAUUACAUUCUAUAAUCAUAGGUCAAUAGAAUGGUACACCACCACUGCAAUCUGUUUGCCAUGUGUGUUGGAAUUCCUUUCUUGGAUCUGUAUAUCAUUAUUAGAGGUCUAUGGUCUGUUUGGAACCAAAAACGUCUGCUGUGAAUGAACGUGUGGAACUUUUUUGCAUCAAAUAUGAUAGUCAACUCCUCUUUUUCAAUCUGGCUAUAGCUCUUUUCUGCCAGCCAUAAUAUCCUUGAUAUGUGUGCUAUAGCUUUUCUCCUGCCAUCAUCUCCUGCCAUGUGUAGCACGGCUCCUGUCCCAUACUUGCUAGUAUCUGUAACUAGUAUUAUCUCUGACUUAGGGUCGAAAUGCGAAAGAUACAAGUCUGAAGUUAACACGUCUUUUAACUUGUUAAAUGCUUUCUGGCAUUUUUCUGUCCAAACCCAUUUGGCAUUUGUUUUUAAUAAUUCAUUAAGUGAUGCCUUUAUCUUAUGCAUAUUUGGGAAUGCUUUAGCAUUGUCUUGUUCGUUGAGGUUGGCAUAUUUCAUAUUGCCAUUGCCCUUGAUGUGUCUGGUCUGCAUCCAGUUUCAUUGAUUAUUUGGCCUAGUUAUUUUAUGUUUACCAUAAAAAAUUUGCAUUUUUCUUCUGUCAGUUUUAGCCUGUAAUCACUUAUUCUCUCGAAUACUUUCUUUGUGUUCAAUAUGUUGCUCCCGAUGCGAUGGCAAAGUUGCAAUCACUUACAUUACAUCCAUUAUUUGUUGGAAUAUGGUGGGUGCCACUUCAGUAUUGGUGGUUCACAGUGACACAGCUUUGUUUUCUCACAUAUAUGCAUUUAUUCAGACAGCCAAAAAAAAAAAAAAAAAAAGAAUGUGUAUAUAUGUGUGUACAUGUAGGUGUGUAUAUAUGUAUAUGUAAACAUAGUCCUAUAUACCUGUGAACACUCCUGUAAAAUGCAUGCAUAUGCAAGGGUUUAUAUAUAUUUUGAUGGCUCCUAAAAAUAUUUUCUCAAUAAUCUAAUCUAAAUGCUGUGUUGUUCUGGGUGAGAGCCAAACAAUGCUGCUAUAUUCCACCAUCAUCUUAAUUACUUUCUCUCAACAAUACAUUAUUUCUUACAUUCUUAGAUCCUCUUUUGUUAUUAACCAUUCUUGCCACUGUUAUUAUCAUCAUCAUCAUUAUAAUCAUUAUCAUCAUCAGUGAUGUUGAUUCUGUUAUUCUUAUAAGAAUGUACAUUUUAUAGUAUUAUUUCUUUACAGUAUCGGAUUUGUCUUAAAUGAGAUCAGUGUGUGUGUGUUGUAUGCAUGUGUUGUUCACAUAUGCAAAUGCACAUAAGCAGUGUAUCGGCAGCAUGCUCACAUUUUUGUGUGUGUGUGCAUGCACACACACACACACACACACAUACACACACAUGCCCUCCCUUUUCACAAAUUAUGUAGAGAUAAUUUUGUUGUAAGUAUUCUAUUUGUCUUCUGUUGACAACAUCACAUUCAGCUUUAUCAGAGGAUGGAUUAGAUCUAGAUAUAUGUGUUGUGAUUAAAUCUAGAUGUAUAAAUUUUAAGUUGUUACUCUGUGUGUGUGUAUACAUGUAGGUAUGUAUAUAUGCACAUGCAAACAUAGUCCUCUGUGUGUGUGUGUAUCUAAAUAUAUAAAGUUCUUACUUGCUGAUAACUUGAAAUAUUACUACUCUUGCAUAACAUGUUGAAAGCAAGAUUUUUGUGAUUUGACAAAAUUAAAUAUACCCCAUAAAAUUACUGCCGACAAGUUGAUCGUCAUUAAAAGAUUACAUCAAUGUAAUAUGGAAUGUCAAAACAUUUUGAUCACUAAUAUUAUCAAAUGAUUUAAGGCUAGCAGAAUCAUUAGCACAGCAGGCAAAAUGCUUAACAGUAUUUUUACAUUCUGAGUUCAGAUUCCGCCAAGGUCAGUUUUGCCUCCCAUCCUUUUGGGGUCAAUAAAAUAAGUACCAGUUGAAUACUGGAGUUGAGGUAUUUGACUUAACCCCACCACCAAAAUUGCUGGCCUUGUAUCAAAAUUUGUAACUAAUAUUAUCAAAUGAUUUGAAAACAAUGAAAGUUAGAAACAUUUAUGAAAAUCAGGGUAGUUAAAACUAGGGUAAUUAAAGGUGCAUCUGCUACCCACCCUACCAUACCCUUUGCCCCCAGUGCCCAUAUUAAAUUUUCCAGUGUCCUUUAGGUGGUACUACUCACUUUGAGAAGCACUGUUUUAGUAAGAUAUAUAUUUAAUUUCUGUUCAAACCUUGCAUUUUAUAGCUUCUUUCAUUUCGUGUGUGUGUGUGUGUGUGUGUGUGUGUGUGUGUGUGUGUGUGAAUGAGUAUGUGUUGUUAAGAUAUUGACAGGAAGUGUAUGUGUGCAUAGUCCUUGAAAAGAACUGUCACUAAGAGACAAAAUAAUUGAGACUGAGAGUAGAGAGACGCUUAUAGCUGGACAUCUAGAUUGGUUAUUAACAACCAAGAUUAGGGGAUAGUUGAAUGGGAAUGGGUGUAAUGAAUUGUGUUCUUGCUGAUUCAUUUAUUGCUGAGGUUGUUGCACUUAUAGAAAUGUUGUAAUCAUUCAUUGCACCAAAUUAGAAACUGGUGUAAUAAAUUAAUCUAUUCAUUUGUGACAAAUUACAGUGAUCUUCCUUGACAAUUCAAGUUAUUUCAUUGUAUUUGAAGGAAUUGAAACGUAGAAGUAGAUUUGUUAAAUCUUGUAGAUCAUGCCUAGUUAUCUUUAGACAAGUAUGUAACAUCAGGUUAGGAAUAAGAGAAUUUGGUAGAAUGUUGAGUACAGUUGCUAAAGUGAGGGUUAUUGUUUCUUUUAAUUUGUGGGCAGUUUGAGGGAUAGACAAGUGUUUCUCAGACUGAAGAAUCUUGAAUGUGGUCAUAUACAAAGAUUUGAAAUGAUGAAGCUAGUCUGUUGACAAGUGAUCCAACACUUGAUAGAGACUGUUGGAAGAGGCAUCUGUUGCCUAGGAGACUAAAAACUGAUUGACUGAUUGAAUUAGUUUAUAUGAGGAAUGUGACAUGAUUAAUCAAAGUCUGUUAUUGAGAAUUGUUCACUCAGAUGGAUUAUAAAUACUCUUAUGACUGUGCACUCCAGUUUCCAUUGGAAUAUUUAUAGAUUUUCAAUGUGUAAAGCAGUAUCAGAGAGAGAUGGGGAGUGAGUGUGUGUGUGUGUGUGUAUAUAUAUCUCUCUCUCUUUUCCCGUCUGUCUUGAUAGACAAUGGGUCGUGCCAAGGGUGGGGCCUACUUUGAUGAUGAGCAGCGUCUGCUGUGACUGAACAGUCCAAUUCUAGAGUGGCAGUCCCUGGUACAGUUGCUGCACACGAACAUCGAUGGGUACGUGUGGGGUGUUGCUGCAGUUGUCCUCCAUAUAUAUCUAGAGAGAGAGAGAGAGAAAGAGAGAGAGAGAGAGAGAGAGAGAGAGGAGCAUCAGUGUGCACAUGCAUGUGUGUGUGUGUAUAUAGUUGAAACGAUUAUGAGGAAAUCUUCCAGACUGAUGUUGUGUGUUUGUUGACAAAGAAACUGAUCAUACUGACAUUACUACACUUGUUUUUGUCCAAAGUAUUUAUUACUCAUAAACCAUUGCAAAAUAUUGAUUUAGAUAAUAGAUUAUAGAAUUUAUUGUCCACAGUUACAUAUAUCAUCAAAGUUUUGUUUUAAAACUACCAAAAUGCAAUGGGAAAAUUACUUGGCUGAAAUUUUGAUCUCAUUUUUGUUACUGCAGUCCCACACUGCCUAUAAGAGAGGAAAUAAUAGCAAUAAAGAUAAUAAUAAUAAUGAUGAUUUCAAAUUUUUGCCACAAGGGCAGCUAGGGGGAGGUGGGGAUGAGUCAGUUACGUCAAACCCCAGUGUUCAACUGGUAUUUAUCUUAUCAACCCCGAAUGAAUGAAAGGCAAAGUCAAUCUUGGUGAAAUUUGAAGUCAGAACACAAUGAUGGGCAAAAUACCACUAAGCAUUUUAUCCUGCGUGCUAAUGAUUCUGCCAGCUAACCACCUUUGUAGUAAUAAUAAUGAUAAUCCUUUUUACUAUUGACACAAGGCCAGCAAGUUCGGGGGGAGAGAUUAAGUCAAUUACAUUGACUGCAGUCUAUAAGUAGUAUUUAUUUCAUUGAACCCGAAAUGAUGAAAGGCAAUGUCCAUCUUGACAGAAUUUGAAUGCCACAGUUACUGCAGUCCCACACUGCCUAUAAGAGAGGAAAUAAUAGCAAUAAAGAUAAUAAUAAUAAUGAUGAUUUCAAAUUUUUGCCACAAGGGCAGCUAGGGGGAGGUGGGAAUGAGUCAGUUACGUCAAACCCCAGUGUUCAACUGGUAUUUAUUUUAUCAACCCUGAAUGAAUGAAAGGCAAAGUCAAUCUUGGUGAAAUUUGAAGUCAGAACACAAUGAUGGGCAAAAUACCACUAAGCAUUUUAUCCUGCGUGCUAAUGAUUCUGCCAGCUAACCACCUUUGUAGUAAUAAUAAUGAUAAUCCUUUUUACUAUUGACACAAGGCCAGCAAGUUCGGGGGAGAGAUUAAGUCAAUUACAUUGACUGCAGUCUAUAAGUAGUAUUUAUUUCAUUGAACCCGAAAUGAUGAAAGGCAAUGUCCAUCUUGACAGAAUUUGAAUGCCACACUUAAUAAUAAUAUAAUAGUGAAUUUAUAACAAUCUUUAAUGAUGGAAAUCUUGGCCCAAAGAGUGAAAUGUUUUUGUUGGCUGGAAUGUGCAGGGCCUUCUGCUCUGAAUAAUCAUGCUGCCAUCUACCAUACUGCAUAAAAAAAAAAACAACCACUCCCAAUUUGCUAUUGUAUUGACUCCAAAUCUCUACACUCCAAACAUUAUCAUCAUCAUCUGGAGCCUGGUGCAGCCUUCUGGCUUCCCAGAUCCCCGGUCGAACCGUCCAACCCAUGCUAGCAUGGAGAACGGACGUUAAACGAUGAUGAUGAUGAUGAUGAUGAUCAUUAUUAUUAUUAUUAUUAUUAUUAUUAUUAUUAUUAUUAUUAUUAUUAUUGCUGCUGCAGUGAACUGGCAGAAUUGGUUUUAGCACACCAGAUGAAAUGCUUAGUGGUAUUUCACCUGUCACUACAUUCUGAGUUCUAAUUCCGCCGAGGUUGACUUUAUCUUUCAUCCUUUCAGGGUCAAUAAAAUAAGUACCAGUUGAAUACUGGGGUCGAUAUAAUUGAUUCAUCCCCUCCCCCAAAAUUGCUGCCCUUGUGGCAAAAUUUGAAAUUGUUAUUAUUAUCAUCAUCAUUAUUGGAGUGGCUGAGUUAAGGGAAGUCUUUGGGGAGGCAUCCAGUGUCUCAAAUAAGUUGACCUAUAUAUGUUGCGUUUAGAUGACCUGCUUGAGUAUGGCCAUACUUUGGUAUCCAUAGCAGUAGCUUACUUGCCAGUUACACUUGAUUUAAUCAACUAGCCCCUUUCCCUCAAAUUUCAAGCCUUGUACCUGUAUUAAAGUUGUCUUUUUUUUUUUCAAACUGUUCUCAAACAUAAAUUUCAACUUUCUUUACCAAGUUCUGUAUUUAUGUAUAUGUAUAUUUGUAUUGUUGUGUACAUGCAUGCAUACACACAAUGACACACAUACACAUAUGCACACUGUAUUGUGCGUAUAUUAUGUUGUUUGCAUAUUUGUGGUUCUGUUUUGUGUAUUGUGUUGUUAUGUGUAUAUUUAUUUGAAAGCUGUUAUUGCAUAGGAAUGAAAUUUACUUUUAACACUAGAUACAUACAUUAAGACAUUAUCCAUUUCUUUGCUCAAUGGAUUCAGAUUAACUGUUCACUGUAGUUACUUAAACAGAAAAUGUUUCUCUAAAUAUUUUGAACUUCCUCUGUAGCUUCAUAUAAAUAUUUUUCAAAUUUGCAUUUUCCCUUUUUUUUCUCCUGCUUGCUUCCCAUCAAGCAGAAAUUAUUUUCCUUUUUCCUCUAUUUUAUAAAUUUCUUCAACCUUCUGAAUAAUUUGUUUUAUUCCCCUCCCCCACCCUUCCAUUCCAAUUUUAUUUUAACCCUUUUCAUAUCAACUGACCUAAAAAUGUUUCUGGAGCUAUGACACAAAAUUACUGUUUUAAAGUGAUCUAAAUUAUAAUCUGUCAUCAGAAUUGUAUGUUAAUUUUUUCCAGAUACCAGCUUCAUAAUGAGAAAGUUAUUUUACUAAAUUCUUCAUUAUUUAAAAAAUUAUUUGAAGCAAAAGCAUUAUAUGUUGUCAGAAAUAUGGUAACAAAAGGGUUGAAUUGAUUCCAACACUUAGUUAUCCCGAAAUAUUUUCUUUGAUUUCUAGACUGAGUAUUGUUACUGCAGCUAAAAUUACCUACUUGUAAGUAAAUAUAAAUAGAUAGAGUAGUAAUUAAUUUUUAAUUAGUUAUAGCACACUCUUAGUGAAAAGUAUUUCAUCUAAGAUGAACUGAGAUGUGCCCUGGCAAGUAUGUGUCUAAUUACAUGUACACACACUUACAUGCAUGUGUGUAUAAACUAUGUGCUUGUGUGUGCGUAUAUAUAUGUAUAUAUAUAUAUAUGUAUAUAUAUAUAUAUGUAUAUAUACAUACAUACACACAUACAUGUAUAUAUGUAUGUCUCUUAUCAUCACCGUUUAACAUCCGCUUUCCAUGCUGGCAUGGGUUGGAUGGUUUGACUGAGGACUGGCAAGCUAGGAAGCUGCACCAGGCUCCAAUCUGCUCUGGCAAGGUUUCUACAGUUGGAUGCCCUUUCUAAUGCUAGGGUACUUUUUACGUGCCACUGGCAUGGGGGCCAGUCAGGCGGUACUGGCACUGACCACACUCAUUGGGCUUGCCAGGUCUUCUUAAGCACAGCAUAUCUCCAAAGGUCUCUCUCUUUGCAGCCUCAUUAAAUGCAAGUGAGCCAUCAUCCACGCGGACAUAUUUCUCUCCUAUGGCAUCAUGAUUCUCUUUGACACACUAUCUUGCAACACAAUGCACUUCAAGUCUUUGGUCCUCAUGAUGCACACAUACACACAUGUAUGUAUGCAUUGUAUAUUUAUACAUCCGCAUGCGUGCAUAUAUAUAUGUACACACACACAUCGUUGGCAAUUUUCUUCCUCUAUCUUCCCUUCUAUUGGACUUUCCUCUGUUUCCGAAGAAGAGCAUCUGCUCGAAAUGUUAAACCAUAUUCCUUUCCUUUCCUGGGCAUCUGCUAAUACUUUACAUGUUCCAUGUCCUCGCGUUGUUUUUUUUUGUGUUUGUUCUACUUUUUGGGAUUUACUAUAUAUAUGUGUGUGUGUGUGUGUGUGUGUGUGUGUGUGUGUAUAUAUUUAUAGUUUAAAUGUACAGAAAACAAAAUGCUGAGACAAGCAGAUGUUGUGAAAGAUAUUCUGUACUAUUUUUGACUCUGUGUAAUGAAAUAUUUGGUUUGAAGAAUUGAAUAUAUUUUGUCUGGAUUUCUUUGAAAUUCAAUAUAUUGCAGUAAAUUCUCUCUUGCGAAUAGUCACUAACUAACCCCAAUAGUCUAUCAGUAUCUAUCUAUCCGUUAUGUGUUAAUUACCUGUUUUUAAUGACUGUUUUUCAUGGCCACACUUUUCCACUAAUCUUACCCUCCACUUAUUAUUUCUCUCUUACAACUCAACACUGAAGUCCAAUAUGUCAUCAACAAAAAGACAUUGAGUUGGAUGAAUUAUAAGCAUGCUGGGUGAAAUACUUAGCAGCAUUUUGUUCAUCUUCAUGUUCUGAGUUCAAAUUCCCCCAAAAUGACUGGACUUGUGCCAAAAUUUGAAACCAGUAUUUCAUAGACUAGUAACAAUAUUUACAACUGGGCCACUACAUUCUUUCAGUCAACAUUGCUACCUAUAUAAAUAUGGUUUACACAUUCACCAAGAUGAGGAAGCUUCACUGCUUUUCACUUUUUCUUUUUGUCGACUUAUUUUUGUUUUUUCUUCUGUUAGGUCAAAGUGACAUAAGAAUCUAUUGUUGUGUUUUCAAGCCAUCCUUACAGACUGCUGCAUUAUUGUACUUCUAACAUAACUGAGAAAUAUUUCUUCAUUAUUGUUACAAUAUUUCAGUUGCAGUAGUAAUAUUAUCAUUGAAAUUAAUGUGGCCAGCCUCUCAUAACAAAACACAUUUUUACACUAUCUUCUUUGUUUUAUUAUUUUAUGUCAUUCAAUUUGCUCAUUUCCUUUGUCUAUCUAUCUACUUCCCCCCUUCCGUUGUAAAUGGUUUAUAAUUUAACAUCUCUUUCAUAAUAUGCAAUGCUCACUUACCAAAUUCUUGAAGACUUUUAUCAUCUACCUGAAUAAACCCAUUAUUCAAAACAGUUUUUAUGACUUUAGGGUUCUUUUUAAGGAAGGAGUUUCCCUUUCUAUUAUUUCUGAUAGCAGCAGCUAAUGAAAUAUCUCAGUUCAGUAGUUGAUUGCUAGAACCAGAAUGGUAGAACCCUUCAGUUCUACCAUCCUGGUUCUGGCCAACAUAUUUACUUCUCUUUGUCUAUUACAUCUCUAUGUUUUUGUUUUUAAUUCCAAACUCUACAGUUUUGAGUUCAGACACCAUCCAAUCAAGUUGUAUGCACGAAAAAAAAAGAAGAUAGAAAAUAUAAGCAGUAGAAAUAUCAGGUUGAGUAAAAAGUAAGCAAAUUUUGCACCAUGAAGAAUUUGUACCGGAAUUUUGCAGAGUUUUCAAAUUUUUUUCAACAUUUUUGGCAGUUGUCUGAUAAAACAGAUAUAGAGUUGCCCAAAUGCAUCAAUAAAUUAACAUUGAUAUCUUUUUCACUGUUGUUAAAAUCAUCAGAAAUGGAAAUUUCAAAGUGCAAUAUUCGAGCAAUUUUGCAAUUCAACUUUAAAAAAGGAUGUAAAGCAGCUGAAACUGCUCGCGAUAUCAACAAAACAUUUGGUGAGGAAAUGAUCAGUGAGUGGUCAGCUCAAAAAUGGUUUAAACAGUUUUGCAGUGGAGACCUGAGCCUUGAAGAUUGCGAGCAUAUUAGAUGCCUUUCUGUCAUUGAUGACGGUUAAUUAAAGACCGUCAUUGAGAAAGAUUCACGUAAAACCAUGUGAGAACUGGGAAAAGAACUUUAAGUUAGUCAGAACACUGCCUGCAGCCAUUUGUAUGUGAUUGAAAAAUCAAAAAAGCUCAACAAAUGGAUAUCACACGAUUUGAAUGAAAAUUAGAAAAUACACAGAUAUGAAAUUUUGCUCAUCACUUCUCCGUAACUAGACUGAUCCACUUCUCGACUGUAUUGUAAUUUUCGAUGAAAAGUGGAUUCUGUACAAUAAUGAAAAAUGUUCUUCACAGUGGUUGGACCAAAAUGAAGCACUGAAAACCUUCCUAAACCUGAGCUCUUCAAAAAGAAGGUUAUGGUGACUGUUUGGUGGUGUACUGCUGGACUCAUCCACUAUAACUUAAAACCCAAAAAGAAAACAUUACUGCAGAAACAUAUUACCAUGAAAUUGUCAAAAUUAAUGAAAAACUGCUACUCCUCCAUCCCAGACUGGUCAACAGAAGAGGGCCAGUCAUUCUUCACGACAAUGCCUGACCACACAUUUCACUAAUGAUGUUCCAGAAGUUGAGGGAACUUGGCUACAAAGUUCUUCCCUACCCAGCUUAUUUCCUAGACCUUUCUCCUACCGACUACCACUUUUUCAAGCACCUUGAUGGUUUCCUGUGAGAGAAGGAGUUAAAAAAUCAAACAAAUGCUGAAAGUGCAUGCAAAGAGUGCAUCAGCUCCAGAACUUCAGAUUUUUAUGUUACUGGAAUAAACAAACUUGUAACUCAUUGGUAAAAAUGUGUUGAGUGUAAGGUACUUACUUUGAUGAAUAAAAUUACUGCCUUGAAAUAUGUUGUGAUGAAUUUCAUGUUUCAAAACAUUGCUUACUUUUUACUCAGUUUGAUAGUUAUCUUGAUGCAAAUAUGUCCAUGAUGACACAAUGUUUUUAACCUUUUUGAUCCCACCUGAGACUAGCCAUGCUUCUAAGAUAUGAGUGAUUUGUUUCAGAGUGAUCUAAACUAAAGACUUCCAUAAAAAUUUCACUUCAAUUUAUGUUCCCAAAACUAACUUAACAAUGACAGUUAUGUUAAUAAAUUUUUCAUUAUUUUCAAAAUUAAUUGAAAUAAAGGCAGUGUGUUUCAACAGGACUAUGGUAAUUAAAGUGUUAAGAUAUUGGUGCAUCAUGAUUGUAUUGGGAAAUAUAUUCAAAUUCUUGGUCUGAUAUUGUUUUGUUGUUUUAAAACAAUAACCUCAUCUAUUUAGCAUUUUGUCUCUUUUUGCCAUAAAAACUAUUAUCUAGUUUCCUCUUUCUUAUAAAGAUUAUGAAAUCACUUUUUAAUCCUUCUCUGUCUUCUUUUUUUUUUUUCAGAGGCAAUUUUUUUUGCACCCUCUGCUUAGAAAUUAUAAAUAAUUGCCCUUUCCAAUGUUCUUGCUUUGUCUUAUAAACCUGCAAACGAGUGUGUGUGCCUAUUCAUCUAUUUACUCGCACACACACACACACACACAUACACAUAUGCACACUACUGUGUGAUCAAUUAUCACAACAAAUACCAUAGUUGCUUCCCAGAAGUACUGCAAAUUGUAGUAACAACAAUUACUGCUACACCACAAGUAACAACAACAGAUCUGUAGCCUCAUUAUUGCUAACAGUUUCUUUCUACACUUUUAGUCUACUCUUAUUAUUUACGCAUGUCUACACACACAGUAAAUAUUCCUAAAACAUACACACACACACUGACAUGUCAGAAGAUCCACAUUUAAGUUAUUUUCUCUUUCAAUAUCCCCCCACUCACCAUAUGCAAAACUCAUAACUUUAUCAUUAUUCAACUUCUAGAACCAAUAAGCUCAAUAAAUUUACAUAAUAUUAAUUCAUAUUUCAUGAUAUAGUAUUUAUUUAAUGUUAUAUCUAUAUAUGUAAUGUAUAUUUACAUAGUAUAUAUGUGUGUGUGUGUGUGUUUGUCUGUGUUCUGUUGAAUGUUAUUAAAUGAAAACAUGAAAUAAUGGUUAUGGUUUCUAUCAUAAAUCUAACACAGAUAUGUAUUUUUCAUAUAUUUCUACCAAAAUGUAUUCAUUAUCAAUACUUUUAGUCUCUAUACAUAUUAUAAAUCAUCAUCAUUUAACAUCUAUAGUCCAUGCUGGCAUGGGUUGAACAGUUUGACCAGAGCUGGAAAGCUGGAGAUCUGCACCAGGCUACAGUCUAAUUUGGUGUGGUUUCUACAGUUGAAUGCCCUUUCUAAUGCCAACCACUUUACAGGGGGUUUUGGGUGUUUUUACAUGGCAUGACAUGAGCGCUUUUAUGUGGCACCGUAGUACAUAUAAUAAUAAUAAUAAUAAUAAUAAUAAUAAUUAUUAUUAUUGGUAUUUCCAGAGAAAUAUAGCAGUGAUAACAAUAAUAGUAAUAAUGAUUGUUUCUAAUUUAGGCACAAGGCUAACAAUUUUGAGGGGAUGGGAUUAGUCAAUACCAUUGACACCCAUUAUUUGACUGGUUCUUUAUUUUACUGACCCUCAGUGGAUGAAAGGCAAAGUUAUCCCUGGUGGGAUUUGAACUUGGAAUAUGAAGGGCUGGAAGAAAUCCCACUAGGCAUUUUUAUGUGAAGUUUUUAUAGCUCUGUCAAUCCAAUCCAGCACAUUGUGUUAUUAUCAUGGUUGGGAAGUAUAUAAAUAGUGGAAUAUUCCGAAUGGAAGAGAGAAAACAUUUCUAUUUAGUUUUAGAAAAUGAUUUAGUUCUCUGGUUCUACAAUCAGCUUUUUGGUAUUGCUGAUUUAAUUUACCUCUUCAAAAUACAAAAAUCUGAAAAUGGAACCCUUUCAUACUAAGAAUUUUUAAAAGGAAGGAUAAAAAAAAAAAAAAGGCUUCAUGAAGUAGAAUGAAAUUUGAGUGGCUGCCUAGUAGAUCUUUAGUCAGAUAAAAUAUAGAAUAUAGUUUAUUUUUAAAUUUUGAAAUCCCUACAUUAACAAAGAAAAGCACCAGUUACAAAGACAAGUAGAUAACACGCACACAUGCGCGCGCGCACACACACACACACACACACACAUUCAGCUGAAUGGAUGUUAGAAGUGUGUACCAUGAAAUUGUUGAUGGAUCAGGUAAUGACUGAUAGAGAAGUGUGUUUGUUUUGUAAUCAUCACGAAUGAUGAUUGAUGGGUAAGAUAAAUUUGGUGAAGCAUAAUUAAAUCAGGUGACAUCAGUAUAUGUCUGGUAUAUAUUUUAUUAACUUUAGAGAAAUGAAAUUAAGUGAACCCUUUGCAGAACUGAAAAUAUGGAGAACCAAAGCAAGAUAGUAUAGCACUGCAACAUUCCUAUAACUCUGCCGAGAUUUUGCAAGCAGUUCUUUAUAUGAUAAAACUUGAAAGCCUUGAACUUGUGAGAAGUUGUUGAUUUUAUUUUGGCUGAAGUUGCAGCUUGCUAUAUGUGUGUGUGUGUGUGUGUGUGUGUGUGUGUGUGUGUGUGUGUGUGUCUGCUUGUCUGUCCUAUCAUCUUUGGGAUUGUGUUAAAUACUCCAUUACUUCAUUUAACAGAGUUCUUUGAUUCUUUUAUUGGGUCUCUCAUUCAGCAUAUGUGGUGCCUGACUCUCCUCUCAUCUGCAAUGAUUAAAACUAGAAGGUUUUAUCUCUGGUGUACACAGCAGCACUUAUACAUAGAGUGGAGUUUCAAAAUUGAAAGGGAGCAAGUGCUAGAGGUGGAGUGCUGUGUGGGGUAAUGUUUGAGUAGAUUGUGUAACCAAGUAACAGAGUGGAGAGGUGACAUGAAGAAAAUUGGCAUCAACGUGGAUCAAGUGUGAAGUAAGUCAAGUUGAGCAGAUGUAAGCAAUUUAUUGAAGAGGUGUGUGUGUGUUUUGUUUACUGUUGCUUCUUCAAUCUUCAUUCUUCCCCAAGUAGUUGGAAGGAAUCCAGUUAAAGAUAGGGAGAUGAUAUUAUAGAAGUGGGAGGGAAUAGUGAGGUGAUGCUGUCUCAAAGGGAAACUAGGCUUAUGGUCUUCUUAUGCUUUUUUUUUUCUUAAUAUUUUGUUUCUAUUUUUAUCAUUUUUGCAUUGUUUUUGUUCUCUCUAUUUGUGUACUUUGUUUUGGGUUUUGAGGACUGGAUUUAAUUACAAGUUCUUCUACUAACCUUUACCCAAAGGGUAUUUUAUAUUGGGAGAGGGAUGAAGUAGAAAGAUUCUAUAGCUAUUUGUUUGUUUAAAGUGAGAUGCACUUAUUGUUUGUUUGUGUUACAUACAUAAUAUUAUUGUUUAUUUGUUUAUUAUAUAUAUCUAGAAAUUUGUUUGGGUGGUGGAAGAGAAACAAAGUUGGGGAGGAAUACAAAUAAUGAGGGGUGAACAUAAAAAUGGUAUGUGCAAUGGUAUAUAGGACUGAAAAUUGUAAACAUUUUACCACCACUGCCAAUUUUAUCCCUAAAAUAAAGAGGUUUUAAUGCAUUUCAAGAAUAAACCCAGUCUAUUGUGGUUUUGCUUUCAGUAUCACUGCUUGGUCAUCAGUAUCGUUAGCAAAGUUUACUCUGUUGCACACUCUGGGACCAUUCACCUGGUUCUCUCUCUGUGCACAUUUUUACCACAGCCAUCAGAUCUUCAAACUAGACAUCAACCACACCAGCUUUACUAGUCUGGAAAGAUCUUCCAGGUGUGAUGGUCACUGUCUGAUUUAUUACAAAACAAAAAUUUGUUACCAGUUUUUCUCCAUCUUCACAAUUGUUUCUGACAUGGGUAGAGGGCUUGAAUAAAAUAACAGAAGGAUGCAUUACAAAAUGUAAUACCUGAUAUACAACAAGAUGGAUUGCCAUGACUAGAAGCCUUUCAUUGAAUUCUGCUUAAAGAUGAAGUAAAGUCCCUCAUCACAUGCUUUGCCAUCUUAAAAAUAGGAGGGAUACAUUGGACAAUGAUACACUAAAAGAUAGGAUGAUCACAGUUGUAAUGCCUUUUAUCUAUAGAUCUGCUUGAUCAGUGUUAUCUUAUCAACAAGAGCUAUAAGAAUAUUCACCAUUAUUAUGUAAUGUCCAAUUUUCCGUGGUUGCACAGGUAAGAUGGAAUUUGCUGAGGCAGAUUUUCUACAGCUGAAUGUGCUUCCUGUCACCAACACUCUCCUGUUUCCAAGGAAGGUAAUGUUUCCCUAUGGCUAAGCCCAGUGCUGUAGUAGAAGAUACUUGGUCAAAGUGCCAUGCAAUGAGACUGAACUUAAGAUCACAUUAUUAGGAAGGGAGUUUCUUAACCACACACUCAUGCUUGCAACUAUUAUGUUGCUUGUGUUUAUGUGUAGGUGAGCAUAGAACACCCACCCUACAAAAUGCUAUCUUUAAGAUAGUAGUGUGUGUGUGUGUGAAUGAGUGAGUGAGUGAGUGAGUGAGUGAGUGAGAGAGAGAGAGAGAGAGAGAGAGAGAGAGAGAGAGAGAGAGAUAAUGAAUGGAGGGCAGCUAUAUAACCUUACAGAUAUAAGAAUCUGAUAUUUUAUGCAGAAUUUGAUAGACAUGAGUGAUAUUUUCAAAUUUAAUUAUCUAGUCUAAUACUUACAGUGAUAGGAGGAUAUGGUAACUGUAAACCCUAUUUAAAAAUGCAUCUGUUUCAUCCAAGUGACUUUGGUGCUAAUGGGAAUUGAAAACGACUUUCAAGGAAGAAUGAAUGGGACAUCCAAUAAUCACUAGUCACCACAGGGUUCCUUUAUUUGCUGUUUUCCUUGAAUUCCAUCAUUUAAUAAAGCCAACUCAUCAGUGUUAGUUAAAUAAUUUUGAAGGAUAAUGAUAUUAAAAAGAACACCCCCCCCCAAAAAAAAAACAACAACAUUAAUUUACUGAUAUAAUUUAAAUAUAGGUCUCUGCAUGAGGGAGAGCUUAAUUGUAAUAGGAGUAAAUAACACUAAUUUAUAUGUUUGUGACAUAUUUCCAUCUUCUGUUACAAUUUAGCUUAUAUUACUUCUAUAAGUUGUUGUUAUUGAUAACAAAUCACCUCACUGAGAUAUCUCCUACCACCUAUUUCAGGUAUAAUAAACUGUUCUUAUAUCAGAGACUACUGCUUAUUUAAUAUAACUUGUGUUAUGUAUCUUCUUCUAGAUGUUCAUCAUCAAGGUAGAAAACUGGUAGAAUCGUCAGCACACUGGGCAGAAUGCUUUGUGGCAUUUUGUUCAUCUUUACAUUCUGAGUUCAAAUUCUACUGAGGUCCACUUUGCCUUUCAUCCUCUUAGGAUAGAUAAAACAAGUACCAGUCAAGCACUAGGGUUGAUGUAACUAAUUGUUGUCCAGUCUUGAUCAGGACUGGACAACCAGAGACAGUAUGAUUUAUUGUUUUUUCCCCAUCACUGCAUAUUCUGCAGUUAUUAUAUUUUUCUUCAUUAUAUAUUUUUGUGGUUUCUGGUAGGGUGGCUUUGAUUAUCUGUUGGUAUUAAAAUUUCUUUCCUGUUUAACUUAUCCUAGGAUUUGCCAUGUAAGGGCUUUUCUUGCAAUUGUUUUAUCAUGGUAUUUUGUAGUUUCAGUUUUAGCUUUGGUUUUAGUUGCUUUAUAGCUUUUGAUAUUUCUCCUUUUUCUUCAUAGUUGUAGGUAUUAUGAAAUUUCCCUUUUAUUUUUCGACUUCCUUGAAGGCAGAAAACAGUUUUCUUGUUUUGGGGAAUUUGUAUCAGCUUUCCUUGGUUCUGAGUUAGAUAUUUCUGUAGUCCUAUGGUGGAUAUUCUAUAGUAGUUUUCUAGUUGUAUAAGGCCUUCACUACCUUUAAUUUGUUGUAUAUAUAAUCUUUCUAUGUUAUAUUUUGGGUGGUGUAUUCUAAAUUCUGCCAUUGUUUUUCUUGUUUUCUUGGCUAGUUUGGUUAGUUCAUUUAAUGUCCAGUUAAGAAUACUGUAACUUAUAACUGAGUCAACUAGUGUGUCUUAUUUUUCACAUUCAGAUCUGUAUUAAUUUAACUAUUAUUCUAAUUUGUCUAUUUUUUUAAAUACAUUUUUCACUUUUGUUUGUUGCACUGUAUUUAUGCCAAGAACCUUCCUAGAUGUCCUUAAUGACACUGUUUUCUGGAGUUGCACUAAACUAGGUUUAUGCCUAUUUCCUCUAUCCAUCAGUUCACAUCUUAAGGCAUAUUUCCUAACUAGCAAAUCUACCCAUCUAUGAUGGAGGCAUAAAAUGAGGGAGAGAUGUCAUAACAGCAGUAUGUAUUGAGAGAUGUGUAAAUGGACUUAAGACACUUGUAGUGUCUUAGAGAAAUCACAUUAUUGUUGGUGAUACAGCAUUCUAUUGUAGCCAUAUGACAUGUGUUUACGACUAAGUGAUAUGUGAUGACGGUUCACUCCCAAACUGAAAUAGGCUCCCAGCCUCUGUAUCAUGAAUUGUUAUGUGGACCACUCCUAACAAAAACCAGAACUUCCUUUAACCACUACAUAAAAAUAUUAAGAAAAAAUGAUUUUAGAUAUACUUUUAUUUUAGUUGCUUACACUAUUUUAUGCUUGUUUAUACUCUUAUAUAUUCAAAGUUCACAAAUUUCCUUAUUUAAAUUAUGAAUCAUAUUCCUUUCAAUAUGAUUACAAAACUUCUUUGUGGACGAUAUUUUCUGUUUGGUUGGCACUAAUUUUUAAAUUACUGGAGUCUGUUGCUCUGCUCAUAGCGACGUAUAACUGGCUGUGUGUGAACAUCAGUGUGGGUAAAUAUACACCUACACGAUCUAAAGUCUGGCCCUGUGCCUUGUUUGCUGUGAAUGUGGGAGCAGAAUCUUUAGGGUUGCAAAAAGAUCAACCUAAGACUGACCUCUCACUCUUCUGUGUGAAUAAUGUCUGGAUGUUCUGGUAUCAUGGGUUAUUUGGAUUGACAAAACUUGAUGUAAACAACAGCCACUUCAAUUAGUAGUUUGAAUCCUGCUCGAGGCCGACACUUCAAUAACCACUAAAUAAUCACACACACUAUAUACUGACACACACUUUUUCCAUUUUAUUUUCGCUAUUAACCAUCCUCACGAACUCCUUCUUAUCUACAAUGGGGGCUACAAACUGUACAGUGAAAAUCCAGAGUUACUCUUGGUCACUGAAUUUUUAAUAAAAAUGCGAAGGUGGUUUAUCAAUUCAAAAAUCAAUAUCCACAAAAUAAUCAUACUUUCUGAUUUUUUAAUGCUAAAAACCUUCCUAACAACCGUCUUUGUAAUCCCCCAAAAUAUCAUAACCAUUGGUCCAACCAUCUGGCUGAGGAGGGAAUAUGGACAGACAGAUGGCCAUAAUGCCCAUUGUAGUAAGAUAGCAAAUUUGCUCAUCUAUGAUGGGAAAUAAAGGGAUAGUAUCGCAAAUUGAAACCCUCUAAAUUCACAAACUAUACAGGGAGAAAUCCAGAGUUAAUCCUUGUCACUGGAAUUUUGACGAAAAAAAAAAUCAAAGGUGAUUUAUUAAUAAAAAACUCAAUAUCCAUUAAAUAAUCAUACUUUUUUACAUUGUUUUCACUAAAAACUUUCCUGAUUACCUCUUUUGUAAUCCCCAAAAAUAUUGUGACCAUUGGCUCAGCCAUUUGACCUUGAAGAGGGAACAGACUGACGGACAUAACACCCAUUAUAGUAUGAUGUACCUAUAACUACAGGGAUAUAUUUUACCUGCAUUUUCUAUAGCCUCUGUUACUCAAUGGCUAGGUCCUGGUACUUUGCUAUUUUCUUUUCACCUCUCAUCAUCAUUUGGGAUUAUUCCUUUAUUCUUUUACAUGUUUCAGUCAUUUGAAUGUGGCCUUGCUAGAGCACUGCAUUAAAGGGUUAUAGUUGAAGAAAUUGACCCCAAGACUUAUUCUUUGUAAGCCUAGUACUUAUUUGUAAGCCUAGUACUUAUUCUAUCUGUCUCUUUGCUGAUCCGCUAAGUUUCGGGGGCAUAAACAUUGGUUGUCAAGUGAUGGUGGGGAGACAAACACAGACAGAAAGACAUAUGUACAUAAAUAUAUAUAUAAUAUAUAUAUAUAUAUAUAUAUAUAUAUAUAUAUAUAUAUAUACACACAUAUGUAUAUACAUGAUAGGCUUCUUUCAGUUUCCGUCUACCAAAUCCACUCUCAAGGCUUUGGUUGCCUAAGGCUAUAGUAGAAGUCACUUGCUCAAGGUGUCACAGUGAGACUGAACCUGGCGUGACCCCUUGGGCAAAUGUCUUCUACUAUGGCCUCAGGCCUACCAAAGCCUUGUGAGGUUGAUUUCAAGAAGCUGAAUUCCACAAAAGAGAUGGCAAAGAAUGAUAAUAAAUGGUGAGGGAGCCAUGCAGGGUGACAGUCUUCUAACUUAUGGAGAGUAUAAAAAAAGUAUAGCAAUGAUGUAAACUUUAUAUAUAGGCACAGGUGUGGUUGUGUGAUAAGAAGCUUGCUUCCCAAUCAUAUAGUUCCGGGUUCAGUCCCACUGCAUGGCAACUUGGGCAAGUGUCUUCUACUAUAGCCUCGGGCCAACCAAAACCUUGUGAGUAGAUUUGGUAAACAGAAACUGAAAGAAGCCUGUCAUAUAUAUAUGUAUAUAUUUGUGUGUUUGUCUCCCACACCAUCACUUGACAACUGAUGUUGGUGUGUUUAUGCCCCCGUAACUUAGUGGUUUGGCAAAAGUGGCCAAUAGAAUAAGUACUAGGCUUAUAAAGAAUAAGUCUUGGGAUUGAUUUGUUUGACUAAAAUCCCUUAAGGUGGUGCUCCAACAUGGUUACAGUCAAAUGACUGAAACAAGUAAAAAAGAAAAAAAAUAUGUGUGUUUGUGGCCUCUAAAUUCAUAAUUUUCUAAGUGUCUACAAGAAAACGUAAAAUAAAAAUUAAGUUUCUCUGUCUGCUGACUAAAAUUUGAAAACUGUAGAUUUAUCUUGUUUAUUAAAUUAAGAAUCAAAACCAGUGGUAGAAGUGACACUGAAUUACAAACAUACACAAGAAAAAUUGAAUAUAUUAAUAUGAUUGUUUGGCUUUUAUUAGAUUUACUCUAUGAGAUCUACUAAAAUAUAUGGAAUGAAAUUUUGAAAAUUUUCUGUUUAUUCUAAGAAACAGUAAACUGAUAGACUUGAUGUUUUGUUUAAUUUAAUUAGAGUCUAUUAAGUAUUUUCUUUAAAACCUCAGGUUUCAAUAAAAUGUGCUGGAGUUAGUUGAUAAAAUCAACUAUUCACCUACCUUGCAAAUGUAUGGCUUUGUGCCAACAUGAGAAAGGAUUAUUAUUACUAUUAUUAUUAUUAUCCAGGUGGCAAGCUGGCAGAAUUGUUAGCAUGCUGGAAAAACUGCUUAGUGGCAUUUCUUCUGUCUUUACAUUCUGAGUUCAAAUUCCGCCGAGGUCAACUUUGCCUUUCAUCCUUUCGAGAUCAAUAAAAUAAGUACCAGGUGAACACUGGGUCAAUGUAAUCGAUUCAUUCCCUCCCACCAAAUUGUUGCCCUUGUGGCAAAAUUUGAAACCAUUAUUAUCAUCAUUAUUAUUAUUAUUAUUAUUGUUGUUGUUAUUAUUAAAACGAUAAAUAUUAGCAUGCUGGGAAAAAUACUUAGUGGUAUUUUGUCCAUCAUUACAUUCUUAGUUCAAAUUCCACCAAGGUCCACCUUGCCUUUCAUCCUGUUGGGGGUCAAUAAAUUAAAUACCAGUGAAACACUGGGGUUGGUGUAUUUGACUAUCCCCCUCCUAGAAUUGUUAGUGCAUCAGACAAAAUACUUAGCAUCCCUUCAUCCAGCUCAUUACAUCCUGAGUUCAAAUUCCACCCAGGUUGACUUUGCCUUUCAUCCUUUUAGGAUUGAUAAAAUAAAGUACUAGUCAACAGAUUUGCCCAUCACCCUCCAAACUGCAUGCCUUGUACUAAAUUGAGAUGCCGCCGCCGAUGAUCUCUACUGAAGGCACAAAGCUUGAAAUUUAUGGGGAAGUGACUAGUUGAUUACAUUGAACCUAGUGUGUAACUGGUACUUAAUUUAUUGACCAUGAAAGAAUGAAAGGGAAAGUUGACUUUGGCGGAAUUUAAACUUAAAAAAUAAGGAUGGAUGAAAUGCUGCUAAGCAUUUUGCCUAAUGUGCUAAUGAUUCCACCAGCUCACCACCUACUACUAUUGCUGCUGCUGCUGCUGCUGCUACUACUACUACUACUACUACUACUACUACUAAUGAUCAUUGUUCUUUAUUAUUAUUAUUAUUAUUAUUAUUAUUGGUAGAAUUGUUAGAGCAUCAGAAAAAUGCUUUGCCAUAUUUGUUCUGGCCCUUUACAUUCUGAGUUUAAAUUCUGCCCAGAUCAACUUUACUUUUCAUCCUUCCAGACUUGAGGAAAUAACAUACUAGUCAAGUACUAAGGUUGUCCCUCCUCUCAAAAUUGAUAGUAUUGUACCUAAAUCAACAACCAUUGUCAUUGUCAUUAUUUAGAGCAGUGAAUUAACAAAAUAAUUAGGACAUCAACCAAAAUGUGUUUCAGCAUUUAUUCUGGCUCAUUAUAUUCCAAGUUAAAAUUCCAUUAAUGUCAACAACUUUGCCUUUUACUCUUCUGUCAGAAGGGGGGGGCAUCAAUAAAAUAAUGUACCAGUCAAGUAUGAAAAGUAGUGUAAUAAGUAGCCACCCUUUUCCAAAAUUUUGGUAUUUGUACCUAUAUGAGAAACAAUUAUUAUUAUUUUUAUUUAUGCUUUUCCUCUGGCAGAUCUUAUACUGACACCAUACCAAAAGAGCAAGCCAUAUCCAAUAGCCAAAAGUCUUUUGGGUCAUUCGUUUUCCUUUGACUUUCUAACACCCUCCUUGGAAUCCUUGCUGUUCAUAACAUGGCUGUUUUCUGCAACAGUCCUGUCUGGAUGAUAAUUCCUAGCUUCUGAAGCCAUGCAUCGAACCUUUUACCAUCUACUUCCAGUGUGCCAACCACAGUUAGUACCACUUCCAAGUGUCCGAGUCUCCAUAGUUUCCUUAUUUCUAUCUUCACCUCCUGGUAUCUAUCAAAUUUCUCACUUUCCUUCUCAUUUACCUUGUGGUCCCCCUGUGAAGCAAUAUUCAUAUUAAUUGCUUCAUUCUUUUUCUUUACUACAAUGUCAGGUUUUCUAGCCACAAUAAGAUGGUCACAUUGGAUGGUUUUUCCCACAAGAUCUUAUAUUGUUUGUUUUCAGUAACCCUAGAAAGGUGCUCAUACCAUUUCUCACUUCUGCUCAUGUCAUACUUAUAACAGAGCUUCCAGUGAACCAAUCUGGCAAUGUUGUCUUACUUUCUCUUGUAGUCUUUCUGUGCAAGCCUCUUACAUUCACUAAUAAUGUGGUGUAUUGUUUCACCUUUCUCACCGCACAACUUACUAAGUGGGGGAAGUCACUGACUUGUUAGUAUUGAACUUAAUAUAGUUUGUUCUCUGUGCCUGUGCUUAGAACAUGAAAAUAAGGGCUUUAGUUUCAACUUUCAAGUUGCUUUUCCUAGUCCAAUCCCAGAUCUUAUCUUUGUCAUCUGUUUCAGGCAUUUCCUGCAAGAAUUGGCCAUACAUUUUUUCCUUUCCAUCUAUUCAAGAUGUCAUUCUGUCUGUCUUGUUUAAAUUCCCCCUUUUCAUUUGCUUCAUCACUGCUUAGGACUUUUAUAUUUCUUACUCCUGCCAUCAAUCUCUCAUUUGAAUUCUUUACAUACCAUACCAGAUCUUUUUUCCUCAGACUUCACACACAUUUCACAGCUAACGAGACCUCUUCCUCCUCUCUGUUGUGAUAGAUUUAUAUCACUCUCCACAUCACUGUUGGGGUGUAGUGGCCCUUGUAGUAUUAUCAUUUUCCUGGCUUUUCUAUCAAGCUCCUGAAGUUCACCACUUCUCCAUACCAGUACUACACUUUAGAGUUGCAAUGGCUCAUGUGUUGACAGCUAGUAUCUUAGCUGGCAGUCACUGAGGUAUCAGCAAAUUUGCUAACAUCUGUAUGAUUUGCAACUAAUAUAUGGACAUCUCAAAAUCAAAUAGACUCCCCUCCUUAUAGUGUUUCAUCUGUGUUUGGGAAUCUGGAUAUUUUAGUAUUUCAAAUCUCAUGUUUUCCCAACUGGAUGUCCUCCCUACUGUGAACUCUUGAAAUUGAUGUGAGAGUGAUUUUCAGUUUGGUAAAUUCGAACCAAAUGCUGAGAGUAACUUUCAUCACACCAAUAAUGUAGCAAAAUUUUGGGUUUCCAUUUAUGGACUGUGUAAUCCAUUGACGACCUCCCCCUAGUAACCCUGCACUUAUGUAGAGUGGAGGAUGUAUUAAUGGUGGUGGUAGAGUGUUUGUGGGGGAUUGUAUCAUGUCUUUUUAGUUGUUCUGUUUCCAAUAUUAGUUCACUAAAGUUAUAACAUCUAAUUUGAUAGUAUGUCACUUUCAAUAGAAAAUAAUUUUCCAAAAAAAUCUAUUAAGUGAAAGAUAUUAAAAAUCAAUAUUUUUUUUCAAGCAACUGACAGCUACUUUCUAGGUCUCCUGGCUUUAGUGCAGCCUGCUGGUGUCGGUUAUGGUAACAGUAGAGUGUCCUACUUACUAUUAGGAGUUGUAACAUUUUCUGCAUCAGUCAAUUCUCCAUCCUGUAUCCAUUGCUUACCUGUUUUUUUUACUCUUUAAUUAUCUAGAUUUCUCUACUGCUAGUGUCAUCUGAUGCUGAUUGAUUUCUUUUUUUAUAAAGCCUCUCCUUAUUAUACACUCAUUUCACUCUUCCUAUUUUCCUUAUCUCUCUCUCUCUCUCUCUCUCUCUUCUAGAUAGGUUAUUCUUUCAAGUCUAUGCCAGACCUAACUUUGGUCAUUUUACUUUCAACAGAAACAGCACACACACGCACAAAGGGCUCUCAUCUCCUUGUCUUCAUCUCAUUGUCUGCUGUAUCACCUUACUUCAUCACUUCAAUAAUGAACAACUGUAAUGCGAUGCAGCGUAGCAGCUGCACUUCCGUACACUACUGAUAGGAUAUUGACUGAACUGUAGUUUCCAUCGAAUCAUUGUUUCUAUGAUACUAUCAGCAGUAGCAGCAACAGCAGAAGGAAAUACUGUUUAUGUUAUGUAAUCAGACAUGGCUGCCAUUAACUAUUACUGCCAGUUUCCUCUGUUUCUUACAUGUUGUGGCCAAUCAUGAUUUGGAUGGGGCACUUACUGUUAGUUCAAUCUAUCCCUAUUUGCCUAAUGAUGCACAGUUUGUAAUACUUUCCCAACAUAGAAUUUAAUAUUUUAUCUCUCUCUUAAAAUCAGGAUAAACAGCUUGAUUUCUUACCGUGUUUUGGUGAAACAAGUUUGCACUUCUGCUGUGGAAGGCUGUGAUAUAAACAUCUGUUGUGUAUCAUUGAUAUGGAACUGAACCUACUAUAAAAACAUCCUAUUUAGUUAGUGGUUCAGACUUGAAGCUUUAAAGAUGGUGCCCACUGAUUAUUUCAAAAAAUGUUGCCUUUUGAGACCGAUCUCGAUUUAUUUUACCAUCUCUUAAAUCUUUGGCACACAUCUGGUUAUAAAGACAUGAAAUGUGUUGUGUCUGAUCUUUUGAAAUGAAUCAAACAAUUACAUUUAGAAAUGAGAUUUUUAUUAAGAAAACCCUGUGGUAAGACUUGCCAAGAAGACAUUGAGCAAAGAAUUACUAAUUUGAAGUUGCAAUCUUGCCUUUCAAUUGUGGUCAAAAUUCCUAUGGUUAUUGUUCUUGAAACAUAUUUUAGAUUUCACUAUAAUUUUAAUAUAUAUAUAUAUAUAUAUAUAUAUAUAUAUAUAUAAAUAUAUGAGAGUAACUUUCAUCACACCAAUAAUGUAGCAAAAUUUUGGGUUUCCAUUUAUGGACUUGCCAGCUCUGUCUGGCCCCGUGUCGGUGGCACGUAAAAGCACCAUCCGUUCGUGUCCGUUGCCAGCAUCGCCUGGCCCCGUGCCGGUGACACGUAAAAGCACCAUCCGUUCGUGGCCGUUCGCCAGCUCUGUCUGGCACCUGUGCAGGUGGCACGUAAAAAACACCCACUACACUCGCGGAGUGGUUGGCGUUAGGAAGGGCAUCCAGCCGUAGAAACACUGCCAGAUCUGACUGGGCCUGACGAAGCCUUCCAGCUUCACAGACCCCAGUUGACCCGUCCAACCCAUGCUAGCAUGGAAAACGGACGCUAAACGAUGAUGAUGAUGAUGAUGAUGAUGAUAUAUAUAUAUAUAUAUAUAUAUAUAUAUAUAUAUGAGAAGACCCGGCAGGACAAGUGAGUCCACAACCCGUGGCCUUCUACAUGGGAUGGAGCCAGCCUACGUAUGCAUACCUUCCCUUCUUGGGACACAAAACUCUACUUGUGAAGACGUGUUGAGGCAAGUGAGGAUCAGAAUCGAAAUCGAUCAAUGGAAAUUGCGGAUGUGCUACCAGUGCCGGUGGCAUGUCGAAACUCUGCUUGUGAAGACCCAUUGAGGCAAGUGAGGAUCAGAAUCGAAAUCGAUCAAUGGAAAUCGAUCAAUGGAAAUUGCAGAUGUGUUACCAGUGCCGGUGGCAUGUAAGAGAACUUUCCGUUUCGCGACCGUUGCCAGCACCGCCCCGUUUCGUGUCCGUUGCCAGCCUCGCCUGGCCCUCGUGCCGGUGGCACAUAAAAAGCACCAUCCGUUCGUGGCCGUUUGCCAGCUCUGUCUGGCACCAGUGCGGGUGGCACGUAAAAAGCACCCACUACACUCACGGAGUGGUUGGCGUUAGGAAGGGCAUCCAGCCGUAGAAACACUGCCAGAUUUGACUGGGCCUGAUGAAGCCUUCUGGCUUCACAGACCCCAGUAGAACCGUCCAACCCAUGCUAGCAUGGAAAACGGACGCUAAAUGAUGAUGAUGAUGAUGAUGAUGAUAUAUAUAUAUAUAUAUAUAUAUAUAUAUAUAUAUAUAUAUAUUUCUUUCUAACAGUUUUUAGAAAUGUCUUGGAGCUUUUCAGAAAUUAUACAAUAAUAAACAAAUUUCCUUUUCAAAGCCAAUCAAGUUUUAAUUUUAUAAUCAGAAAAUGUAAUGAAAUUGGUGGAAGUUGAUUUCUUGUUUUGUUUUGUGUAGUAGUCAGAUAAUAAAAUGUAACUGUUCUAAUAACAUGUUCGAUAUUCCAAAAUAUUCUCAUACCAUACAGAUUUUUUGACAUAGUUUAAAAUUACCAAACUUUCUGGUCAUCCAUCUUCUUAAUUUUUAACUGUCUAUAUUAAUUAAUCAGAGCUAAUUUAUUUCAUGCUUAGGUUUUCCAACAACUUUCCUGCGAGGAGAUUUUGUUGAAGUGUUUCAAGCGAUUAAAAUUAUUUUAUCACACCUCUUUUUUUAUAUAUUUUAUUUUGAUUUCUUGUGUUCGUUGGGUAUUGAAUAAUUUGAAACUUUUAAAAGAUAAAUACCUUAAUUCACUUGUUAUAAUAUUUAUAGGCUCUAUCUUCAUUAAAGAAGAUAUUGAUGUGUGUGUGUGUGUGUGUGUAUCAUCAUCAUCAUCAUUGUUUAUAUAUAUAAAUUUAUAUAAAUAAGGAAGAUCGUUAUUUAAAAUACCGAUCAUAUCAGGUGGCUAGCAUGAGAAUAAUUAUUAUUAAAAUUAUAAUUAAGGGUAUCUAAAAGAUACCACCAUGCGAGAUAUAGCAGCCAAAACUUGACUCUCUCUCUCUCACUAUAUAUAUGUACACACAUGCACACACACCUAGAGGAGACUUAGAUGCAACGUGCUCUCUCUCUUUACUCUUUCACCUGUUUCAGUCAUUUGACUGUGGCCAUGCUGGAGCACCGCUUUUAGUUGAGGAAAUCGAUCCCAGGACUUAUACUUUUGUAAGCCUAGUACAUAUUCUACCGGUCUCUUUUGUCGAACCGCUAAGUAAACACACCAGCAUCGGUUGUCAAACACCCACACAUAUAUAUAUUCGACAGGCUUCUUUCAGUUUCCAUCUACCAAAUCCACUCACAAGGCUUUGGUCAGCCCGAGGCUAUAGUAGAAGACACUUUACCCAAGGUGCCAUGCAGUGGGACUGAACCCAGAACCAUGUGGUUGGUAAGCAAGCUACUUACCACACAGCCACUCCUGCAAUGAUGUAUUUUUAUAAAUUUAUUUUCACUUCAAUACAUUUUCAUGUAACCAAUAUAUUGCUGUAUAUCAGCCUUAUUUUAAACACGUUAAUGUUUUUAAUUGAUAACCUUCAUUGUUUCAACAUCACUUUCUGUUACUUUCAACUUUAAAAUUGUAAAUUUUAGGUUCAAAUUCCCUCUUCUCUUCUGUUCACAUCUUUUGUUUUUUUUAAUCUCCAUAUGCCUAUCUUAUUAUUUUAUGUACUGUCACUCUUUUAUUCAUUCACUGUUUCUUUAUUACAUUGUUUCUAUUUCUAUAAUUAUUUCUUUGAUCUCAGAUGAAUGAUUCUAAUGUUUUCUUUCUCUUUUCAGGUAAGUUCAUUUGGAUACACAUAAUCCUUUAUGUGAUAUUUACUGUAAUAAUCUGUAAGUAAAAUGAACUGACUUUACCCCUCCUCCUUUACUUGCUAAAUCAACAUUUGCCCCUCCGAUUUGUUGCCCAACUGAAGUGAUAAAAUGGUAAAAAAAAUUCUUCACAUACUUUAUUAAGGUUUCUUUAAUACCAGUUUGCAUUUGUAAAAUGUACAAGAUUACAGUAUUGACAAAUGUACAAGAUUACAGUAUUGGACAAAUGACUUGCUUAAUAUUGAGCUUCGACUAGUGGAAACAGCUUCAUGUUUAAUGAAGAAAUUGUAGAAUUUUUUUUCUGUAUGGUUGUUAAAGAUACCUUGCAUUGUAUCUACUACUACUACUACUACUGCUACUACUACUACAUUCCUCAAGAGUCACAUUGAUAUUUCACUUCAAGUUGGUUACAUCACUACUUUACAUAUAUCGUUGACUAUGUACAAGAGCUGAGAUGUACAAUAUAAUGUAUUUUGUAAGUUUGCAGAGUUCUUUUUUAAGUUUAUGACUUUCUUCAGCUUUAGAAUUACGAAGGGCUCCUUCUAGAAAUAGAAGUAUUUCGCUCUUAAUUCCCAACAUUCUUGAUAGUUCUUGUAAUUCUUUGUAGUUUUUUUAGACUUUCAUCAAGAUUCUCACUAAGGUACAUAGAUAUCUUCCAGUUGGCAGAUUUAUUUUCUCUACAUCUAUGAUAACAAGAUCGGAUAUGUUAGCCACAACUACACAUCUAUAAUAAAAAAUUUCUAGUUUGUUAACAACAUUAUUUCUACAUGUCCACGACAACAAGAUUUGGCCUGUUAGCAACCUUAUCUCUUCAUAUCCAUGACAACAAGAUUGACCUAUUCACAGCCUUAUUUCUACAUAUCUAUGACAAGAUUGACCUAUUCACAACCUUUUUUCUACAUAUCCAUGAUAGCAAAAAAUGGCCUGUUAGCAACAUUAUUUCUCCUCUAAAAGAUAAAAUUUUGACCUGUUGUUGUAGGAGGAGGGCACUGAAAAAAGUACUGGGGCGGCAUUGAUAGAAAUGGUAGUGCUAGCAUCAUCUGUGUGUGUGUGUGAAUAAAGUAUGGAACUGAAGUUCAGUUCAAAGAUUUCUUUUAAAAAUCAUUUCAACUUAUAUGGAUUUAAGUGGCAACAUGAAGAUGAAAUGUAAAAGUAUCUUCUUACUAGCCAUUGUCCAUUUUACUAGCAGUCAUAUAAUAAAGAAUAGGUUUCUCCAUUACAAUGAUUCUUUAUUAUUUUGGUUGUUGUUUCAACCCUGGCCUUAUUGAUAUUGUUCUAGCAGAUUAAUAUAUCUCCUUGUUUUAUAUUUUAUACUUUGGCUGUCAUGUGUCUUCAUAAUAUUUUUACUGCUCAAUGUAACUAUGAUUAAUAUAAUCUAACACUCAUAAUUGACAGCUCUGAUGGUUAAAUUUCUAGUAUGUUUGCUUUUGUAUUUAAUGUUAUUGUGGCUUAUAUGAACAAUCACUGGUAUUACUUUUCCUUUAAACAAUUAAUCUAUUACAUUGAUAACCUUCUUGUAAUGGAUGUGCUAACGAAAGCAAUAAGUUUUGAUAUUGGGAGAAGUUCUCUAUUACAUUUCCAUUGAUUGAUAUCUCACUAAUGACCAUAACUGACGUCCACUGAUGAAUUCAUGAAAUAUAUUGUAUACACACAACAUUGAUCACUUGGUGAAGUAGACAUCAGUCUUAAUCCAGCUUUAUAAAAUUGGUAUCAUCUUACUCUGAUCAGUGCUGUUUGGUCUACCUCUACAGAGAGAAUUAGCAGUGUGUGUGUGUAUAGACACUGCAUUUGCACUGUAUAAAUAAUACAUUACACAGAUUUGUUAUAUAAAGUAAUGGCCAUCUAACUUCAUUGAUAUUUACACUUGCGAUACAUUUUGAUAAAUGCAAAGAAACAGUUCUCUCUCUCUCUCUCACACGUACACACACACAGCUAAAAGGACAAUGUGUAUGUGUGUACACACAGAGGCUAUAGAAGAUCUGCCUCACUGAGUUUAAGCUGAGCCAUGUAAACAUGGGAAAGUGAAUGUUUAAACAAUUUAAACAUAUGGUGAGUUGAGUGGAAUGAAGUAAAAUAAUUUUGGAGGCUACUUUGGUAUGUACUGUAUGGGGUGUGUGUGUGUGUGUGUGUGUGCAAAGCAUGCAGUGAAUAUUGCUUGCAAAAUCAACAUAUUGUUGAAAAGUGGAAGAAAUGCAGGAGUCAUGGGCCAAAAUGAGAGCCAUCCAGUAAUUGAAUUUAAGGGGUUUCUCCAAGCAUUGUAGCUGUAUUCUUUUGUCUGAACAGUUGAAGCAGAGUUAUGGAUAAACCACUUGGAGGACUUGAAGGUGUGAAUUUUUGUUGCAUAUGGUGUGUUAAGGGACUUGCUUGAGAGGCUGGCAUCAGUUAUUGACAUAUCUGUUUCUUACAGGUCAGGGAUGAAGGAUAUGUGCUGCCAGAGGUAGUUUACAUAGAACUGGUUGAAGUGGCUGAGCUCUGUCUGACUAAUAGUGUGCUAAAGAAUUUAAGUUGUGAUGUGUAGUGUAGUGUGUUGAUGUAUGAUGGGUAAUCACAAUAAAGCAGUGUUUAGAUGACCUACUCGUAGCAGUAAUGGUACUGAUAUGGCAGAGGUUGAAUCUGGAAAUGAGAUAGGGUUCAAGGGUGUUUGAAGUGUUUUGGGUUAGUUUGGAAUAAAUUCAGAGAAUGAAAUUAGUUGUGGCAAAAGGUUGAGGAUGGCAAAAGAUUCAGUAACUGCAUGAAUGCCAGGAAGAGUUAUGAAAAAUGAAGUCAUUGAAGAUGAUUCCUCAAAGAGAGGUGAUUUUUGGUCUAUGGAUCAAAGAGCUAGUGGCAAAUGGGAGAGGGAGACUUUGGUCCACACUUACUCGAAAUCUGUGUUGCUGAUGUCCAGGUGAUUAGCAGGGUGAGUGGACUCUGUGUAUACACAGAGUUUGAGUAAAGAAUGUAGCUUGGCUGAUACAAGGGGUCUAUUGUUAAAGGUUGAAAAACCUGUGUCUUAAUGAAGAAUAAGGUGUCAGACGCCUGAGUGGAUUGGAGUUCAUAGAUGUUAGAAAAAAUGAAAGGAGAUUGUCUAGUGGGUUUUAGAUUUUGGUAAAUUUUAGGUUUAGGGAGGUGUAGAGUGUCUCAAUGCCUCAUGAGGCAAGACCUUGUUGAGAACCUGGUCUGACUGCUUGUUAUGUAGGAAUUCUGCUAAAAGCAUCAGUGGAUCAGAGAUGAUGAUGUUUAUAUUAGCUGCAUUAUGUGACUAUCAUUCAAACCAAAAGAAGAGGUGCAAAUUCUAGACCAUAUACAAGUGUAUAUUAGCCAAAAUGGUAAAUGGUAACCCAGAAACAAACAUGAAUACACAGACAAAUGCUACAACAGGAAUAAUUUUAGAAAUAAUUUUUCAUGUAUGUGGUGACAAUGGCAAUAAUAAUAAUAAUAAUAAUAAUAAAUAAUAAGGCAUCUGUAGGAAGCGUCCUGCAAGUAGUGUUGAGGAAGAGAAGGGAGAGAGAAGCCAACAAUAAUAGUGAGGGACUGCUAAGUCUAUCAAGUAAUCUAUAUAGAUUCUCUAGUAG